GAGGACCAUUCUAAGAAACGGAAAUGGAUCAGUUUGCAAGGGUUUCCUUCAGAAUACCUACCUAACGACUUUUAUGUGCAUGAUGCAAUAGCCAUUGAUUUAUAAUACUCUCUUCUUCGAUUUGUUAACAGAUUUAACCAAUUUUGUUAUGUUUUCAAAAAAUCAAUCGAUUGAAAGUGUGAAUCAAUCGAUGAAAAUGGCUUUGAUUGUGAGGUCAACCAAUUUCAAGUUUUUCAAAUGCUUUCCAAAACUACCAAGUGUAAAACAACCGAUUGAAACGACAAAUCAACAAGUUGUUUUUUCACUUGCUUUGAAAAACACUUCUUCUUUAUAGAUCAUGAUUGAUUUAGUUUUGGAUCAAGUUAAGAGUGGAUUGAAAAAUUCUAAUCUACCCAAAACCCAUGCCCACAAGCAACAACCUAGUCCUCAAGCAAACUUCAUAGAUUUGGAGACAUCAAAGCUUCAUGUUCAACAAUCUCCCCCUAUUUGAUGAAGAGAAAUCCUUGGUUUUCUUGGGAUGUUCUGUUUGAGUUUGACAAUAUCUGCUAAACACAAAAUUUUCAAAUACAAGAGGUAAUCCCUUCCAGAUUUCAUCAACACCAAAGAACCAUUUUUCACUUAGUGAUUUCCAUAAGGGAAACAAAAUCAGUGUGAAAAGAUAGUUAAAGAGAGGUGCAAAUCAGAAUUUUAUGCAACAGAGGUUUAUGCAGUAGUUUUAAUCAAAGUAAGCAACAUAUAAACCAAGUUAAAACAAAAUUUAAGCACACAAUACAAACAUACAAACCACAAAAACUUCUCCCCCUAUUUUUCUUCACAAAUAGACUUAAAGGAGAGAUAAAAAUAACACUUAAAAUAGAGUUUGUAAGUCAAGAAUUCCUAACUCAUUUCUGAGAAAGAAAAACUUGUCCUUUGACAAAAGUUUAGUAAAAAAAAUCUUCCAAUUGCCUUUCCGUUGCACUGAACUUCACCUCACAGUCUCCAUUACUCACAUGAUCUCUAAUGAAAUUGUGUCAGAUCUCAAUAUGUUUUGUCCUAGAGUGCUGAACUUGAUUUUUUGUGAGAUUGAUGGCACUUGUGUUGUCACAUAGUAGGGGUACUUUGCUGACUUUUAAUCUAAAGUCUUCAAGCUGUUGUUUAAUCCACAAAAUCUGAGCACAACAGAUUCCUACAACAAUGUAUGUGAUGAAAAUAUAUUUAUUAACCCACAAUAGCAUUAAUCAUAGAUUAUUGGACUAUAAUAAUAAAUAAAUCCAUUUUUUUAAUUAAUAUUAAUAUAAUUGGGUUUAUUUGGGCCUUAACUAUUAUCUUUGGUAAUUUUGUGUUUUUAGGGUAAAUGAUCUAAAGCAUCUACCUUUAUGAAUGGGCCAAACAUGCAAAAGUCCAAGUUGCUUCUUUGAAUCAAAACAGAAAACAAAUUCUGAGGAGAAGAAAGAGAAAAUAAAAGCUACAAGAUCCCAGAAACAGAAUUGGAAGCAAAUCUUCUGCAAUAAUAAAAAGAAUUAUGGAAAGUGGAAAUUGUUUACAAAAUCUAAACUGCAAUAUUUUCCCAAGAUCCUUGGAGCAGAAAAGCCUAUAAAAGAACACAAGCAUCAAGGAGAAAAGAGAGAGUUUCAUAGGGUUUUCUUAGUUUAUUUUCUUCUUAGUAAUUCUUUUGUUUUGCCUCCGCAUGGAAGGCUAAACCUUUUUGGUUGAUUCCUUUGUAAUUUCCCAUUGAGUUAUGAGGUUUUGUUCAAUAAAAGUUUCGAUUUUUAAUUCUCUAUAGCAGUUGUUUUUAUUGUCUAAUNNNNNNNNNNNNNNNNNNNNNNNNNNNNNNNNNNNNNNNNNNNNNNNNNNNNNNNNNNNNNNNNNNNNNNNNNNNNNNNNNNNNNNNNNNNNNNNNNNNNGGAAAACUAGAUUUUGUGAGAGGUUGUACUUGAACGCAUGAUUGAGAGUCUUCCUUGUCUUAAACUUUGGUUUCUUAGUUAGUUCACAUCGUUCUAAUUAAUUUCAUGGGCGCAUGAUUCAAGAGAGAGGAGGUAAGCAUUCCCAUGGAGUAUACGCAUGGAACAAAGUGAGUAUUGAUUAAACCAGUAGACGCAUGUUUUACUGGUGAGUUUCAGUUGAAUUAGAUUGGCGCAUGUUCAAUCUGGUUUAACUCUGUUGGAGGAUUGAGAAAAGAUUAAUCUUUAGAGAACCUGUGAAGAAUUCAAUGGUGGAAGAACUUAGGGAUCAAUUUCUUUUUAUUUUCUAUUUCAAUCUCUUUUAUAUUUUCUGCAUAACUAUCUUAACCCCCUUUUUAUUAUUAUUGUUAUUACUAACUUUUCAUUACUUGUAGAUAGAUUUUGAAUUCGGUUAACUGAAUCACUAUUGGAUUCGUUGGGAGACGACUUGGGGUCAUCUGACCACAAUUAUACUAUCAUCUCUCUAGUGUUAGACAAGUCUACGCUAGAUUCAUAUUAAUUUGACAGCAAAACGGCAGCUAUCAGUAUGUUACUUAAGUAGUGAAGAGUGUUACGCAGGCUUGCUUCUUGCUAUGCCAAGAGAUAAGGCUGGAGCCAAGACAAGUUCCACUUGUGCUUUUCCUAUCUAGUUUGCAUCCUGCAAAAUUCGAAUCAGAGUAUCCAACUAAAUGUACAGGAGAAUGAGAGGGAUACCAUAACUGAUAAGUGCCAAUGUGUAGUUUUUAUGAUUGAGAAAAUUGAACACUUUGGAACUUAAUUGUUGCUUAAUGUAAGAAAAUUACCCUAAUCUGAGAAUUAUUGAAUCUGAUUAUAUAUUUUUGAACCAAGAAACAAAUGAAGAAAUUUAAUCUCAAUUUUUGUGUAAAUUGCAGAUGAAUAUGAAGCAUUGAAAGAAUUAUUCAAGCUGGCUUUGAAAGAAAAAAAAAAGUAAAAACUUAAUUGGAUCACAAGAAGAUUUAGCUCAAGCUAGAGGAUUUAGCUCAAGCUAAAACUAUCCAGAAUUGAUUAAAGGUGCAGUAGAAUUCUAGCCCAGGCUAGAAUUGCUAGCUCAAGCUAAAACUGUCCAGAGCUGAUUAAAGGUGCAGUACUGAUCUAGCUCAGGCUAGAAUCGCUAGCUCAAGCUAAAAAUGCACCGAAAGAUCUAGCUCAAGCUAAAACGGGCUAGCUUGAGCUAAAAUUGAUUAUAUAAAUUCUGAAACAUAACUCAAAACGAGCGGUGGAAAACAGAUUAGGUUUUUUAGAAAGAGACUAGUGAGAGAAAGAGAAGAAACCUCUGUUCUUAGGAAAAGAACUUGCUCAAAUAAGCCCUUCUUAUGCAAUCCAGAUCAAGAAUGAAGAUUGGAGGAGCUGUCAUGAGUGGCUAAGUUCUUUCUAACUUGGGAUUGAAUGUAAUUUAUCUUGAUCAAAUGUAUUCUUGGUGAUAUAUAUAUAAAAUUCUCUUUUCUACUUGUUCUUGGUAUUUUCGUUUUAUGCUUAUUGCUUGAUUCUGUCUGAUCAAUAAAGUCUUGAUUUUGAUCCUUAAAUUUAACUGGAAAGUACCUUUAAGGAUCUGAAAUAAACGAAAAUACUUGAUAACUUGUAAUGCUAGGAAUAGAUUCCAGGUUAUUGAUUGCAUUAUAAUUCUGUUCCUAAAGCUGGAUGAUUUGUUAAAUAUCUGAGGAAUCAGUGUUUGAGAAAUUAUCUUAUGAAUUUCAUCUGUGAGGAAUCAAGAUGAAUGACUUUAAAUUAAGCAUCAAGAAUAAAUAGUUUUGAGUAUUAUAUAUUGUAUUAUUCAAAAUACAGAUGAUUGAGAUAAACGCAAUUCAAUCCCAAGUAUCUUUCUCUAUAUUUGAUAAGUUGGUUUUGUUACAUCCAGAAUCAAACCCUAAAUCUUUGAGUUCUUGUGAAAUCUUUAAUUUGGUUAUGAACAAAGUCUCAAAAUUAUUUUCUAUACUUAAUGAGUUUUAAAACAGAACAUCUUAAUUAGAAUUGUUCCCUGUGGGUUCGACAUUCGUACUUUAAAGAGUACUAUAUUACAGUUGAUUCGGUACACUUGCCGAGAAAGAUCAACAAGUUUUGGCGCCGUUGCCGGGGAACAAUUUCUUUUAAGAAUUUCUGAAGUAUAACUCAUUGAGUAUUGUGAAUAUUCUGUUUUCUUUGUGAAUAUACAUUGGUUUAUAUCUUAUUCUUUUAUCCUGUGCUAAUCCUUGCUUAAGUUGUCUUAGAUACAUGUUAUUGAGAGGACAGGUUCCUGAAGAUCAAUUGGAAUUUGAUCCAGAAAUUGAGAAGACAGCUAGAAAAAAUCAGACAAGAAGAGAAAAGAAAAGAAGAAGCAAGGACAAGCAAAAGGAGAAUCUUCCANNNNNNNNNNNNNNNNNNNNNNNNNNNNNNNNNNNNNNNNNNNNNNNNNNNNNNNNNNNNNNNNNNNNNNNNNNNNNNNNNNNNNNNNNNNNNNNNNNNNNNNNNNNNNNNNNNNNNNNNNNNNNNNNNNNNCCACCAAAUCAUUAGAAAUGAAGCCAGCUUUUCUUAGCUUAAUCAGCACUCAUCAAUUCACUGGAAUGGAUCAUGAAGACCCUUAUACUCAUCUAUCCACAUUCUAUGAGUUGGUUGGGACCAUGGGCUUCGAGGAAAAUGAUAUUGAAUCUGUUUAUCUGCGUCUAUUUCCUUUCUCACUUGCAGGCAAAGCAAAAGAAUGGUUAAAGUCGCAUCCAAACCAGAGUCUAAGUAGCUGGAAUGAUGUAGAAGAGAAAUUCCUACACAGAUUCUUCCCACUCUCUCGGUAUAUCAAGGCUAAGUUUGAUAUCUCUAUAUUCGGGCAAGGGCCAGAAGAACCUUUUUGUGAAGCUUGGGAACGCUUUAAAGUGAUGUUAAGAAGAUGUCCUAAUCAUGGCUUUGGGGAUAUUGCUCAGUUGAACAUAUUCCACAAUGGUUUGAGGCCUGAUACUAAAAUGAUCNNNNNNNNNNNNNNNNNNNNNNNNNNNNNNNNNNNNNNNNNNNNNNNNNNNNNNNNNNNNNNNNNNNNNNNNNNNNNNNNNNNNNNNNNNNNNNNNNNNNNNNNNNNNNNNNNNNNNNNNNNNNNNNNNAUCUUAGUACUUUAGAUGCAAUUUUAGCACAAAACAAGAUUUUGACUCAGCAAAUUGAGGCAUUAACCAAGCAAAUGUCAAAACUGCCUCAACAAUUACAUGCAGUAAAUUCUCCUUCAAUUCAGAAUCAAGCUUUGAAGUGUGAUUUUUGUGGGGGAGAUCAUCUCAAUGGCCAAUGCUCUUACCAAAAUCCAUCAGAGGAAGAGGUUCACUAUAUGAAUAAUCAAGGAAGGCAAGGUGGCUUUGCAUAUAAUUAUCCAAAUAACAUGACUCAAGGAUGGAGGAACAAUCCAAAUCAAGGAUUUGGGUGGAAGCAAGAGGCUGGAUCAUCCAACAGACAAGCUCCAAUUCCUUAUCAACAGUAACCACAUUAUCCUUCCAUUCAUGAGAGAACAUAAAAAUUGGAAGAUACUUUUGAGAAGUUCAUGCAAGCCUCUCUAUUCAAUCAAAAAAAUACUGAAGCAUCAAUAAGGAAUUUAGAAACACAGGUGGGGCAGUUGGCUAAACAGUUAGCUGAUAAUCAAGGAAGUCAAUUUUCAGCCAAUACACAAACCAAUCCCAAGGAGCAUUGCAAUUCUAUCACUACCAGAAGUGGGAUAGUUAUAGGAAAAGGAAUUGGGAAAAACUUAGUUGUUGGGGAGGAGGUUUUAAAAGAUAAAGAGAGUGAAAAAGAAUAGAUUGAGUGUGAGGGAGAAGAAAGAAGAAAUAAGGAAGAUGUUGUAGAUAUUGAUGAGAAAAUAGAAAAAAAUGAAAAACAAGAGAGGAGUGUUCCUAUAAAAGAUGUACCUUAUCCACAUGCUCCUACAAAGAAAUGCAAAGAAAGGCAAUUUGCAAGAUUUAUGAAUAUUCUCAAAAGAUUGCAAAUUAACAUUCCUUUUACUGAAGUUUUAAAGCAGAUGCCUACAUAUGCUAAAUUCAUGAAGGAAUUAUUGACAAAGAAAAGAAAGUUCAAUGACCAGGAAAUAGUUGAAUUGGAAGCUGGAUGCAGUGCUAUAAUCCAAAAAUCAUUACCACAGAAAUCCAGAGAUCCUGGGAGUUUCACUUUGCCAGUUACCAUAGGAAAUCUAACUGUUAGAAAGGCAUUAUUGGAUCUUGGAGCUAGUAUUAAUUUGAUGCCUUUAUCAAUGCUGAAGAAAAUUGGAGAUGUAGAAGUGAAACCAGCAAGAAUGACUUUGCAGUUGGCUGAUAGAUCAAUCAAAUAUCCACAUGGAAUAGUUGAAGAUUUAUUGGUAAAGGUAGAUAAAUUUCUAUUCCCAGUAGAUUUUGUUGUAAUGGAUAUUGAAGAAGAUGUUGAAGUACCUUUGAUAUUGGGAAGACCAUUCAUGAAAACUGCCAAAGUUAUAAUUGAUGUAAACAAAGGAAAAUUGAAGGUUUGUGUUCUAGAUGACAAAGUAAGCUUUAAUGUUUUUGAAGCAAAGAAAUAUUCAAAUGAUCAUAAAGAGUGUUUCAGAGUGGAUAUGAAUGUUGUUGAACCUUCAAUGAUGUUAAUCAGGCGUCAAGCUAUAUGACGUUAAACGAGCGCUUGCUGGGAGGCAACCCAGUGUUUUGUUCUGAAAUGUGUCUUUAAUUUUUGUUUUGAAAUGUGUCUUUAAUUUUUGUUUUGAUUUAGUAGUAUGUUUUAAUAUUUGAUGUCUUUAAAACCAGUUUGAUAUGUGAAAUGGUCAUGUAGGUUUGAAAUGUUAGGUGAAAUGAAUGGAUGGAAGAAGGCUUAGAAAGGUUUGAAACUUUUGGCAAAGACAAAAUGAAAAUUUUCAAGAAAAUUUCAUUGCAGGGUAAUUUUAGCUUAAGCUAGAACUUUUAGCCUAAGCUAGUUAUGCAGAAAAAGAAGAAAAAAAUUUGUUAUGCAGCUUUCGCUUAAGCUAAAAUGAGCUAGCUUGAGCUAGAAAACUCUGUUGCUCUCUGCCAAAUUUUAGCUUAAGCUAAAAAGAGCUAGCUUGAGCUAGAAAACUUUGUUGCUCUCUGCCAAACUUUAGCUUAAGCUAAAACGAGCUAGCUUGAGCUAGAGCAAAUUUGUUGCUCUCUGCCCAAUUUUAGCCUGAGCUAAGAAGCUCUAGCCUAAGCUAGUGAGAUUUCUAAAAAAAAAAAAAAAAAACUGCAGCAUUUUAUAAAAAUCACAUUUUGAAAACCCUGCAACCUAACUCAAUUUCAGAAGCACCCUCUGUUCUAAAAAAAUCCCAAAGCUUCCAACUACAUAAUCAUUCUCAAACAAACAUUUCAUCUACAUUGCCAUUAUCAAGGUAAGUAAUUACUCAUCUCCAUAAUCAUUUUCAUUGUCAUUUCCAUUUCACAGUCCAGACAUGCGUGUUUCUAUUUCCAUUUCACAGUUUCGUUUUUUAAAUUGAAAGAUUCAAUCUUUUUGAAAUUUCAAUGUCUUGAUGUAAAAUAGGAUUGUGGAAUGGGAUAAUCAAAGUUAAGUACGGUUUCCAUGGAUUAAAUACCAAAACAAAAAUUACUCAUUCAAUGUCAUUCUACAUCAUGCAUACCAAGUGUUUGUUAAAAUGUCAAUCAAAUAGAACACUUUGGUUUGAGAAAUGUUUAUUCUUACAUAUGCAGAAAAAUGAGUCACACCAAAUCCACAACUGGUAUUAAAUAAUCCGUCGUUGACACGCACUGAAUUUCAUGAUUAGCUAUCUUGGCCUAGGGACAUGCACAGUUUUUCAGGGGAGGCAAGAGAAUUUGGAGUUGGGACUAGAGUUGAAGGUACACCAGAAAUGGCAGCUGGACCAUCUGGAGCAGCAGAAGAUGAAGAUCCAAACCAAGUUCAGAAUGAUGAUGUUGGCACGGAGCGGAACAAAGUCAUAAAAGGAGAUUGAUACUUCUCAUGCACAAUGAACAGAAAACUGGUUUUAUCUUUUUGUUUAACUUUACUUUCAGUUUAAUUUAGUAAGUUGACUUUAGUAGUUUGGUUUCAUAAUUCUUACUUUAGAUUUUGUUGAUGACAAGCUUAAGUUAGUAUAAUGGUUGAUGUUUGCAUAUUUUGUGAAGUGAAAUCUUGUAUAUAGAUAGAUGAUGGUAUAAUUUUUUGGAAAAAGAAAUCAAACCAUAGUUCUAAAUUAGAACAACCAAAUGGAUUGAUCAGGGACUUAAUUUGAAAAAGAAUUUGUGGUUGGAACCAUCACUCAAAUUGAGAAAGGAUAUUAAUGUGUAAAAGUUGGAACAAGGUAAAUAGUUGAAAGCAAUGACUGAAAACAAAUGAGGAAUUGAAAUUAGCCAACCAAGUGAGAGUGUGAAACCUUUAAACAGUUUGAGAGACUUUCAGUAGUGAAGAGUUAAUUGAGGUUGCCUAAUUUUCUAGUCAAUUUGCAUCACAAAAUCAAAUAUGGAGAUGAUUGAGGCAUGUUUAAUAGAGUGGAGGUGAGAAAACUCAGAACCAAACAGCUAACCUUUGCAAUAUAUGAUGAAAUGUGCAGAAAAAUAACCCUUUUUGAGCCAAAUUUGUUUUAUUGCACCCUAGCUUCUGAUAUACAUAUAUUGUCCUACCUUGUGGUAUGCUAACAAAAGGAGAGCAUAGGUGCAAUUCAAAUUUCUAUAAUUAAAAGAAUUGGGUUUGGUGUGGCUGUUGGGAUUUUGAGAAUGAAAAAAAAAAGAAAAAGAAAAAAAAAGGAAAUGACAAAAUUAUCCAAAUUCUCAUUCUCUUUUCUAAAAAAAAAAAGAAAAAAAAAGAGAAAAAGAAAAACAAAGGGGAUUACAAGAAUAUAAAAAUAAGCAAUGUGAAUGAAUCUUAUGGAAGGGAUAAUGGAUAACACAAUUAGAAAGUGAAUUGCAAAUAUGCUAAUCUUUUGUUAACUGUGCAUUUUGUUAUCCUGGAAAAACCAAAUUUUCUUUAUAACCCAGCCUCAUUACAACCUGAAAAGACCUCAAGCUCUAUGUUUGUGAAAGUGUUUGUAAUCAACUGGAAAUGAAGGGCAACCUUAAAUUAACUUGGAAUUCAGUGAAAAAAAGAGGGAAAACACUCACCAGUGAGGAAUGAAGAGAGAAAUUCUUUAGUUUGAUUCUCAAUGAAGAGUAACAAUUGUUUACCUUGGAAAUUGAAUACAUUCUUAUCCUGUCUUGGUUUGAAUUGAUAGGAAACACCAUAAUUUUUUGUUGAAUUAUCUUGUGCUCUUUCCAUGAAGUUGUUCUGAUAUUAAACUAUAGAUUUGAUUUCUAAGGAUUUUGGGGAAGAAUGAAUUCAUAUUUUUUGGGAUUCAAUUACUUUGCUUGAGGACAAGUAAGAUUCUAGGUUAGGGGGAAUUUGAUAAGUGCCAAUGUGUAGUUUUUAUGAUUGAGAAAAUUGAACACUUUGGAACUUAAUUGUUGCUUAAUGUAAGAAAAUUACCCUAAUCUGAGAAUUAUUGAAUCUGAUUAUAUAUUUUUUGAACCAAGAAACAAAUGAAGAAAUUUAAUCUCAAUUUUAGUGUAAAUUGCAGAUGAAUAUGAAGCAUUGAAAGAAUUAUUCAAGCUGGCUUUGAAAGAAAAAAAAAUGUAAAAACUUAAUUGGAUCACAAGAAGAUUUAGCUCAAGCUAGAGGAUUUAGCUCAAGCUAAAAUUGUCCAGAAUUGAUUAAAGGUGCAGUAGAAUUCUAGCCCAGGCUAGAAUUGCUAGCUCAAGCUAAAACUGUCCAGAGCUGAUUAAAGGUGCAGUACUGAUCUAGCUCAGGCUAGAAUCGCUAGCUCAAGCUAAAAAUGCACCGAAAGAUCUAGCUCAAGCUAAAACGGGCUAGCUUGAGCUAAAGUUGAUUAUAUAAAUUCUAAAACAUAACUCAAAACGAGCGGUGGAAAACAGAUUAGGUUUUUUAGAAAGAGACUAGUGAGAGAAAGAGAAGAAACCUCUGUUCUUAGGAAAAGAACUUGCUCAGAUCAGCCCUUCUUAUGCAAUCCAGAUCAAGAAUGAAGAUUGGAGGAGCUGUCAUGAGUGGCUAAGUUCUUUCUAACUUGGGAUUGAAUGUAAUUUAUCUUGAUCAAAUGUAUUCUUGGUGAUAUAUAUAUAAAAUUCUCUUUUCUACUUGUUCUUGGUAUUUUCGUUUUAUGCUUAUUGCUUGAUUCUGUCUGAUCAAUAGAGUCUUGAUUUUGAUCCUUAAAUUUAACUGGAAAGUACCUUUAAGGAUCUGAAAUAAACGAAAAUACUUGAUAACUUGUAAUGCUAGGAAUAGAUUCCAGGUUAUUGAUUGCAUUAUAAUUCUGUUCCUAAAGCUGGAUGAUUUGUUAAAUAUCUGAGGAAUCAGUGUUUGAGAAAUUAUCUUAUGAAUUUCAUCUGUGAGGAAUCAAGAUGAAUGACUUUAAAUUAAGCAUCAAGAAUAAAUAGUUUUGAGUAUUAUAUAUUGUAUUAUUCAAAAUACAGAUGAUUGAGAUAAACGCAAUUCAAUCCCAAGUAUCUUUCUCUAUAUUUGAUAAGUUGGUUUUGUUACAUCCAAAAUCAAACCCUAAAUCUUUGAGUUCUUGUGAAAUCUUUAAUUUGGUUAUGAACAAAGUCUCAAAAUUAUUUUCUAUACUUAAUGAGUUUUAAAACAGAACAUCUUAAUUAGAAUUGUUCUCUGUGGGUUCGACAUUCGUACUUUAAAGAGUACUAUAUUACAGUUGAUUCGGUACACUUGCCGAGAAAGAUCAACAAUAACCCAAUAGUGGAUAUGCCUUUUAGAUACUUCAUAAUUCUUUUGGCAGCUUUAAGGUGUGAUUCUUUCGGAUUGGACUGAAAUCUAGCACAAAGGCAUACUGCAAACAUAAUAUCUGGUAUGCUGACUGUAAGGUAGAGCAAAGAGCCAAUAAAAUCCCUAUAUUUGGAUUGAUCUACUACAAUUCCAACUGCAUCAGCAUCCAUGUAGCAGCUUGUGGACAUUGGUGUAGUUGCCUCUUUACACUGCUCCAUUUCAAACUUUUUGAGGAUUUCCUUGCAAUACUUGGAUUGACUUAGAAAGAUGCCAUCCUUUGAUUAUUGGACCUGCAGUCCCAAGAAAAAGGACAACUCUCCCAUCAUUGACAUUUCAAGUUCUCCUUGCAUAGCUGUCACAAAUUCUUUACAGAAGUUAUCAUUAAUAGCACCAAAAAUAAUGUCAUCAACAUAGACUAAAAUAAUGGAAGAAAUUUGAUUUUUUGAUAAAGAGAGUUUUGUCAACCUUCCCUCUUUCAUAGUCAUGAGACAAGAGGAAAUUACUUAACCUCUCAUACCAUUGCCUUGGAGCUUUCUUAAGACCAUAUACAAGACCUUUUUCAGCUUGUAUACAUGCUUGAGAUGUUGAUGACUCUACAAACCCGGGUGGUUGUGAGACAAAGACCUCUUCAUUGAUAACUUCGUUAAGGAAGGCACUCUUCACAUCCAUUUGUUACAAUUUGAACCCAUUCAUGCAAGCAAAGGCUAGCAGUAACCUUACAGCUUCCAAUCUGGCUACUAGUGCAAAGGUCUCGUCAUAGUUUAUCCCUUCUUCCUGAUUGUACCCUUUUGCAACAAGUCUUGCUUUGUUCCUUGUUACCACCCUGAUUCAUCUACCUUGUUUCUGAACACCCACUUUAUUCCAAUGAUGUUCAUCUGAUCUAUUUUGGGAACUAGGAGCCACACAUCAUUCCUGACAAAUUGGUUUAGCUCCUCAUGCAUAACAGCAGUCCAAUUCUCAUCCUUGAGAGCUUCAUCAACUUAUUUGGGUUCAACUUGAGAGAUGAAGGCCAUGCUGCAGUAGUUUGCUAUGGUUUUUCGUGUAGAAACUUCCUUAUGAAUUUGUCCAAUUAUGUUUUCCACAGAGAGGUCUCUUGGAAUCCUUCAUUCCUUGGGUAGCUCAUCCUAUUGCAGAAUAUCAAUCGGUUGUUUUUCUAGACAGGUUUCUAGAUUCUUUAGAAAGAUGUUCUGCUCAUCUUCUUUAGCACAAUUCCUCAAGAAACUUUGUUCUGUAGGGUUAGUUUCAUCAAAUACAACAUGUAUAGAUUCCUCUACAGUCAUGAGUAUUUUAUUAUAAACCCUAUAAUCAUGACUAGAUAAAGAGUAACCAAGAAAAAUAUCAUUGUCUGCUUUCUCAUCAAAUUUUCCAAGAUUUUCUUUACCAUUAUUCAAAAAUAUAACACUUACAUCCAAAUACCUUUAGAUUACCUAUAUUGGGUUCCUUCCAUUGAGCAUUUCAUAUGGAGUCUUCUUCAAGAUAGGCCUGAUGAGAACCCGGUUCAUCACAUAACAUGCAGUACUUACAACAUCUGCCCAAAAGUAUUUUGGCAAGGUUACAUCUGGUAGCCACAGCCUUAAUUGGUUGCUUCUCAAUUGAGCUAUAUGCGACCAAGUGCCGCUUCAUCUCUUUGUUCUCCCUUCGGAGGACAUGUAUCUCCUCCUCAUUCUUCUGCCUUAUCUCUGCCAUCUCCCUUUGUGGGGAUAGAAGCAAGACCAUCUGGUCGGCUUCAGUUAUCCUCUUGUAAGUCAUGUUUCGUGUUGAUAUCAUUUACUUCUAUGACUUCUGCUACUCUCUCGGUCCCACGGUAAACACCAAUUAUACUUGUAAAGGGCUAAGACAGUAUUUGCUACCUGUUUGACAACUAAUUCCUCCCCUCGGUCGUGCUUUACUUACUUUCCUUCUUCUUGCAUUCGGGUUUCGGCUCUUGACGGGAGUGCAUCUACAAAAGGUUCUUCGACGCUCAAGUGAGUAUUUAAUAUUUAGGUGUUAUUAAUGUUGUAAUAGUGAAGUACCUUUGCUUUGUCUAAUGUGCUUAUUUAUACCAUUGUAAUUGACUCUAUCAUUGAUGGGUCGUGUUUAUUGUGUAUAAUCAUAAAAAUGAAAUUACCUAAUAUAUCACGUAUUUCUUUUUAUCUUGAUGUAUUUACACUAGUCAGUCGUGCAACAUCUGAUACUUAGAGUUAUAGGAUCAUCCAACCUCGACCAAUACAUGUUUGAUCCAUCAAGAAGAGGUGCAAGUGUUGAACUUAAAUAUAAUAUUGUGGAUAUUCAAUGACUUCAAGAUACUAACCAUUUGAUCCAUUUAAUCUGGCAUAGAUAAGUGUACUAUGUCCUAUAUCCAACAUUUCAAGUAGACAAACAUGGUUGAUAUGUUGAAUUAAAACAAGCCUAAGGUCACAUUGACUCAAAGGUCACAUUGACUCAAAUGACAUGGAAGAGAACGUCCCUUACCAAGUAGAUCAAAUGUCACGUGCCAAUAAAAUCAUAAAAUCAUUGAAGUGGAAGGUAUAUUUGGAUUACAAAGGAAGAAGAGAAAACAAGAAGUUGAUGAUGAUGAUGAUGUGGAGGAGUAAGAAACAGGGUAAAGUAAAUGCAUGCGGCUAUUAAGACAGUAGCAUCGUCUAUGGCUUAUAUAUAUAUAUAUAUAUAUAUAUAUAACAAUGGCUUAUAUAUAUAUAUAUAUAUAUAACAAUGCUUGCGGCUCAUACAUACCCAUACAUGCAGUUCAUGUAACAAAACUUAUAAAUGUAAAUUGAAAAAAAAAUGAAAUACUUUUAAAUUAUACAUAAAACAAAUAGAAUCAGUGUAAAAAACGAGAAAUGAAAUCAAACUUUGUUUAAUUUAGUUUGAAAUAAAGGGAUGAGGCUACGGUGCUUCUUAUGUUGAAAUAAAAACAGAGUACAUAGCAUAUAGUAAGGCAAAACACAUAACAAAUUAUUGAACGGCAACUAUCUUUAUUUCAUAAGCAAUACGAGGAUUUCUGAAUGUAGUAUUAUAUGCUAAAAGGGAAAAGAAUUGACAAAAGUAACAACGAGAAAGCAAAUCCAAUAAACAGCUAAGUAAAGCCAAGCAAGCACAAUGUGAGAAAUGAUGAGAAACAGGGUAAAAUAAAUAUGAAUCUCUUUACUAUGAGCUCUACUCAAAAGAAAAACAAGGAAAGGAUCAGAAAAAAUGAAUUGCAACAAGGACACCAGGACUAAUUCCAUAACUCAAAGGAUCCGGCUGUUCUCACAUUACAAAUUUCUUUAUAAAUCUAGUAAAAGAAUUUUUCUUUGGCAUUGAUUCACUACAUAUUAGAUAGACAGAUGUGUUCUUGACUACCAAUCUAUUACCAAAACUCACAAAAAUCUCCACCUUGUCUCCUGAUCCUAAAUUUGACAUUAUGUCAGCCCAAUCUUCAUUAUUAAAGGAAAUUACCGUGCCAUGGUUGUGUAUCUGGCAUGUGAACUUCGUGUAAUUAACAAUUAAGACAGUACUAAGUUCAGGUUCAAUGAUUUCGGAGGUUGAUAAAUAAACAACACACAAAGCCAUUCCCUUCACCACACGAUCUUGAGGCACCGUGAAAGAAACAGAAUGUCCCUCACCCAUAUGGGCCAACCAAUAAGGAUCAUUGUCACCUGGGAGAGAAACAUCACAUGACUCACUGCUUUCAAAUACCUGUAUCAUGUGAUAAAAAAUGACAUGUUUAGUUAAACAAAAAUGUUAUACAUGAUUAAAACAUAUCUGGUUAAUUUGUGUAUAUAUCACUUUCAUUUCUUUAAGGAUUUAGAAUGCAUUUCUAUUUUUGUCUCUCUUAGUUUAUAUUUCUAUGAUCAUUGGGAAUAAAGCAAUCUUGAAGCUAGUAAAGCAAGAAAGUGGAAAUCAAUUUGGUAGUACUUAGUAUAAGCAUAAUCACUUGGUUAGUUGAUUAUAAAAAUAAGAUACUUUUAGAUGAAUUCGUGGGGCUAGCGAAGCGAAGGGUGCUAAAAGUUCAGUAUUGUAGUUUCUACAAGAUACUUAAUUAGGAUUAUUUUAUGUUCUCUCAAAUAAUAGCUAAAAUGAUGGUGAAGGUAAUAAACAAAGGGAAAGCGAGAGAAGAACCUUAGGUAUGAUAUCGCUCACAGUAUUGAAGAAUUCUUUGUAUCUUCCAACACCAGUCAGAGAAUACCUUACGUGAUGCUUUGAAAGAACUGAUUCUCUAACAUUUGCACCAUAUUCGGCCACUAUGGUUUUUACUUGCUCAGAUAGUUGAAACUCGGCGUCACAUUACACUGAAACGCUUCGAAGAUUUUCGAGGCUGCUAAGCAAUGGUGAUAUAUCAUCCCAAUUAUUAUCUUCCAUAUGCAUGAAGGAAUGAAUAUAAGAUACGGGAUUCAUUGUUGGCGACAUCCGAGACCGAAUGAUAAAAGGAAAAAGAUUAUGUGACAAUCCCUCUAAUCCACGUAGGGAUAUAUAUCCAAUGCUUUUGGGGCUUACAAUUGUAAAAGGCAGUUGUUUCAUAGCUGUAUUUUCAGCAAUUGUAGUCAUGAAGGAUUUCAUUCCCACUAUAUCUAUAUCCAUUAGGUCAAUCUUCGAACAACCAGAUAGAAUCAGAGUUUUUAAACAUUUCAGCUUAUAUAUCUCUCCAGGAAGAUUGCUUAGACUUGUACAGUCCUUCAAAUUUAGCAGUAUAAGAUUGGAGAGACAACCAAUAGAUUGGUGUACUUCGCGCAAUCUUGGACAAUCUUCGAGAAUGAGCUGUUCAAGACUUGGUAGUCCCGAAAAGUCAGGGGUUUCUAUCAAGUACUUGGAGUGACUAAGAUUAAGGACUUUCAGCCACGUCAAAACCUUCAAGAAUAUAGUUUUUGAUAAAAUAUUAGAGAAGAAAAUGAAAAAACGAAAUAGUUAUAACUGAAAACAAAUAAUAAUUUUAAAAGAAAAUGACAAGUAAUAAAAACCUGGGGUUCUUUCCAAACCAAUCGAAGAAAACUGUGUUUUAAAUCAAUCACUAUUGCAUCAUGCAAAUAAAAGUGGUUAGGUAGGUAUUCUGAAGAAAACCCUCGCAAACUGAUCCAUCUUAAUUUCGCAGAAAGGAACUUAGAAUCUGCAGCCAGUUUCAGAAGUCUUGAUGAGUCUCUUACACCUACAGGAGAAUCUCUUGUGGAAGGCCAACCCUGAAUGACUCUUGUCCCCGGUGAUGAAAAGAGCUAAGAGAAACAAAUAUAUUUCGCAUGAGAAAGCAACCACUUCCAAAAGAAGUUUCAAAACCAUAGAUUAAGAAUGUUCUUACAAUAGCAAGCUUCAUAUCCUCAUCAAUGAUUUCACCAAUAAUUUUUCUUCCCAUUUGUCGUAGUAACGAAUGCAUUCCUAAUUUGUUGUUCUUAUUAACUCGUAUGAGACUACGCUCUAUCAGAACUCUUAUUCCACUAUCAGCCUCUAUUCCACAGCCAUUUAGGAUCUUCGUAACAUAGGCUCUGCCUUUACCAACAAAGGAACAACAUAGAUCAAGGAAUAAAUCUUUUUCCAUUUGAUUGCAUAAACCGUCGAAGCUUAUUUUCAGUAUCUGAUCAAAUUUAAUAAGCUCGGGAAUUUUCUUUAGUUGUAAGAGUACUCUAUUCCAUUCUCGUUUCGUCCUUUCAUAUAAAUAACUUCCAAUGACUUCAAGAGCUAGAGGUAGUCCUCCACAAUAAGCAACUACUCUUUCUGCAAGGAAAAGAUAAUCUUCUUUUGGUUUUGCUUCUCUAAAUGCGUGCCAACUAAGAAGCUCAAGGGACUCAUCUGUGUUCAUUAGCUCUACCUGAAAAAUAGAAUCAGCUUGAGAUAUCAUCAGUAGGUUUUCAUGUGUUGUUGUAAUGAUUAUUACACUUCCUCCUCCAUACCAAUGACGGCAUUCCCAUAGUAAUGUGGCAUCAAACGGAGGCACAUCGUCAAGUACAAUGAGCACCCUUUUCCCAGAAAGUCUUUCCUCAAUCAUUCGUCUUCCCAUCUCAAAGCUAUCUAUCUCUACCUUCGUUUUUAGGACAUCUGAAAGGAUUUGUUCUAGUAAACGAAGACCCCCUUUUAUUCCGCUAAUUUGUCUAAUUUCUUCAAUGAAACUUUUCUCCGUGAAUGUACCAUGAAUUUGAUGGUAGAUGGCUUUAGCAAGGGUGAUUUUACCAGAUCCUCCCUGUCCACAUAUUGCUAUCCUACAAACUUCCGUGGAUUUAUUUUUGAUAGCUCGAGUAAGAUCCUCCAUGCGCGAUUGUAAUCCAACUGGAAAUUUAGUAGCAGACAAGACUGGUAAAUUAAGAACGGUCUUAACAAUUUUGUCCACCAGUUCAGCAUCACUCCUUCAAGUUCAAUAGCAAUCAUGGAAGAAGUCAAGUAGUACCAAAAUUAAAUGAGAAGCUGAAAACAUGGUGAUUGAGUGAGUGAUUUACCUGUAAUUGCUCUCAUCCCAUCCAAAGAAAUUUGCAGCUUUGGUGAGUGCGUGGCUCCAUUUGGACAUGGCAUGUGCCAGUUGUUGUCCUGAAAAUGUUUGGUGUGCAGUUGCUUUGAAGGCUUUUCCAAAAUCACCCAUCUGAAGACGCACAUCAGAUGGCUGAAUUUCGUAAUAAACGGGCAGAAGAUGUCGACAAUAAGUUUCUUGCCAUCUAAUGAUUUGUUGAAGCUGAUGAAGACACCAAGCAGAUUGAGAAUAGGUUUUGGUGAAAACAACAAUAGCUACACGAGAGAGAUUGAGAAUAGGUUGUUGGAUGUGCGUUUGGUUGAGUGCAUUGGGGUGGUGAAGGAAAGUGGUGAAGCCAACAGCAGAGAGGGCAGAAUCGAGAUGAGACACAAACUUCCUUUGGAUGUCUUCUCCACUAAAGUUGAUGAGUACAUCGUACAUCCGUGGGAGUUUGGAUGUUGAAGAGGCCAAUUCCAUGGAAGGAAUUGACGAGGUCAUGAACUUUUAGCAGAAGGGAAACCAAUAAUGCAACGCAGUCAAAUAUAUAUGUUUUAAUCAUAUUUGUUUUAUUUUUUAAUAUAUAUGUUUGCUGUGAGUGUGAUGUCAAAUAAUUUUAUUUUACAAUUUUUAUAGUCAAAUGAUAUCACAGAACCUCUUUUACUUUAGCCAUUUGUCCAACGCACGCAACUUUGAAUCACUGAAAAAAUAAAUAUUAUACUAAUACCUAUGAAAUUUUCUCCAAUAUAUUCCUUUUUUUUUUUAUAUUAUGCGUCCAUUUUUUAAGUUUUAAAAUAUAACAAAUGCAUCUUUGUUUACAUCACCCAUACACCUCGUUAACAUAAAUCAUUGUAACAGAAUAAAAAAAAAAGUAUAAAUAUAAUUUGAAAAAAUUUACGACAGGUCAUUUUUGAUAAACAAAGUAAAGGAAUUUAAUGUCUCUUUAUUAAAAUAUAAGAAUGUUAACGUCAUCAUUAAAAAUAUUAGUUAAGUGAAUGUCUUUUCUAAAAUUACAUUAUAGUGUCAUUUUAUUAUAAAUUAAAAAAAUGUUUUAAUGUUAGAGGAAAUAUGUGCCUAUAACUUCAAAAAAAAAAAAAUACAUGUAAUUUUCUCUUUUAUUUAAAAUACAGAUUGUAAAAAAAUGAAUGAAAGUGAUAAAUUUGAUAUAAUUUUAUUUAUUACCAAAGUGAUCAAAUCUUUAAGUUUUAUUUAAUUCCAGAUUACUGAUAAAUUUUAUUCCAAUUACCUAUAGAAUGGAUGCUAAAUUAUUUAUAUAUAUGGGUAAAUGGAAAUUCAUUAUUAUAGGGCAUUAUGGAUCACCCAAAGGUUGAUUAGUUGUCCUUAUAAUUAAUGGAUAUGACUGUUGGUAGUGAGUAUGUGUUAUUAGUUUUGCUUGUAUAUCCAAAGAUAACAAGUGUUUCUAGUUAAUGCAUACAUCUUGCCAAAUAAAGUUAAUACUAUUAGCAUCAUUAUGUUUUGUGUAUUAAUGAAUCUCUCAAAGGAGAACAUUAGUAUACAUAGAAUGCUUUCUGAAUCUGUAUAGAAUGUUUAGUUUAUGACUCAAAGUAUUAAUGUUAAGCAUGUGUGAUCAAGUAUUGUUCCUAUAUCUUUAUGCGAAUGAGCAUAACAAUUAAUAUUAAGUCUGCUCUUCCCAAAACUGAUGGUGCAAAAGAAUUUAUGAAAUUUGUGGAAGAGCGCUCCCAAACUACUGAUAAGUCUCUUGUUGGGNNNNNNNNNNNNNNNNNNNNNNNNNNNNNNNNNNNNNNNNNNNNNNNNNNNNNNNNNNNNNNNNNNNNNNNNNNNNNNNNNNNNNNNNNNNNNNNNNNNNNNNNNNNNNNNNNNNNNNNNNNNNNNNNNNNNNNNNNNNNNNNNNNNNNNNNNNNNNNNNNNNNNNNNNNNNNNNNNNNNNNNNNNNNNNNNNNNNNNNNNNNNNNNNNNNNNNNNNNNNNNNNNNNNNNNNNNNNNNNNNNNNNNNNNNNNNNNNNNNNNNNNNNNNNNNNNNNNNNNNNNNNNNNNNNNNNNNNNNNNNNNNNNNNNNNNNNNNNNNNNNNNNNNNNNNNNNNNNNNNNNNNNNNNNNNNNNNNNNNNNNNNNNNNNNNNNNNNNNNNNNNNNNNNNNCAGCUUCUUGAAAUUAUACACACUGAUAUAUGUGGACCUUUUGAUGCAAGUUCUUUCAAUAAAGAAAGGUAUUUUAUCACCUUCAUUGAUGAUUUUUCACGUUAUGGUUAUGUCUAUUUACUGCAUGAAAAAUCGCAAGCGGUGAAUGCCUUGAAAGUUUAUAUAAAUGAAGUGGAAAGGCAAUUAGACAGAAAGGUGAAAAUUGUCAGGUCAGAUAAAGGUGGUGAAUAUUAUGGAAAGUAUGAUGAAAGUGGACAACACCCUGGUCUGUUUGCUAAGUUCCUUGAGAGACGUGGUAUUUGUGCUCAAUACACAAUGUCUGGUACACCACAACAAAAUGGUGUUUCAGAAAGGCGUAAUCGAACCUUAAUGGAUAUGGUUAGGAGCAUGUUAAGGAAGUCAACUGUACCUGUUUCAUUGUGGAUGUAUGCUUUAAAACUGCCAUGUAUCUGUUGAACAGGGUUCCUAGUAAGGCAGUUCAAAAGACACCUUUUGGAUCAUGGACAGGAAGGAAACCCAGUUUGAGACACCUGCAUGUUUGGGGAUGUCAGGCAUAAGUUAAAAUAUACAAUCCGCAAGAGAAGAAAUUGGAUGCAAGAACAAUCAGUGGAUAUUUCAUUGGUUAUCCAGCAAAGUCAAAAGUGUUGGGUCUAUUAGUGUCUAAGUUCAAGAGGGGAGGGGUGAAUUGAGCUUAUAAAUUUUUUGCAAGAACACACAAUUUUCAGUAUUCCAGAGGCAAAAAGAACAGAUUGUUUUUAUAUGAAACAGAUUGAUUCUACAGAGCAGUCUUGGCACAGUUUGAAUUUGUUCAAUGUAAAAUUGUGAUUAACAGAGAAUUAUGACAGAAUCAGAUCAGCUUAAUAUUGUGAGGAUGAAAGCUAUGCUUAGGAACCACACAAAAUUACUCAACACACGAUUUUAAGACAAAUGAUUCUUUCUCAGAUUUAAUGAAUGGGCAGUUUAUUCACAAAUCACUUAAUCCAUCAUAUACAACAACCUUAUUUAUGAUCAGAGAACUUUAACAAACCAGGAAGAACAGUUUUCACUUAAACCUAGAAUUAACAGAUUCAAUUUCAAGAGAACAGAUUUAGUUCUUGACAGAAUUCAGUAAAACCAGAAACGAGUGCAGGGAUGAGAAGAAAAGGCACACAAGUUUUUAUACUGGUUCACUCACACAGAGCUACAUUCAGUCUCACCUUACCCCAAGGUGGAAUUCACUAAAAACAGUACCAAUUACUUACAAACACAGCAGUUCUUGAACCCUACAAGAACAACACAGUCAAUGCUGAAAAACCCUAUUUCAGCACACGUUGCACUCCAAGAAACCCUAUCAAGAAGUGACUAACACUUACACCUUUACAAACAAGAAUAAAGGAAAGAUUACACCUGAAAAGAAGAUGCAAGAACUCAAAACCAGUAGUUCAAUUUGCUGCAGAACUGCACCAGCACCUUCACCAAGAUCAAAGGUUUCCUAGAACAAGCACACUUGAAAAUCUCUUUGGAAAACCUUUUGAAAAUCUUUCAAUCCUUCUCCUCACAUGGAAAAUGUUUGAUCUCUGUCAAAAACGUAAUUGCUCAGCUUACUUUCAUGUGAGAAAGCCUUUUCUUUAUAUAGAAAACAGUUUCUAACUUCUUUUCAAAAAAAAAACGGUUGAAAAGCAGUUAUGAAAACAACAGAUUCAUUUUUGAACUUAACAGAUUUAUUUUGUGAAAAACAGCCAACUCAGCUUAACUGAAAUAACUAACUAAGCCUUACCUGUGGUGCCCUAACAGAAUUUUAGAAAAGCCUUUUAACAGAGAAGAAAUAAACAGAUUUUUUCUCCAUGAAACAGAUUUAUUUUUGUACUGUUUUAAAAUCUUUUAAGAGCACUUUUUAAAAGCUUUUCAUAAACCUUUUAACAGAGAAGAAAUAAACCGAUUCUUUCUCUAUGAAACAGAUUUAUUUUUGUACUGUUUUAAAACUUUUAAGAGCACUUUCAAAAGCUUCUCUGAGCAGACGGCGACCGUAGAUGGCAAUGCUCCACAUGAUCGCCGGUCGGUGGUCAGCAUAGCUACUUGAAAAGACGGUGUAUGAUCGCCGGUCGGUGGUCAGCAUAGCUACUUGAAAAGGCGGUGCAUGAUCGCCGGUCGAUUUGAGGCAGAACACUUUCAAAAGCUUUUCAAAAACCAUUUAACCACAUCAUGUGCUUGAUCUAGGCUUGGUUAGGCAUCUAGGGUGGGUUAUAUAGCAAAAGGCAACCUUUACACAAUUACAAGCCUAAUUACAAACUAAUCUAAAAACCUAUUACAAUCUUCAAAGCACCCAAGCUAUUUUCUUCAUCAAACACACAUCAAGCCUUGGUAGGGAAGAAGCUUCCUCCAGCUUCAACAAAAAGGGUAUAUGUUUUACUGUCCUACCCAUAGCACAAGAAUUGUUGAAUCUGGAAAUGCAAGGUUCAUUGAAAAUGGUGAAACCAGUGGGAGUAAUACUUCACAAAAUGUGGAGAUUAAGGAAGUUAGAGUACAAGUUCCUUUAACUAGUACCUUUACUUCAAGUAUUGUUGUUCCUAAUGUAGUUGAGUCACUCAACGAUGAAGAAGAACAACAAAUUAAUGAUCAUGAAGAAAACAAUGAACCUGUAGUAGAACAACCACAAGAAAUAGUAUUAAGAAGAUCUCAAAGAGAAAGAAAGUCUGCUGUUUCGAAUGAUUAUGUGGUUUAUCAACAAGAGUCAGAAAAUGACUUAAGUAUUGAUAAUGAUGUAUGGGACCUUAUAGAAUUGCCAGAAGGAUGCAAGAGAGUCGGGUGUAAAUGGGUCUUUAAGACUAAACGUGACUCUCAUGGCAAUAUCGAACGUUACAAGGUCCGACUUGUUGCCAAAGGUUUUACUCAAAAGGAUGGCAUUGAUUAUAAGGAGACAUUUUCACCUGUUUCUAAGAAAGAUUCCUUUUGAAUUAUCAUGGCAUUAGUAGCUCAUUAUGAUCUUGAGUUGCAUCAGAUGGAUGUCAAAACUGCUUUUCUGAAUGGGGAUUUAGAAGAGGAUGUUUAUAUGGACCAACCAGUGGGGUUUAUUGAAGAAGGAAAGGAACACAUGGUGUGUAAACUUAAGAAAUCAAUAUACGGGCUUAAACAGGCUUCUAGGCAAUGGUAUCUUAAGUUCAAUGAUACUAUUGUGUCCUUUGGGUUUAAGGAAAACAUCGUUGAUCGGUGUAUAUAUCUGAAGGUCAGUGGGAGCAAGUUUACAUUCUUGAUUCUGUAUGUUGAUGAUAUCUUGCUUGCAACUAAUGAUCUUGGUCUAUUAAGUGAGACUAAGAAGUUUCUCUCUAAUAACUUUGAGAUGAAAGAUAUGGGUGAGGCAUACUAUGUGAUAGGAAUUGAAAUAUUCCGUGACAGAUCACAAGGACUGUUAGGUUUGUCUCAGAAAGCAUAUAUUAAAGUUUUAGAGAGAUUCAGAAUGGAUAAAUGUUCGACAUCUCCUGUUCCAAUAUAGAAAGGAGACAAAUUUAGUCUCAUGCAAUGUCCAAAGAAUGACUUGGAACGGAAACAGAUGGAGAAUAUACCUUAUGCAUCUAUUGUUGGGAGUUUAAUGUAUGCUCAAACUUGUACACGACCAGAUAUUAGUUUUGUAGUUGGUAUGCUUGGUAGAUACCAGAGUAAUCCAGGAUUGGAUCAUUGGAAAGCUGCAAAGAAAGUUUUAAGAUACUUGCAAGGAACGAAGGAUCACAUGCUUACUUAUAAAAGAUCUGAUCAACUUGAGGUGAUUGGAUAUACAGAUUCAGAUUUUGCUGGCUGUGUGGAUACACGAAAGUCUACAUUUCGUUAUGUGUAUCUUUUAGCCGGAGGAGCGAUUUCAUGGAAAAGUGCGAAGCAGUCAGUCAUCGCUGCGUCCACUAUGGAGGCUGAAUUUGUGGCAUGCUUUGAGGCCACAGUUCAGGCUAAUUGGUUGCGGAAUUUUAUUUCAGGACUUGAAAUUGUUGACAGUAUUGCCGUGCCCAUAAUGGAUCUAUUGUGAUAACUCCGCAGCAGUCUUCUUUUCUAAAAACGACAAGUAUUCCAAAGGUGCUAAACAUAUGGAAUUGAAAUACUUUGCCGUUAAAGAAGAAGUUCAGAAACAUAAAGUGUCAAUAGAACAUAUUAGCACUGAUCUUAUGAUUGCUGACCCUUUAACAAAAGGGUUACCGCCCAAAACAUUUACUGGUCAUGUUGUAAAUAUGGGCAUUAUGUCUACUAGUGAAUUAUGAAUGUUGUUAAUGCUUAUUUGACACUCUGAGCUCAUUGAUAAAUAAAGUUUCUGAAAUUUAUGUUGUUUUCUACUUUAUGUAUAUGCAUGCAAAUUAUGUUAUUAUGGUGUCGAAAACAAAUUAUGUUGUUAUUGAUGACAAUGACAUUAUGUUUGAACCUAUUAUGAAUUUCUCACUAUAAAGUCAUAUUAAGGAGAAAGAAUGAUAUAGUAGUACAUGGAAGGAAAUGUGUUGAUUCAAAUGACAUGUAACCGCCAUGACUCUUAUUAUUUCUGUAUUCUUGAUUAUGAAUAAUGAUAGAACCAAUUUAUGUAAGGCCUUUUAAAUGCACAUUUAUGUCAUUAUUAAAUCAUGAAAGUAUUAUAACUCAUAUGAGUCAAGUGGGAGAAUGUAAGAAAUUAUGUAAAUUAAUUUCUAUAAAGUGACUCACAUGACUUAGAGUUUGGGUUUUGGGCCCAAAUAUGAUUUAAUAAUAAUAAUAGAAUAAAGGCUCAUUGGUUAAUGUGAGAAAUAUAUAUAUCUGAUGAUAUACCUAAUGGAAAACCUACAUCUGAUGGAGAUUGGGUACUAAAGGCUAUAGGGUUCUGUCUCUGCAAAUAAUAGUUGUCUCACUGUUAACCAUCACGAAAAUGCGUGACAAGUACGGAAUUGCUAAGAGAUAGAUUGGGAUAAAGGAGAUAAAGUAACUGCUCAAUUAGGAUCACUCAUGGAUCAAGGUAAGUGCCUAUUUCUUCUUCACUUUAUGUUUUGUGAGAAUCAUGAUAUGAUAAGAUCUAUAUGUGAACACAUUAUUGUAUUUGUUUAAUUUACGUUUAUUCAUGUUUUGACUUACAUGACUGUGUUGCAUUAUUGCUUUCUCUUCUAAACACUUCAUCAACUCAUCACUUCCUUCCAUGGAAUUGGCGUCUUCAUCAUCAAAACUGCAAGAAUGUACGAUGUGCUCAUAAACUUUAAUGGAGAAGACAUCCAAAGGAAAUUUGUUUCUCAUCUCGAUUCUGCCCUCUCUGCUGUUGGCUUCACCACUUUCCUUCACCACCCCAAUGCAGACAACCCAAUCCACAUCCAACAACCUAUUCUCAAUCUCUCUCGUGUAGCAAUUGUUGUUUUCACCAAAUCCUAUUCUCAAUCUGCUUGGUAUCUUAAUCAGCUUCAACAAAUCAUCAAAUGGCACCAAACUUAUUGCCGACAUGUUCUGCCCGUAUAUUACGAAAUUCAGCCAUCUGAAGUACGUUUUCAGGAGGGUGAUUUUGGAAAGGCCUUCAAAACAACUGCACACCAAACAUUCUCAGGACAACAACUGGAGCAUGGCAUGUCUAGGUGGAGCCACGCACUCACCAAAGCUGCAAAUUUAUUUGGAUGGGAUGAGAGCAAUUACAGGUAAAUCACUCACUCAAUCACCAUAUUUUAAGCUUCUCAUUUCAUUUUGGUAAUGCAUGAAAUGACUUCUUCCAUAAUUGCUAUUGAACUUGAUGGAGUGAUGCUGAACUAGUGGACACAAUUGUUAAGACCGUUCUUAAUUUACCAGUCGUGUCUGCUACUAAGUUUCCAGUCGGAUUACAAUCCAACGUGGAAGAUAUGAUUCGAACUAUCAAAAAUAAAUCCACGGAAGUUUGUAGGAUAAUGAUAUGCGGAGAGGGAGGAUCUGGUAAAACCACCAUUGCCAAAGCCAUCUACCAUCAAAUUCAUGGUACAUUCACGGAGAGAAGUUUCAUUGAAGAUAUUGAAGAAGUUAGCGGAAUAAGAGGGGAUCUUCAUUUACAAGAACAACUUCUUUCAGAUGUCCUAAAAAGAAAGGUGCAGAUAGAUAGCGUUGAGAUGGGAAGAAGUAUGAUUCGGGAAAGACUUUCUGGGAAAAGGGUGCUCAUUGUACUUGACGAUGCGACUGAGUUUUUUGCAUUAUUCGACCUACGGGAAUGCCAUCAUUGGUUCAGUGUAGGAAGUGUAAUAAUCAUUACAACGAAAGAUAAAAACCUACGGAGUAUGCAUGAUGUUGAUUCUGUUUUUCGCAUAGAUCCAAUGAAGGCAAAGGAGUCCCUUGAGCUUCUUAGUUGGCACGCAUUUAGAGAAGCAAAACCAAAAGAAGAAUAUCAUUUCCUUGCAGAAAGAGUAGUUGCUUAUUGUGGAGGACUACCUCUUGCUCUUGAAGUCAUUGGAAGUAGUUUAUUUGAAAAGACUAGAGAAGAAUGGAAUAGUGUGUUUAUUAAAUUAAUGACAACUUCCAUGCAUGGUAUUCUACAUCAAUUGAAAAUAGGCUUUGACUCUUUACGCAAUGAAAGGGAAAAAAAUGUAUUCCUUGAUGUAUGUUGUUUCUUUGUUGGUAAAGACAGAGCUUAUGUUACGAAUAUACUAAGUGGGUGUGGAGUACACGCUGAGAGUGCAAUAAGAGUUCUGAUAGAGCGUAGCCUCAUACAAGUUAAAAAGAACAACAAAUUGGGAAUACAUCCUUUGCUACGAGAAAUGGGAAGAAAAAUUAUUAGUGAAAUUUCAAGAAAGGAAUCUGUGAAGAGCAGUCGAUGGUUCAUUGAUAAGGAUGCGGAAUAUGUAUUGACAGAUAAUAUAGUAAGAAAUUCUCUAUAUAUGGUUUUGAAAGUUCUUUUGGAAGUGUUUGCUUCCUCAUGUGCAAAACAUUCAUUUGGUUUACUUUGCUUCUUUCAUCACAGGGGACAGAAGCCAUUGAGGGAUUCAUUGUGAAACUGCGUUCCGCCAGAAGAGAUUGGAUCGAAGCAUAUCCUUUAGAGAUAAGAGACAUAUCAAAACUGUUGCAACUCGUUGGGUAUCGUUGUAAGCUCAAAAUACAUUGGAUAUAUAUACCUACGUGGAUUUGAGGGAUCGUCACAUAAUCUUUUUCCUACUAUCAUUCGGUCUUGGAUGACACCAACAAUGAAUAUAAUUGUUGGGUUUUUAGAAUAUUUCAGAGGAAGAUAUUUUAUUAUCUUUGCUAACAAUUACAUUUAUAGUAACUGCAGUAACAAACUCUUAACUAAUUUUAUGAGCAGUUACCUAGAAAUAUUAAAUCAACAAUUAAAACAGAAUAACAAACCGUUAAAAAAUCAUAAUUUCCAACACUCCUCCUUGAUUUUUUGAACUGCAACUUCCAAUCUUCUGUCUUGAGAACUCAAACUUGUUGGUUGGAAGUGGCUUGGUAAACAAAUCUGCAAUUUUUAUUUUUUUCAUCCUCGCUUUGCUUAAUCUCCAUUCAACACCUUUUGAUUUGACAUAAGGUGCAGAUUCUAAAAGACUUUUGUCAAAGCCUAAGCUGAUAAGAUAACAUUUGUCUUCUUUUCCUUCCACAAUGAGACCUUUAGGUUGCUCAACAGAAAUUUUCUCUUCAAGAAAUCCAUUUAGGAAUGUUGACUUGACAUCCAUUUGAUGCACCUUUCUAUCUCGAAGUAUGUUAACAAGUUCCCGAGUUUUGUUCUUCUCACUCAUAUAUACCUCUUCCUCCAUUGCCUUUGGGCCGUUGAUAACUUUUUUGUGAUCAACAGGUUCUUUGUGAUCCGCAGCUUCUUUGUGAUCCACAGGUUCACAUAUUGCAACGUUAUAUCUAUGAUAUAUGUCAGAGAGUAAUCGAUUGCCUUUAAUUGGUGGAUCGUCUUCUAUUUCAGAUUUUUGCAUCUUGAGAAGUCCUUGAUUAGACGGCUCCUCCUGAAAUAGAUCUAAUGAGAAAUUUUUGCCUUUCAUUUGUACCUUGAACAAAUCUUGUCCUGUAGCAUCCUUGAUCGAACAGUGGUUAUCUUCAAAAAACACCUUGAAGCCUUUUUGCAGCAACUGACCAACACUCAAUAAAUUUUGGUCUAUGUUAGGUACAUAUAACACAUCAGUAAUAGUUUUAGUACCUGAAUGUGUUGUUACAACAAUGGUUCCUAUUCCUUUUACUGAAAUGUGACCCCCAUGGCCUAUCUUGACCUUUGAAAUUUUUGAAGGCUUCAACUCCUUGAAAUUUUUUUUGUCAUAAGUCAUGUGAUUUGUGCUUCCACUAUCAAUUAACCACGAUGCACUUGAAAUAUUGUUGGAGAAUCCCCCUCCACAUUUGCAAAUUGAGCAUCUACGUCUUUUUGCUCACUUUGGUUUACAUCUUGUUGCUCACUUUGGUUUCUACAAAUGACUGCUUCAUGCCCAAGUUGAUUGCACUUGUUGCACUUCGCAUCAGGUCUUCUCCAACACUUAAACGGUGGAUGACCUAACUUGUUGCAAUGCUUACAAGGAGGGUAAUUUCUCCUUUUGUUGUUAUUGUGUGCAACAACUUCUCCAUUUUCUUGCUGGUUCUGCUUGAUCUGACUACCUUUGUUUCUCCAACCACCUUUAUGGUUGGCUGUUAAGGCUCCUUCUAUUGCUCCAUCUUGUCUCAUAGCUCUUCUUUGUUCUUGUGCUUGUAAAGCAUUUCAUAGCUCUGCAAGAGAAAUCUUUGAUAGGUCCUUUGUGUUCUCUAUGGUUGUUAUGGUGGCUUCAAACCUCUCUGGAAUCGUUACAAGCAGUUUUUCCACAAUUCUUCAAUCUUUUAAGACAGAUCCAAGCAAUCUCACUUUGUUGGCAAUGCUUAGAAGUCAGUCAAAAUACUCUUUUACGGUUUCUGACUCCUCCAUUCUCUGCAGUUCAAACUCCCUGAUUAGAUUCAGCACUUGCAUUCCACAAAUCCUCUCAUCACCUUCAUAUUCGGCCUUGAGGUAAUCCCAGAUUUCUUUUGCUGACUUCAAUGACAUUAUCCUUGUGAAUACCAUAGGAGAUACAACUGCAAAUAGACAUGUUUUUGCCUUUGUACUUUUCAUCUUUUGUUCCUUCUGUGAUUUCAUUUGUGCCACAGUAGGGUUUUCUGGAAGAGACUGAAUUUCCUCUUCUGCAGCUUCCCAUAAAUCCAAUGCUUCUAGGUAGGUCUCCAUACGAACAACCCACAUUUGAUAAUUGUCUCCAUUAAAGACAGGUGGUGCCAUUGCUGAAAAAUUGAAACCUCCUUCCAUUGAUGCAAUCUACUAACCUCACUGAUCCCUCAAGAAGAUAACUCUGAUACCAAUUGUAGGUUUUUGAGAAUAAUUCAGAGGAAGAUAUUUUAUUAUCUUUGUGAACAAUUACAUUUAUAGUAACUGCAGUAACAAACUCUUAACUAAUUUUAUGAGCAGUUACCUAGAAAUAUUAAAUCAACAAUUAAAACAGAAUAACAAACAGUUAAAAAAACAGAUUUUUCAACAGAAUCCCCCAUCUUAUUUUCAUUCGUUUUGCACGGAUAUGGAGGAUAAUAAUUGGGAUUAUAUUGCGCCAUUGCUUAGCACGCUUGCAAAUCUUUGAAGUGUUUUGGUGCAAUGUAACUCUGAGUUUCAACUAUCUAACCUCUACAAAAACUUGUGAAAUUUCGCCCUAAUAUCUGAAAUUUUAUUCUGGGUUCAUAUUGCGCUGAAAAAAUUCACACAACUACUUUCAUAUGUUGUUUGCACCCAGGUAAGGAGGCACGUCCAUAAACAAAUCACAAAAAGAAGAUACGGGGGAGAAAAGCCAGGACGUUUUGUUUUCCGAAAACCAGUUUUGUUCACUCUCGGUCUGGGACUUAGUACGCCUUAUUCCUUAGGUAUUUUGUUUUGAAAUUUUUACCAGAUGUUCGUCACUGUAUCUACUGAGUUUUGGCUGAGAUUUGAGCCCCAGUUUCGUUUCACGAGACUGUCAAUAAAUUAUUUUUGAUCACUGCCAUGGCUAAGAGGAUGGUUCGGUUGUGUGUGAAACUGUUUGAUUUUUUCACGGGUGAAUACUCAUCCGUUUGACCUGGAAUUUGUUGCAUUUUGUCCCAAAUUCAGUGGAGAUUCUUACGUGAAGUUUCAGAAAAAACUAAUUCCGAGAAUUUUUCAGAAAUUUCGUGCAAACCAAGGCUAUCCUCUACCAAAACCUGUGAAAUUUCGCCCAAGUAUUUGAAAUUUUAUUGUGGGUCCGUAUUGCGCUGAAAAAAUUCACACAAGUACUUUCAAAUGUUGUUUGCACCCAGGCAAGGAGGCACAUCCAUAAAGAAUUCACAAAAGGAAUAUACGGGGGAGAAAAGCAAGGACGUUUUGUUUUAGGAAAACCAGUUUUGUUCACUCUCGGUUUAGGACUUACUACGCCUUAUUUUUUGAGUAUUUUGGUCUGAAAUUUUUACCAGACGUUCAUCACUGUGUCUACAGAGUUUUGGCUGAGAUUUGAGCGCCAGAUUCGUUCCACGAGACUAUCAAUAAACUUUUUAUUCAUCAGUGCCAGAGCUGAGAGGAAGGUUCGUGUGUGUGUGAAACUGUUUGAUUUUUUUCGUGGGUGAAUACUUAUCCGUGUGACCUGAAAUUUGUCGCAUUUUGUCCCAAAUUCAUCGGAGAUUCUUACGUGGAAUUUGAGGAGAAAACUAUUUCAAGACAAUUUUUCAGAAAUUUCGUGCAAACCAAGGUUAUGCUCUACCAAAACUUGUGAAAUUUUGCCCAAGUAUCUGAAAUUUUAUGGUGGGUCCGUAUUGCGCUGAAAAAAUUCACACAAGUAAUUUCAAAUGUUGUUUGCACCCAGGCAAGGAGGCACGUCCAUAAAGAAUUCACAAAAGGAAUAUAUGGGGGAGAAAAGCAAGGCCGUUUUGUUUUCGGAAAACCAGUUUUGUUCACUCUCGGUUUGGGACUUACUACGCCUUAUUCCUUGAGUAUUUUGGUUUGAAAUUUUUACCAGACGUUCGUCACUGUGUCUACUGAGUUUUGGCUGAGAUUUGAGCCCCAGAUUCGUCCCACGAGACUAUCAAUAAACUUUUUAUUCAUCAGUGCCAGAGCUGAGAGGAAGGUUCCUUUGUGUCUGAAACUGUUUGAUUUUUUUCGUUGGUGAAUACUCAUCCGUUUGACCUAGAAUUUGUUGCAUUUGAUCCCAAAUUCAGUGGAGAUUCUUACAUGAAAUUUCAGAAAAAACUAUUUUCGGAGAAUUUUUCAUAAAUUUUGUGUAAACCAAUGUUAUACUCUACCAAAACUUGUGAAAUUUCUUCCUAGUAUCUGAAAUUUUAUUCUGGGUCCGUACUGCGCUGAAAAAAUUCACACAAGUACUUUCAAAUGUUGUUUGCACCCAGGCAAGGAGGCACGUCCAUAAAGAAAUCACAAAAAGAAUAUACGGGGGAGAAAAGCUAGGAUGUUUUUGUUUUCGGAAAAUCAAUUUUGUUCACUCUCGGCCUGGGACUUACUACGCCUUACUCCUUGGGAAUUUUGGUCUGAAAUUUUUACUAGACGUUCUUCACUGUGUCUACUGAAUUUUGGCUGAGAUUUGAGCCCCAGAUUCGUCCCACGAGACUAUCAAUAAAUUUUUUAUUCAUCAGUGUCAGAGCCUAGAGGAAGUUUCGUGUGUGUGUGAAACUGUUUGAUUUUUAUCGUGGGUGAAUAAUCAUCCGUGUGACCUUAAAUUUGUCGCAUUUUGUCCCAAAUGCAUCGGAGAUUCUUACGUGGAAUUUCAGGAAAAAACUAUUUCGAGAGAAUUUUUCAGAAAUUUUGUGCAAACCAAGGCUAUCCUCUACCAAAACUUGUGAAAUUUCGCCAAAGUAUCUGAAAUUUUAUUCUGGGUCCGUAUUGUGCUGAAAACAUUCACACAAGUACUUUCAAAUGUUCUUUGCACCCAGGCAAGGAGGCACGUCCAUAAAGAAAUCACAAAAAGAAUAUACGGGGGAGAAAAGCCAGGACGUUUUGUUUUCGGAAAACCAGUUUUGUCACUCUUUGUUUGGGACUUACUACGCCUUAUCCCUUGGGUAUUUUGGUUUGAAAUUUUUACCAGACGUUCGUCACUGUGUCUACUGAGUUUUGGCUGAGAUUUGAGCCCCAGAUUCGUUUCACGAGACUGUCAAUAAAUUGUUUUUGAUCACUGCCAUGGCUAAGAGGAAGGUUCGUUUGUGUGUGAAACUGUUUGAUUUUUUUCAUGGGUGAAUGCUCAUCCUUCUGCUGUUGCUGUUUUAAUUCUGAUGUAAUCAAAACAAUAUCUUGUUUUAUCUCUUAUCUUUGUCUAUUUGUGAAGACAAAUAGGGGGAGAUAUAUGCUGUGUUUCUAGUUUGUUUUAAGUUUCUGUUUUUCAGUUGAUAAAACAGUUUGGAAUAUGUAAUAUAUCUCUGAUAUUAGAUGUUUUAAGCUUUAAACUGUUUAUCUGUAUGCUAACAAAAUAUCAGAAGUUCAAUGUAUUGCUCAAAGUUCUAUUGCAGGAACUGCUUCAUUUAAUCAGGUACAACACAAGCAUCAGGGAUUUGUCUUCAUCAAAUAGGGGGAGAUUGUUGAACCAAGUGGUGUUCAAUGUUUUGAAGAAUCCAAAUCCUUUGAAGGAUGUUGAAGCAUCUGCUUUGCUUGAUGUUGCUGUGCUGGUUUAAGCUUUGUUCUGGGGUAGUUUAUAUGUUGUAAUCAACCCUUCGAUUAAAUCUCAAGCAAUUAGCAUCUCAAUCUUUAUGAAAAUAAAAUGUUUUUCAAACUAAGUUGAAACAACCAAUUGUUUUGUCGAAACAACCGAUUGUUUAUACUUAGGUGUUUUGAGAAAGAUUGAAAACUGUUUUUGAAUGGUUGAAACUGUUAAGUACCAAAACAACCGAUUGAUUCGAGGAAGCAACCGAUUGUUUGUUUUGGAAUCAUAAUAGAAAAACUGUUUUGUGUUUGAUUGAGCUUUAAAUGCUUUAACUGUAUAUGCUCUAGUCAUUAAAUGCUUUGACCAAUCUUUUAAUGCAAUUUAAGAGUUUGUUAAGAUUUGAUAACAAACUACAUCUUUGAAUAUAUUAAGAAAAACAUAUUUGAGAAUUAAGAAUCUUUGACAAAGUUUUUCUAAAGAGUUUUUCAAAGAGUUGAGAUUGCUAAGAGUUUGUGAUUGAUCAAGGUGCUGGAAUAGGAUUCUACUUGUAUUGAUUUCAGAUAUUCAUUUGUAACAAGUGUAAUCUUUGUACUCUGUUUAACAAUUUGUUUUUGUGCUUGCUGAGAUUGGCUAUGUGUUCUUGAGGUGUUCAAGAUCAGCAAUCUUAGUGUUGGCCAAGGAGAGUGUGUUUCUUGAGGUGUUCAAGGUCAUUCUCUUGGUUGAUUGUGUAAGUGAUCAAGGUGUGGUUGCUUAGUGGAUAUCCUCAGGAUUUCUGGAAGACUGGAUGUAGCUCUGGUUUGGAGUGAACCAGUAUAAACAACUGUGUACAAUCUCUCUAUCCCUAACUCUUUAAAUUCAGUUUAUUUGUUGUUUGCUGGUAUAAACAGCCGAUUGUUUCUACGAAACAACCAAUUGUUUUUCUGGUACUACAACUUUUGCUUGCUGUUUUGGCUAACUGAAUUGCUGAAUCAAUUGGUUUCUAAGAUAAAUUCAUUCUAGUGUUUGAAGAUUUUGCGAAAACCCUUUUAAACUAUUCACCCCCCUCUAGUUUAAAGCCAUCUUUUCUAACAACUAUUUCGAGACAAUUUUUCAAAAAUUUUGUGCAAACCAAGACUAUCCUGAUGAGAAUCAAAUAAAGGAGGCUUUUAUUAUUGAAGGAAGAGGUCAUUCACCUACACAUUUGAAGUUCUUCCUUCUAGUCUUCUCAAAAUUAAAAGAAGAUAUAAAAUAAAGAGAGGAUCAAGCCUAAAGCCAAAGAAGUCUACAGGCUUUCAAGAAUAGGCUUCAUUUAAAUAUCUCUCUUUAUAGUUUCUUUUGUAUAAAAUUGUAGAUAAUAUAGAAAAGUGUUUAGGAAGGUGCUUAUAGGAAAACCAUAGAUACCUCUUUUGUAAAGCAUCUUUAGGCUUUAGUUUAGAAUUUUCUAGAAGGUGACUCUUCAUAAGUCACUAUAGGCGUUAGCUUAGGAGACUUUUGGGUAGCUUGUGGUACAAGCUUUGUAAGCUUCAUGACCAGCCCUUGCUCCUAUAAAAGGAGGGCUUAGGUCCUUCAUAAUGCAAAUUUGGAAUUUGUAGUAUCAAAACUCUCCCAAAUUGGUGAUUGAGUGUAGUGAGAACUUGUCUUCUCCUCUUCCUAGUCUCAUCUUGAGUGCCUUGGUUCUCUCAAGUGGCGGCAUUGCACACUUAUCUUGGAGCAUUCACACUUCAAGUGGUGUGUUCAUCAACCAAGAACUACAACCACAUAAGUCCUCUUUCUUCUCCAUCUUCUCAUUCCAUUUCCGUGCCUAUUUGAAUUCCUAAACAUGUCUUAGGUUCCUUUCUUGCUUUCUAUUCGGUGUUCUUGCUUAUUUUCAUGUUUCAAUCGGUUCAUCUUCUUUCUCCUUGGAUUUGUUCUGUCCAUUUCAGUUUUGAAGCAUUUUAAUCGGUUCAUUUCAUUUGUUAUGCAAUUUAAUCGGUUCAUUUGCAUUUCUACAUCUUUUAAUCGGUUCAAUUGACAAGAAAUGGAACUUCCAUGUGAGUUUGGGUUUUGGUACUAGUUUUGGUGAGUUCUUCAUUAUAGAACAUUGAUCCAAUUCUAUUAAAAGUUCCUAUUCAAUCUCCAACUCAAGUUGAUUCCAUAGAAUGUCAAAGAAUCAUCUCUUCUUUGCUAUUGGAUUCAUAUCAUAUCCUCUACCAAAACUUGUGAAAUUUUGCCCUAGUAUAUGAAAUUUUAUUCUGGGUCCGUAUUGCGUUGAAAAAAUUCACACAUGUACUUUCAGAUGUUGUUUGCACCCAGGUAAGGAGGAACGUCCAUAAACAAAUCACCAAAAGAAUAUAAAGGGGAGAAAAGCCAGGACGAUUUGUUUCCGGAAAACUAGUUUUCUUCACUCUCGGUCUGGACUUACUACGCCUUACUCCUAGGGUAUUUUGUGAUGCAAAUUUUACCAGACAUUCGUCACUUUGUCUACUGAGUUUUGGCUGAGAUUUGAGCCCCAUAUUCGUCCCACGAGACUGUCAAUAAAUUUUUUAUUCAUCACUGUCAGAGCUGAGAGUGAGGUUCGUUUGUGUGUGAAACUGUUUGAUUUCUUUCAUGGGUGAAUACUCAUCCGUUUGACCUGAAAUUUGUCGCGUUUAGUCCCAAAUUCAGUGGACAUUCUUACAUGGAAUUUCAGGAAAAAACUAUUUCAGGAGAAUUUUUCAGAAAUUUUGUGCAAACCCAGGCUAUCCUCUUCCAAAACUUUUGAAAUUUCACCCUAGUAUCUGAAAUUUUAUUCUAGGUCCGUAUUGCGCUGAAAAAAUUCACACAAGUACUUUCAAAUAUUGUUUGCACCCUGGCAAGGGGGCACAUCCAUAAACAAAUCACAAAAAUAAUAUAUACGGGGGAGAAAAGGCAGGACGUUUUGUUUUCGGAAAACCAGUUUUGUUCACUCUCGUUCUAGGACUUACUACGCCUUACUCCUUGAGUAUUUUUGGUCUGAAAUGUUUACCAGACGUUCGUCACUGUGUCUACUGUGUUUUGGCUGAGAUUUGAGCCCCAGAUUCGUCCCACGAGAGUGUCAAUAAACAUUUUAUUCAUCACUGCCAGGGCCAAGAGGAAGGUUCGUUUGUGUGUGAAACUGUUUGAUUUUUUUCGUGGGAGAAUACUCAUCUGUUUGACCUGAAAUUUGUCGUGUUUUGUCCCAAAUUCAGUGGAGAUUCUUACGUGGAAUUUCAGAAAAAGUCUAUUUUAGGAGAAUUUUUCAGAAAUUUUGUGCAAACCCAGGUUAUCCUCUUCCAGAACUUUUGAAAUUUCGCCCUAGUAUCUGAAAUUUUAUUUUAGGUCCGUAUUGCGCUGAAAAAAUUCACACAAGUACUUUCAUAUGUUGUUUGCACCCAGAUAAGCAGGCUUGUCCAUAAACAAAUCACAAAAAGAAGAUACGGGGGAGAAACGACAGGACGAUUUGUUUUCGGAAAACCAGUUUCGUUCACUCUCGGUUUUGGACUUACUACGCCUUACUCCUUGGGUAUUUUGGUCUGAAAUUUUUAUCAGACCUUCGUCACUGUUUCUACUGAGAUUUCAGCCCUAGAUUCGUCCCAAGAGACUGUCAAUAAAUUUUUAUUCAUCACUGUCAGGGCUGAGAGGAAGGUUCGUUUGUGUGCAAAACUGUUUGAUUUUUUUCAUGGGUGAAUACUCAUCCGUUUGAUCUGAAAUUUGUUGCAUUUUGUCCCAAAUUCUGUGGAGAUUCUUACGUGAGAUUUCAGAAAAAAUUAUUUCCGGAGAAUUUUUCAAAAAUUUUGUGUAAACCAAGGCUUUAUACUCUACCAAAACUUGUGAAAUUUCGCCCCAGUAUCUGAAAUUUUAUUUUGGGUCCGUAUUGCGCUGAAAAAAUUCACACAAGUACUUUCAUAUGUUGUUUGCACCCAGGUAAGGAGGAACGUCCAUAAACAAAUCACCAAAAGAAUAUAAAGGGGAGAAAAGUCAGGACGAUUUGUUUUCGGAAAACCAGUUUUGUUCACUCUCGGUCAGGGACUUACUACGCCUUACUCCUAGAGUAUUUUGUGAUGAAAAUUUUACCAGACGUUCGUCACUGUGUCUACUGCGUUUUGGAUGAGAUUUGAGCCCCAGAUUCGUCACAUGAAACUGUCAAUAAAUUUUUUAUUCAUCACUGUUAGGGCUGAGAGGAAGGUUCGUUUGUGUGUGAAACUUUUUGAUUUUUAUUAGGGAUGGCAAAGCGGGGCGGGCCGUGCGGGCCGGCCCGCGGCCCGCAGGUAAAAAACGCGGUGCGGGUUAACCUUUUCAACCCGCUAACCCGCAUUAGCACGCCCCGCAUUAGCCCGCAACCCGUGCGGGCUGGCCUGCAAACCCGCAAGAAAAAAAAAUUGGCACUUAGUAGCAGCAGGGCAACGUAAUUAGGUUUUCACAAAAUUUCAAAGAAAGAAACACAACACAAUCGCGCUCACAUCUCACAGGGGCUCAGUUGCUGCUCCCAAACGGUCCACACACAAACGCUUUCGGCAACACCGCUGCGACUCCGCUUGCUCACGCCGCUACUGCUCCAUUGCGUCGCCUCUGAUCACUUCCGCACUGCACCAUUGCUGCAGCUACUGCCGCCACUCCUUCUCCACCACACAAGGCAAGUUUUUUUCUACAAAUUAAUUGGAGAUUUAUGUUUAUGUUGUUUGAAAUUUUGAUAUAAAUUGGGGAUUUAUGUUUAUUUGAUUUGAAAUUUUGAUAUAAAUUGGGGAUUUAUGUUUAUUUGAUUUGAAGUUUUGAUAGAAAUUGGGGAUUUAUGUUUAUUUGAUUUGAAGUUUUGAUAUAAAUUGGGAAUUUGUGUUUAUUUGUUUUGAAUUUUUUAUGUAAAUUGGGGAUUUGUGUUUAUUUUGUUUGAAAUUUUGAUAUAAAUUGGGGAUUUGUGUUUAUUUGUUUUGAAUUUUUUAUGUAAAUUGGGGAUUUGUGUUUAUUUUUUUUGAAAUUUUGAUAUAAAUUGGGUAUUUGGGUUUAUCUGCAUAUAAAUUAGGGAUUCUAUAUUUUCCAACAGGAUCUUAAUUUGCAAAUUGAUUGUAAUGGAUGAAGAAUGUAACAUGCCUCUUUGUGACUUUGAAGAUGAUAAUACUGAGAAACAAUCUGAAACUGUUGAACCUGAAAAAAAGAAAAGGGAUAAGACUAGCACAUCUGAUUGUUGGAGGUAUUUUACUAGGAUUAAGGAGGGAAAGGAUGGAAAAGAAAGGGCAAAGUGCAAUAGCUGCAACAAAAUAUAUAUAACUUGCGGAAGAAAAUAUGGGACUUCUCAUUUAAAUCGUCAUAUUAUGAAAUGUGUUAAAAGAAAAUCUGAAGAUGUGGGUCAAAUGAUUUUGGAUAUGCAGGGAAAGUUGAAGGCAAAAAAAAUAGAUCAAGUUGUACAUCGGGAAUUGUUGUCUAAUCUAGUUAUUAGCCACAAUUUGCCUUACAAAUUUGUUGAGUAUCCCGAACUUAGGACUUGGAUAAACUACUUGUGUCCUGAUGCAAUUAUGAUUUCUAGAAACACUGUUAAGGCUGAUAUUGGGAGAAUGUAUAUGAAAGAAAAAAUAAUGCUUAAGGAAUUGAUUGCUUCCAUUCCUAGUAGGAUAUGCUUAACUUCUGAUUUAUAGACAUCUAUUAAUACUGAGGGUUUCAUAUCAUUGACUGCACAUUUUGUUGACCUGAAUUGGAAGUUAAAUACCAAGCUACUAAACUUUUGUCAUAUGCCUCCCCCUCACAUAGGUUUUGAGUUGUCUAAGAAAAUUAAUGAAUUUUUACAAGAUUGGGGACUAGAGAAAAAAAAAUAUUUUUUUCCCCUCUGACUUUGGAUAAAUGCUUCCUGCUAAUGUCCAAAAUACUUUAAAAAGGCAACUUAUUUUUCAAAAUGGUUUGAUAUGUGGUGGUGAAUUCUUUCAUGUUCGUUGUUGUGCACACAUAUUGAAUUUAAUUGUUCAAGAAGGAUUAAAGGUGCUUGGUGAUGCUUUGGACCAAAUUAGAAAUAGCAUCAAGUAUGUGAGGGGUUCGGAAAGUAGAAUGGUGAAAUUUAAACAAUGCCUUGAAAGGUUUAGUGAUAUUGAUGCAUCAUCUGGGUUGUGUCUUGAUGUCCCUACAAGAUGGAACUCCACAUAUUUGAUGAUUAAUAGUGCUCUUAAAUAUCAACGUGUUUUUGGAAGCUUGCAUUUGGUUGAUGAAUCUUAUAAAUAUUGCCCUACAGAGGAAGAGUGGGAGAGAGCUAGAAAAAUUUGUGAGUUCUUGUUACCCUUUUAUGAAAUCACUAACUUGAUUUGUGCUACAAGUUAUCCUACUUCCAACUUGUAUUUUUUACAAGUUCGGAGAAUUCAGCGUUUAUUGAUGGAAAAUGUGAAGGAUGAAGAUGUACUAAUUAAGAACAUGGCUAAAUUGAUGAUAGUAAAGUUUGAGAAAUAUUGGGAUGAAUAAAGCGUUGUACUUGCAUUUGGUGCAAUUUUAGACCCAAGGAUGAAGUUAGAAACAUUGGGAUUUUGCUUUGAAAAAAUUGAAUCACUUACUUGGGAACUAAAAUUGAAAAAGAUCAAGGAAAAAUUAUACAAACUUUUUGCUGAAUAUUCUACCAAAGGUUUCACAACAUCAUCAAGUGUUCAAAAGCAAAGGCAAGGACAAUCUUCAUUCUCAUCAUCUAUGUCUAAACCAAGUCUUUUUGAUGUAAGUUAUUUACUUUAAUAAUACUUAUUAAUGCACUUUAAUUCAUUUUUAAUUUUUUUACAGCAAUCCAUUAUACUGACUUAUUACAUCAUUAUAGGAAUUAAAAAUGCGCAAGCUUCAAGUAGCUAAUAAAGCUGGAAGGUCACAACUUGACACUUAUUUGGAUGAACCAACUUUGGAUUUUGACUAUUCAGAGGAGAUGGAUGGGUUAGAUUGGUGGAAAAAUAAUAGUCAACGUUUUUCUGAUCUUGCUUUAAUGGCUAGAGAUUUGUUGAGCAUCCCUAUAACCACAGUUGCAUCAGAAUCUGCAUUUAGCAUUGGUUCUCGAAUUCUUAACAAGUAUAGGAAUCGACUUUUGCCUGAAAACUUGGAAGCAAUCAUUUGUACUUCUAGUUGGAAGCAUGGAUUUUCUGAAGGUAAUUCGAUUAUUUUAUUUUAUUUUAUUUUUAUUGUUUUUUUUUAUCAGCAAUAAGGAUUGAAUAACAGGAACCACUUAAGGGGUGGUUCAACCCUAUACAUACCUAUAUAAUAUGAAUCAAAUCUCAGGUCUCCCAAACCAAUAAGAUGAGAGAGACAAAAAAAUCUACCACUAAAAACCCGUUCAAACCCGUACAAACCCGUACAAUCCCGUACAAACUCAAAACAAACCCAAUACAAACUCACUGCAACCAUAACAAGGGCCAAAAAGAACAACAACCCUUAUCCACCAACCCAAUAGCCCACAAAAACCAACAACCAUCGAAAUAGAGAUACCUAUCACCCUAAACUGGGUCAUGCCAAUUAAAUCGAUUUCAAACACGAUAAAGGAACAAGACACCAGUCAGAAAAGGAGAAGCAAACAGAGGGUAUUUUAGAAGUUACCCAUGACCAAACCUUCAAUUGAGCCAAAAGUUAUCUUAUUUUUAUGAAAAAUUAAUUAAUUAAUUGUCAUUGUUUUAAUAUAUGCAGAUGACGGGGAAGAUUAUAAUUAUGAAAAAAUGGAUGAAAGUUCUUCUAAGGUGGCAUCCAAUGUUAUUGAGAUGGAAGAAUGUCAAUAAUGUUUAUGUUUAAUGUUUUUGAAUUAAUGUUUAUGUUUAAUGUUUUGGAAUUAGGUAUUUUUAAUGUUUUGGAAGUGGAAGAAUAGUGAUAUUUGAUAUUUAUUUUAAUGUUUAAUGUUUUGACGUUUGACUAUAUUUGAAAAGGAAGGAAAAAAAAUUAGGUUUGAUAAUAAUAAAUAUAUAGGUUUAAUUUGACAAUUUUUUAAGAACAAAAUGUAAAAAAAAAAGAACGCGGGCUGGCCAGCAAACCCGCGGGCUGGCCAGCAAACCCGCGGGCCUGCUCUUAUGCGGGGCGGGUCGGGAAUUCUAGCCCGCAAUAACUUUGCAGGGCGGGAAACCCGUCCCGCAUUUUUGUGGGCCAAGCGCGGGGCGGGCCAAUGCGGGGCGGGCUGGCCCGCUUUGCCAUCCCUAAUUUUUAUCAUGGGUGAAUACUCAUUCGUCGCACGAGACUGUCAAUAAAUUUCUUAUUCAUCAAUGCCAAGGCUGAGUAUAUGGUUCGUUUGUGUGUGAAACUGUUUCAUUUUUUUCGUGGGUGAAUACUCAUCCGUGUGACCUGAAAUUUGUCGUGUUUUGCCCCAAAUUCAUCGGAGAUUCUUACGUGGAAUUUCAGGAAAAAACUAUUUCGGGAUAAUUUUUCAGAAAUUUUGUGCAAACCAAGGCUAUCCUCUACCAAAACUUGUGAAAUUUCGCCCAAUAUCUGAAAUUUUAUUGUAGGUCCAUAUUGCGCUGAAAAAAUUCACACAAGUACUUUCAAAUAUUGUUUGCACCCUGGCAAGGGGGCACAUCCAUAAACAAAUCACAAAAAUAAUAUAUACGGGGGAGAAAAGGCAGGACGUUUUGUUUUCAGAAAACCAAUUUUGUUCACUCUCGGUUUGGGACUUACUACGCCUUACUCCUUGGCUAUUUUUGUUUGAAAUUUUUACCAGACGUUUGUCACUGUGUUUACUGAGUUUUGGCUGAGAUUUGACCCCCAGAUUCGUUCCACGAGACUGUUAAUAAAUUUUUAUUCAUCACUGUCAAGGCUGAGAGGAAGGUUCGUUUGAGUGUGAAACUGUGUUGAUUUUUUUUAUGGGUGAAUACUCAUCCGUUUGACUUGAAAUUUGUAGCAUUUUGUCCGAAAUUCAGUGGAGAUUCUUACGUGAAAUUUCAGAAAAAAGUAUUUCCGGAGAAUUUUUCAGAAAUUUUGUGUAAAACAAGGUUAUACUCUACCAAAACUUGUGAAAUUUCUCCCUAGUAUCUGAAAUUUUAUUUUCGGUCCGUAUUGCGCUGAAAAAAUUCACACAAGUAUUUUCAUACGUUCGUCACUAUGUCUUCUGAGUUUUGGCUGAGAUUUGAGCCUCAGAUUCGUCCCAUGAGACUGUCAAUAAAUUUUUUAUUCAUCAGUGCCAGAGCCUAGAGGAAGGUUCGUGUGUCUGUGAAACUGUUUGAUUUUUAUCGUGGGUGAAUACUCAUCUGUGUGACCUUAAAUUUGUCGCGUUUUGUCCCAAAUUCAUCGGAGAUUCUUACGUGGAAUUUUAGGAAAAAACUAUUUCGGGAGAAUUUUUCUGAAAUUUUAAAAUUUCGCCCUAGGAUCUGAAAAUUUAUUCUAGGUCCGUAUUGCGCUGAAAAAAUUCAUACAAGUACUUUCAUAUGUUGUUUGCACCCAGAUAAGCAGGCACGUCCAUAAAUAAAUCACAAAAAGAAGAUACGGGGGAGAAACGCCAGGACGAUUUGUUUUCGGAAAACAAGUUUUGAUCACUCUCGGAUUUGGACUUACUACGCCUUACUCCUUGGGUAUUUUGGUCUGAAAUUUUUACCAGACGUUCGUCACUAUAUCUACUGGGUUUUGGCUGAGAUUUCAGCCCCAGAUUCGUCCCAAGAGACAGUCAAUAAAUUUUUUAUUCAUCAUUGCCAGGGCUGAGAGUAAGGUUCGUUUGUGUGUGAAACUGUGUCAUAUUUUUCGUGGGUGAAUACUCAUCCGUUAGACCUGAAAUUUGUCGCGUUUUGUCUCAAAUUCAGGGGAGAUUCUUAUGUGGAAUUUAAGGAAAAAACUAUUUCGGAAUAAUUUUUCAUAAAUUUUGUGCUAACAAAGACUAUCCUUUACAAAACUUGUGAAAUUUCGCCCUAGUAUCUGAAAUUUUAUUAUAGGUCCCUAUUGCGCUGAAAAAAUUCGCACAAGUACUUUUAUAUGUUGUUUGCACCUACGUAAGCAUGCACAUCUAUAAACAAAUCACAAAAAGAAGAUACGGGGGAGAAAAGCCAGGACGUUUUGUUUUCGGAAAACCAGUUUUGUUCACUCUCGGUCUGGGACUUACUACGCCUUACUCCUUGGGAAUUUUAGUCUGAAAUUUUUACCAGACGUUCGUCACUGUGUCUACUGAGUUUUUGCUAAAAUUUGAGCCCCAGAUUCGUCCCACGAACCUGUCAAUAAAUUUUUUAUUCAUCACUGUCAGCGUUGAGAGGAAGGUUCGUUUGUGUGUGAAACUGUUUGAUCUUUUUCGUGGGUGAAUACUCAUCCGUUUGGCCUGAAAUUUGUCACAUAGUGUUCCAAAUUCAGCGGAGAAUCUUAUGUGGAAUUUCAGGAAAAAACUAUUUCAGGAGAAUUUUUCAGAAAUUUUGUGCAAACCAAGGCUAUCAUCCUCUACCAAAACUUGUGAAAUUUCGCCAUAGUAUCUGAAAUUUUAUUCUGGGUCCGAAUUGCGAUGAAAAAAUUGACACAAGUACUUUCAUAUGUUGUUUGGACCCAGGCAAGGAGGCAUGUGCAUAAAGAAAUCACAAAAAGAAUAUACGGGGGAGAAAAUCCAUGACGUUUUGUUUUCGGGAAACCAGUUUUGUUCACUCUCGGUAUAGGACUACUAGGCCUUACACCUUGGGUAUUUUGGUCACAAAUUUUUACCAGACUUUUGUCACUGUGUCUACUGAGUUUUUGCUUAGAAUUGAACCCCAGAUUCGUCCCACGAGACUGUCAAUAAAUUUUUUAUUCAUAACUGCCAGAGCUGAGAGGAAGGUUCGUUUGUGUGUGAAAUUGUUUGAUUUUUUACGUGGGUGAAUAUUCAUCCGUUUGACCUGAAAUUUGUCGCGUUUUGUCCCAAAUUAUGUGGAGAUUCUUACGUGGAAUUUAAGGAAAAAACUCUUACGGGAGAUUUUUUUUCAUAAAUUUUGUGCAAACCAAGUCUAUCCUCUACCAAAACUUCUUAAAUUUCUCCCUAGUAUUUGAAAUUUUAUUCUAGGUCCGUAAUCCGCAGAAAAAAUUCACACAAGUACUUUCAUAUGUUGUUUGCACCCAGGUAAGGAGGCACGUCAAAAAACAAAUCACAAAAAGAAGAUAAUGGGAGAAAAGCCAGGACGUUUUGUUUUUGGAAAACUAGUUUUGUUCACUCUCGGUCUCAGACUUACUACGCCUUACUCCUUGGGUAUUUUAGUGUGAAAUUUUGACGAGAUGUUCGUCACUGUAUCUACUGAGUUUUGGCUGAGAUUUGAGCCUUAGAUUCAUCCUACGAGACUGUCAAUAAAAUAUUUAUUCAUCCCAGUCAGGGCUGAGAAGAAGGUUCGUUUGUGUGUGAAACUGUUUGAUUUUUUUCGUGGGUGAAUACUCAUCCGUUUGACCUGAAAUUUGUCGCCUUUUGUCCCAAAUUCAGUGGAUAUUCUUAUGUGGAAUUUCAGGAAAAAAAUAUUUCGGGAGAAUUUUUCAUAAAUUUUGUGCAAACCUCUACAUAUAAACUUGUGAAAUUACGCCCUAGUAUCUGAAAUUUUAUUUUGGGUCCGUAUUGCGCUGAAAAAAUACACACAAGUACUUUCAUAUGUUGUUUUCACCCAGGCAAGGAGGCACGUCCAUAAAGAAAUCACAAAAAGAAUAUACGGGGGAGAAUAGCCAGGACGUUUUGUUUUCGGGAAACUAGUUUUUUUCACUCUCGGUCUGGGACUUAUUAUGCCUUACACCUUCAGUAUUUUGGUCAUAAAUUUUUACCAGACGUUCGUCAAUGUGUCUACUGAGUUUUGGCUGAGAUUUGAGCCCCAGAUUUUUCUCACGAGACUGUUAAUAAAUUUUUUAUUCAUCACUGCCAGGGCUGAGAGGAAUGUUCGUUUGUGUGUCAAAUUGUUUGGCUUUUUUCGUGGGUGAAUAUUCAUCCGUUUGACCUUAAAUUUGUCGCGUUUUGUCCCAAAUUUAGUGGAGAUUCUUACGUGGAAUUUCAGGAAAAAAGUAUUUCGCGAGAAGUUUUCAGAAUUUUUGUGCAAUUUCGCCCUAGUAUAUGAAAUUUUAUUCUAGGUCCGUAUUGCACUGAAAAAAUUUACACAAGUACUUUCAUAUGUUGUUUGCACCCAGGUAAGGAGGCACGUCCAAAAAAAAAUCACGAAAAGAAGAUACUGGGGUGAAAAGCCAGGAUGUUUUUGUUUAGGAAAACCAGUUUUGUUCACUCUCGGUCUCGGACAUACUACGCCUUACUCCUUGGGUAUUUUGGUUUGAAAUUUUUACGAGAUGUUCGUCACUGUGUUUACUGAGUUUUGGCUGAGAUUUGAGCACCAGAUUCAUCCAACGGGACUUACAAUAAAUAUUUUAUUCAUCACUGUCAGGGCUGAGAGGAAGGUUUGUUUGUAUGUGAAACUAUUUGAUUUUUUUCUUGGGUGAAUACUCAUCCGUUUGACCUGAAAUUUGUCGCCUUUUGUCCCAAAUUCAGUGGAGAUUCUUCUGUGGAAUUUCAGGAAAAAACUAUUUCCAGAGUAUUUUUCAGAAAUUUUGUGCAAACCAAGGCUAUCCUCUAAAUUUCGCCCUGGUAUCUAAAAUUUUAUUCUGGGUCCGUAUUGCGCUGAAAAUAUUCACACAAGUACUUUCAUAUGUUGUUUGCACCCAGGUAAGGAGGCACGUCCAUAAACAAAUCACAAAAAGAAGAUAAAGGGGAGAAAAGCCAGGACGUUUUGUUUUCGGAAAACCAGUUUUGUUCACUCUCGGUCUGGGACUACUACGCCUUACACAUUGGGUAUUUUGGUCAGAAAUUUUUACCAGACGUUCUUCAUUGUGUCUAAUGAGUUUUGGCUGAGAUUUGAGCCCCAUAUUCGUCCCACGAGACUGUCAAUAAAUUUUUAUUCAUCACUGCCAGGACUAAGAGGAAGGAUCGUUUGUGUGUGAAACUGUUUGAUUUUUUCGUGGGUGAAUUUUUUCUGGAAACUCUAUGUUUUGUUUAAGUGAUCUUUAUUCUGCUGCUUUACUGCUGAUGUUUUGGGGUUUUAGCUGCUACUUUGUUUAAGCAAAACAUAAGUUUUGUUUUACUGCUCUAACCUCUCCCAUAUAUGUUGUACUUUGCUUAAACUUUGCUUUGCAGGAACUGCUUCAGAUUCAAUCAAGUCCAACACAAGCAACCAGGGAUUUGUCUUCAUCAAUUAGGGGGAGAUUGUUGAAUCAAGUGUGUUCAAGCUUUGAAGAAUCCAAAUCGUAGUGUUUGAUGUAAAGCUGGAGGUGCUCUUUGAUGUUGUUGUGCUUUAGAAUAGGAUCUGGGGUAGAUUAUAUUUGUAAUCCACUCUUUGUUGAAUAUAAAGCUUAAGUGUUUUCAAAUCUUUUAAGUUUAAAGUGUUUUUCAAACUAAGUGAAAAACAACUUGUUUAGUCGAAACAACCGAUUGUUUUAUACUUAGGUGUUUUUGAAAUUGUUGAAAACUGUUUUGGAUGGUUGACUUGCUGUCAAACCAAAACAACCGAUUGAUUCGCUAUUUCAACUGAUUGUUUGUUUGAAAUCCUAACAAAAAUAGUUUUGUUAGUUAAAUGAGCUUUAAUUGAUUUUAUAACUGAAUACGCUCCUGCUUUAAAUGUUUUAACCAAGAUUUGAAUACUAUAAAUAGUUCGUUAAUGUUUUAUAACAAACAAGAAGAAAGAAAAACAAAUUUGAGUUUUUCAAAGAGCUUUUCAAAGAUUUGAGUUUUCACUUUGAGCUUUGGUUAUUCAAGAGAGAAGUGGAAUAUGAUUACUCUAUAUUGAUUUCAGUUGAUUCUGUAACAGUGUAAUUCGUUCUAAAGAGUUGUGUGCUCUUGAGGUUGUUAACAUCAACAUUCUUGGUGUGUGUGCUGAGCCAAAGGAAGUGUGUUUCUUGAGGGGAUCAAGGUCACUUCUUUGGUGGUGUGUGUAUGUAAUCUGGAUUUGAUUACCUAGUGGAUUCCCCAGUGGUUUCUAGGAAACUGGAUGUAGCUCUUGGGUUAAGAGUGAACCAGUAUAAACUGUUUGUGCAUUUCUCUCUUCCUUAAACUCUUUAAUUUCAUUUUUUGUUAUUUUUACUGGUAUAUACAACCGAUUGUUUUUCUGGUGCUUUACUGGUUUGAGCUUUGUUCUUGGCAAACUGAGUUCCUAAAUCUGGUUUCUUGCAAAGAAUUUCAUUCUAUCUUAAAAAGUUUGCGUAAACCUCCUUUAAACCAUUCCCCCCCCCCCCUUCUAGUUUAAAGCCAUACAUUCUAACACAAGGGAAGUGGAGUGAGUGAGGCCAACAAAAGAUGUACCUGAAUGUGCAACAAAAGUCGUGGAACUAGGGUUCUGAUCCUCAUACCAUUUAAGAAAUUCAUUGAAAAUAGCAGGUUGGCCUGAGGUAUCAAUUAAAGUAUGGUCCAUAGUAGAAGGUUGCACAGGGGCAGUUUGUGCAACCGCAACAGAUUUAGGAGGACGACCAUGUAAGGAAUAACAUCUGUUAAUUUUGUGGCCAAGUUUGCCACAAUGGUCACACUUGUGACGCCCUUUGCCCGGCUUGUGAGGGCGAGGACGAUCAUUAUGCUGAGAGACUAAAGCAGAAGAAUCAUCAACAUGAGACGUUAUAUCAGUGGUGUGUUUACCUGGCACACACAAAAGGGUAGAACAAGUGUAAGUAAAAUUGGGCACAAUAGGAGAUCCCAAAAUUUGAUCACGAACAUGAUAAUAAUCAUUAGGAAGGCCAUGUAAACCCAAUAACAUGAAGAACUUGGAUCUUUGUUCUAGUUCUUGAGAAGGAGUGGGAGCAUGAGGUAAUAACUCAUUAAAAUCAUGAAGAAAAGCAUGAAGUUUACCCAGAUAUUAUGCCAUUGUACCAUCAAGACAUUUGGAAGCAACAAUUGUGAGAAGAUUUUGACACACACCAUAAAGACGUUGAGUAUCAUUGGUGUAUAAUAAUUUUGCUUGUUCCCAAACUUCUGAACAUGUCUCAUAGGUACGAAAUAUUUGCUUUAAAGAUGAGUGAAUGGUAGAUUUUAUAACAGUGCAUAAUUGAGCAUAAAUUUUCAACCAACGGGAAACCUCAUUUUCAGCAACAGUAGGAUGGGAAAGAUGAUCAACAUAACCUUGACUCUUAAGCCAUAAUUUAAUAUCUGAUGCCAAAGUGUCAUAAUUGGUUCCAUCCAAUUUGUCAAUGGAGAGAUGAACAUUGAUGUAAUUAGUAUAAAUAGAUGGAUUCGGCAUAAUGACUGCGAAAGAAGCCACAGUGGUAGCGGCAGCGGAAGAAGCCAUAGUGGCAGCGGAAGCGGAAGAAGCCAUAGAGGAUAAGGACAAAUCAAGUCACUUGUUAAUUGGCGACAACAACAAAGAUGAAGGCUCUGGCAGCGUCUCUGGCGGAGGCUCCGGUGAGAUUCUGGCGGCGACUCUAGUGAGAUUCUAGCGACAGCUCCGGCAAGGUUCUGGCGAGGUUCCAGUAGCGGCUCUAGCGAGGUUUCGACGGCGACUCCGGCGAGGCGGUGGGGCAGUGGCUGGAAAAUUCCAAUGAAUAGUGGGUUCACCAAAAAUUGAACCCUAACCCUAUGCUUUGAUACCAUAUUAAAGGAAAAGAAAGAAUAGGGUAAAUCCCUUGUGUAUAUUGAACACAUAGGGUUAUGUUUAUAUAAGAAAAGAAACAUAUGGGUUAAGCCCAUUACAUAAAUAUGAAAUAUCUAACAAUAUCUAUAAUAUAUAAUAAUAUCUAAUUAUAUCUAAUAAUAUGUAAUAAUACCUAACAAUAAUAAAAAUUUAUGCAAUAAGUUUGAGUUAUUAGAAAAUUAAUAUAUUUCUCCUUUUUAAAAUUGUCUUACAAUCGUGCUAGAAUUGUCAGAAAUCCAACAAAUAUUUUUUGAAUUGGACACUUCACCGAUACGUGUCCCACAAGUGUCGUACGAGUCUCAGUGUCCAAUACAGGUGUCUGACAUGGACACACCAUUUAAGAGGAGUGUUUGAGCCUUAUAGGACACAACAGCAAGUUUGGUCUCCCAAACCUUGCAUACUACUUACUUCCUUUCCUCAACGACAAAUUUCCCCACCUUUACUAUUGAGACGGAUUUAAGUCGACCUUUUCAUUGGUUUUGUAUCUGUACAGAUCAUCUUUUUGACUAUGUUGCAUUAUUGUUUCUCUUCUUCUAACACUUCAUCAACUCAUCAAUUUCUUCUGUGGAAUCGUCAUCUUCAUGAUCAAAUCUGCCAUGGAUGUACGAUGUGCUCAUCAACUUUAAUGGAGAAGACAUCCAAAAGAAAUUUGUUUCUCAUCUCGAUUCUGCCCUCUUUGAUGUUGGCUUUACCACUUUCCUUCACUACCCCAAUGCACUCAACACAACGCACAUCCAACAACCUAUUCUCAAUCUCUCUUGUGUAACAAUUAUUGUUUUCAGGAAAUCCUAUAUUCAAUCUGCUUGGUGUCUUCAUCAAUUUCAACAAAUCAUUAAAUGGCACAAAACUUAUAGUCUACAUUAUUAAGGAAAUAAUGAUUAUCAAAUUAUACGCAAUUAACUUGAUAAUGAUAGAAUCUCACGAUUAUUGGAUCACAAAAUCCCAUGAUUAGUGGACUACCACAUAUGGAGUGUUGUAAAUACACACAAGAAUAUAAGAAAUUACCAUUUUCUUAUAUGGUAUCAGAGCAUCGAUCUUGGUGCUUUAAUAACCUCUCCAUUUUUAUCCGCUAAAUAAGAGAUCAUGUCUGAUAAGGAAGACACAGUAACGCCGCCAAGUCGGCUGCCAUGGAACCAACCAAUCCCUACUAUCUUCAUCAUUCGUACAAACCUGGACACAUGUUGGUGUUGACCAAAUUGAACGACACCGAUUAUCAAUCCUGGAAGACAACAAUGAUGCACACACUCACAGCGAAGAAGAAACCUAUUUAUAGUAGAAACAAUAAGUAAGAAAUGAAUUGAGUUAAAAAGGAUCAAGACUUUGAAUCUUAUACCACACCUGUUAUAUAUGUUAUCAUAAUUAUUAUUAAUGUUAGAAAACAGUGGACGAAACUUGAAGCCAAUUUCCUUGAGUGACCAAAGAAGCUUUAACCACCACACCAGACCAGUUCUUUUUGUCAUAUUAUGAUUUUUAUUAUACUUAUUAUUAUUAUUAAUAUCAUUUAUAUUAUUAAUAUUAUUCAUAAUAUAACUAUUAUUAAUAUUAUGAAUAUCAUUUAUAUUAUUAAUAUUAUAAACAUUAUAAAUAUAAUUAGUAUUAAUAGUAUUAUUAAAUUUAUUAUUAUUAUUAUUAAUAUUAAUAUUAAUAUUAUCAUUAAUAUUAGUAUUGUUAUUAUUAAUAUAAAUAAAAAUAUUAAUAUCAAUAUUAUCAUUAAUAUCAAUAUUAUUAUUAUUACAAUUAUUAAAAAUAUUUUUUAUGUAAUACUUUAUAUUUGGAUACAUGUAAUAUUCCCGUUUCAUACGCUUCAUGCAACACCUAAUUUUAUUUUUAGUUUUUUAAUGGGCUGCAACACAUAUGGUGGAAUUAGAAAAAAGGUGUUAAAAUUCUAAUUGAAUUUAGAUGGAGAUAAUCAAUAUGAAAUAUUAUUAUUGAUACCAAUACUUAUGUUAUUUUUUCAUUUUUUUUAAUUUUAAUAUUAUAAAUUUUUCUUUAAUUAAAUUAAAAGAAUAAUUAAACUAAAAUUACUUUUUUAAUUUAUUUAUAACAACGUAAUACAUCUUAAAAUUAUUUCAAUUCCAUGUAACCUUCUUUUAUAUUUUCAUUUUUAAUUUUUUUUUUAUUUUAGUUAGAACUAUAUGAAUCUAAAUGCUAUGUAAAAAUCCGUAUGUAAUGCUCACUUUACAUAUGGAUCUGGAUCCGUAUGUAAAAAUCGAUAUGUAACACUUACUUUACAUAUGAAUCUGGAUCCGUAUGUAGCUAACUUUACAUACAAAUUUGGAUUUGUAUGUAAAAAUCGGUAUGUAACAAUUACUUUACAUACAAAUCUGGAUCCGUAUGUAAAAAUCCGUACGUAACGCUGAUAAGUGCCAAUGUGUAGUUUUUAUGAUUGAGAAAAUUGAACACUUUGGAACUUAAUUGUUGCUUAAUGUAAGAAAAUUACCCUAAUCUGAGAAUUAUUGAAUCUGAUUAUAUAUUUCUUGAACCAAGAAACAAAUGAAGAAAUUUAAUCUCAAUUUUUGUGUAAAUUGCAGAUGAAUAUGAAGCAUUGAAAGAAUGUAUUCAAGCUGGCAUUGAAAGAAGAAAAAGUAAAAACUGAAUUGGAUCACAAGAAGAUUUAGCUCAAGCUAGAGGAUUUAGCUCAAGCUAAAACUGUCCAGAGUUGAUUAAAGGUGCAGUACAAUUUUAGCCCAGGCUAGAAUUGCUAGCUCAAGCUAAAACUGUCCAGAGCUGAUUAAAGGUGCAGUACUGAUCUAGCUCAGGCUAGAAUCGCUAGCUCAAGCUAAAAAUGCACCGAAAGAUCUAGCUCAAGCUAAAACAGGCUAGCUUGAGCUAAAGUUGAUUAUAUAAAUUCUGAAACAUAACUCAAAACCAGCGGUGGAAAACAGAUUAGGUUUUUUAGAGAGAGACUAGUGAGAGAAAGGGAAGAAACCUCUGUUCUUAGGAGAAGAACUUGCUCAGAUCAGCCCUUCUUAUGCAAUCCAGAUCAAGAAUGAAGAUUGGAGGAGCUGUCAUGAGUGGCUAAGUUCUUUCUAACUUGGGAUUGAAUGUAAUUUAUCUUGAUCAAAUGUAUUCUUGGUGAUAUAUAUAUAAAAUUCUCUUUUCUACUUGUUCUUGGUAUUUUCGUUUUAUGCUUAUUGCUUGAUUCUUUCUAAUCAAUAGAGUCUUGAUUUUGAUCCUUAAAUUUAACUGGAAAGUACCUUUAAGGAUCUGAAAUAGACGAAAAUGCUUGAUAACUUGUAAUGCUAGGAAUAGAUUCCAGGUUAUUGAUUGCAUGAUAAUUCUGUUCCUAAAGCUGGAUGAUUUGUUAAAUAUGUGAGGAAUGAAUGUUUAAGAAAUUAUCUUAUGAAUUUUAUCUGUGAGGAAUCAAGAUGAAUGACUUUAAAUUAAGCAUCAAGAAUAAGUAGUUUUGAGUAUUAUAUAUUGUAUUAUUCAAAAUACAGAUGAUUGAGAUAAACACAAUUCAAUCCCAAGUAUCUUUCUCUAUAUUUGAUAAGUUAGUUUGGUAUUUGGUUGAAUCAAACCCUAAAUCUUUGAGUUCUUGUGAAAUCUUUAAUUUGGUUAUGAACAAAGUCUCAAAAUUAUUUUCUAUACUUAAUGAGUUUUAAAACAGAACAUCUUAAUUAGAAUUGUUCCCUGUGGGUUCGACAUUCGUACUUUAAAGAGUACUAUAUUACAGUUGAUUCGGUACACUUGCCGAAGAAAUAAUCAACAAACGCUCACUUUACAUACGAAUUAUCCGUAUGUAAAAAUCCAUAUGUAAUGUUCACUUUACAUACGGAUUCAGAUCCUUUUCAGUAUGUAAAUAACAGUUAUGUAGUGUUAUACCCUAUAUAAUGGCGCUGAAAUCCUUUUCAAUGAAUUAAAUUGUGACAGUUAUGACUGACACUAUUUACAUAUAAAAAUCGGCAUUUUAAACAAAGUGUUAAAUUGGCGGGUGUUGCGGAAGGUAGCUUAAGACUGCCACAUUAAACUUUGUGGUGGCCAAUCCUAUGAUGGUUUGGGAAACCAUCACACGCGUAUAUUGUGGUGUUUAUAAACGCUAGUUUAUACGAAAAUAAUUGUCGCAUUAUACACCUUUUUUUGUAGUGAUUGUUUUAAGAAAAAGAAGUAUAAUAAAAAUAAAUUUGCAAUUUAAUUAUGUGAAAAAUUAUUAAAAUAACAUUAGUAAGAGUUGUUUUAUGGGUGUAAAAUAAAAUUUCGGCAAUGUUUCAGGAGAUAUAUAUCAGAGAGAAGCAACCUGAUUUAAUCUGAACACAUUAAUACCAUGUUAGAAUAAGCUCGAGAAAACAAUUUUUUUUAUGAAGUUUAGGAGAGAUGAAUAUUCAUUUCAAAUAAGACAGAAAAAGGGAGAAUCAAAACAAAAUAUGUCUUUUUUUUUAUAUAACCAUGCCUAAAGCAGUGCAACAUAAAAGUAUGCAGCAGAGCAAAAUGCAAAAACAGAAUGAGUCAUCAAUAUAAUAUACAUGUGUACCUACAAAAUAUGUUUUUUUGUUUCUUUAUUUUAAUUUAAAAUAAUAAUUUAAUUGUUAAAAAGUAACUGUAAAAUUUUAUUGUUUUUAAUAUGUAAAGGAUAAAAUUGAAAAAUUAAAUGUAUAUGCAAAAGAGGAAAAUUCUAUUGUUAUAGACUAAUAUUAAUAAUAUUAUUAUUAAGUUAAUAUGAUGGCUAGCAUGGGUUUUUUUGAAAAAUGGGUCUAUUGGAUCAAAGAAUACCUCAAAUAUGUUGAAGAUGAAUGAAGCUUAGUCUCUACCUAGCCUUAGUGUGUUUGAUGUAGAAUUUAGCUAGUUUGCUUUGAAGGUUGCAAUGUGUCUUAGAUGAUCUUGUACUUUAGGUUUGUGUAUGUUCAAGGUUGCUUUUUGCUACAUGACCCAUCCUAGAUGCCAAAUCAAGGUAGUAAGAUCAAGCACAUGAUGUGGUUAAAUGGUUUUGGAAAAGUUUUUUAAAGUUUUCUUAAAAGGUUUGACUCAGUACAAAAAUAAAUUUGUUUACUUGAGAAACAAUGGGUUUAUUUUUGCUCUAUUGAAAGAUUUUUCGAAAUUCAGUUAGGGCACCAAAGUUAAAGCUCAGUCUGUUAUUUCAGUUAAGGUGAGUUGGCAGUUUUGUUAACAUUUAACCUGUUGUUUUUAGAAUAAAUCUGUUGUUUUUAAAACUGCUUUGAAACUGCUUUUUGAAAAGUGGUUAGAAACUGUUCUCUAUAAAAUAAAAUGCCCUUCUCACAUAAAGAGAGCUGAGCAAUCACAGUUUUAACAGAGAUAAAACACUUCUUGUGUGAGAAAGAGAAUUGAAAAGGUUUUGCAAAGGUUUUUUAGUAGGAAAAUAGAUGUGUGCUUGUUCUUGAAGAACCUUGUGCUGGAUGAAGGUGUUGGUACUGUCUUGAAGCAAAUAGAACAACUGGUAUAUGUUCUUGCAUCACUUUUCAAGUGUAAUCUUUCCGUUAUUCGUUCUUGUAAUAGGUGUAAGUGUUAGUCACUCUUGAUAAGAUUUCUUGGAGUGCAAGGUGUGCUGAAAUAGUGUUUUUCAGCCUUGUUUGUUGAAGUUCUUGUAGGGUUCAAGAACUGUUGUGUAUGCUGUAAUUGAUUGUAUCUGUUUUAGUGGAUUCCACCUUGGAGUAAGGUGAACUGGACGUAGCUCUUGAUGAGUGAACCAGUAUAAAAAUUCUCUUGUGUUUCUCUUCUCAUCCCUGCACUUAUUUAUGAGUUUUCACAUAAUUUGUCAAGAAAGGAAUCUGUUCUUUUAAAUCUAAAUUUGUUAACUCUAGACCUGAUAAAAUCUGUCAUUCUAACUUGUUAAUCAAUCUUCUAAACAUAAAUCAAGCUACUGUGUGAAUCUGUAAUAUGGCUAAAGUGUGAAUUGUUUUCCUUGACUGAACUGUGGCAUUUGUUCAUUCUCCUAGAUGCUUUGUGUUAAGUAAAAUUGAUUAAUCUUGUGAUAUAAUCUGCAAUUUGUAAGUUGUAAAAGUUAAUCAAUUUGUUUCUGCUAUUCUUGCUGGUUGAUCUAAAUCUUGUUGAUCAAGUUCUGUUUGUGCUAAAGUCAUUUGGAAAAUCAAUCUGUUUCAUUUAAAAUCAAUCUGUUCUUUUCAUCUCUGUCACACUGUAAAUCAGUUUCUUUUGCGAAAAUUUGAUAAGCUCAAUUCACCCCUCCCCUCUUGAACUUAGACGUUGUUUAACUCUAACAGAAUCUUCUUCUAUCUUUGUUUUAGUUAAUGAAAGUCCAUCUAAGUAAUUCAAACCGUCUAGAGGUCUAAGACAAGGGGAUCCAAUUGCACCGUUCUUAUUCAUAAUUGUGGCCGAAGGCCUAUCAAGUUUAUUAAAUCAAGGGCUACAAAGGAAGUGUUUUCUGAAUUAAAAGUCAGUGCAAAAAAUAUAGAGGUGAAAUUACUUCCUUUUGCAAAUGACACUUUGAUCAUGUGUAAAUCUAAUAUCCAAAAUAUUAGUGGUAUUAAAGGGAUCCUUAAAUGUUUUGAAAUUUGCUCAGGGCUUAGAAUAAACUUCUUUAAGAGAAAAAUUGGAGUUAUAGGAGUGGACAAAAAUGUGUUAGGAUCUUUCUUUGAGGUUCUCCAUUGCAACAUUAUGAAUAUUCCUUUUUUAUAUCUUAGUUUACCUAUUGGGGGAAAUUCUACUAAGGUUUCUUUUUGUGACCCAGUGCUUACAAAGGUUAAGAAGAGGCUAUCUAUGUGGAAAGGUAAAAAUCUAUCAUUUGCAGGUCGUGUGUGCUUCAUUCAUUUUGUGUUGAAUGCAACCCCUUGUAUUAUCUCUCUUUCUUCAAAGCUCCAUCAUCUAUAUGCAAAAAGAUUACAAAGUUACAACGUAAGUUCUUGUGGGGCUGGGAUAUUGAGGGAAGGAAAAUUGCUUGGAUUAAAUGGGAUAAUUUAUGUAAACCUAAAGCGAAAGGUGGGUUAGGCAUAAAGCAGAUAGACAUUUUCAACAAAGCUUUACUUGGCAAAUGGAAAUGGAGACUUGGGUCUCUUGAGAACUGUUUAUGGAAAGAUAUUCUUGCUUCUAAAUAUGGUUCUUGGAGAAAUUUAUCUGAAUCUAAAGUUUCAAAGCAUGCUUCAAGAUGGUGGUUCCAUUUAAACAAAGUGUGUGAGGAUGAGCAGGGCAUCAAUUGGUUUGAUUCUAAUAUGGAAUGGGCGGUUGGGUCUAGUGAAAAAGUUAAGUUGUGGGAAGAUGUUUGUGUUUAUAUUGUUUGGGUUUAUAACUGUCAAUUGAAAGCUAGAUUCCCAAGGUUGUUUAAUAACUCUCUCAUCAUAGAUAAUUCCUUGUGUCGCUUUGGUAAUUGGAACAGAGACAACUGGGUUGAGAAUUAAAGUGGAGAAGAGAGUGGUUUAAAUGGGAGAAGGUCCAAGUAGAUGAAUUUAUGACUAUGCUAGAAGGUCAGACCUUGAAAAUAGGUAAGGAGGAUAAAUGGUUAUGGAGAGACCCGCAAACCUGUAAGUACUCUGUCAAAUCUGCAUAUGCAUUCGUUUCUAAUCCUAUCCCAAGUGCAUCUAAGGAUAUGUAUAGGGUUAUGUGGGGCUUGUUAGUCUCACCAUCGGCCCAAUGUUUUGUUUGGAGAGCAUUGCAAAACAGGAUCACCAAAAAGCAAAAUCUGAUUAGAAGGUCGGUCCACCUUGCGGAUUCAUUAUGUGUUUUAUGUGGGAUCGAGGAGGAAAUGUCCUCACACCUUUUCUUAAGUUGUCAGAUUGCGAGCGUUGUUUGGAAUUGCUGUAGUAAAUGGAUUGGGGUUAGAUCUGUAAAUCAUUUUGCUCUGAAGGAACACUUUGAACAAUUUCAUUGCCCUUAGCUUAGCAAAGAAGGCAAUAAGUUGUGGAAAUGAGUGUGGGUAUCUAUCAUCUGGUGCAUUUGGAAACAUAGGAAUGAGAUUGUGUUUAACCAAGCAAAAGUGGAUGCGGGUGAAAUCUUUGGCCUGACCCAAAUGCAAUUGUGGGCUUGGUUAAAAAUACAAGACUUCAAUGACGCUUUUUUCUUUUUCCGACUGGGUCCAAUGUCCGAAUACUUGCAUUAAUAUAACAGUAAAACGUUGAUUUUGUGAGGAUAGAGAGGUUGUAUGUAUUGAUUGGUUUUUGUUCCUUUUUUAGGAUGUUUUGAGAGUAUGUAAUGUACCCUUAAAGUGUAUAAGGGUUGGAGCACCCCUUUGUGCUCCUUUUCUAUUAAUUUAUUUUUUUGCCAAUUAAAAAAAAAGUUUACAAAGGAUGUUAACCAUAUUAAUUAAUUCAAUUCGUCUGCCUAUAUAUUACGCAUAUCUAUAUGAGUACUUAAGAGUGAAAUAUUAAAUAAAUUUAUUUUCCCUUCCACUCAUUCUCUUUCUUAUUAAUAUAUUACUCUAUAAAUAGGUUGAUAUUUCUUAUGUAUAGUGUUCUUUGCACACACAUUCCAACUAAGAGUACCUCCUGAUAGAAGGCAUGAAGAUCUCAUCUACGCUUUGAAAAGAAAGAUUAUAUAAGAUAAUCUCCACUCGUGUAAGAAAGAAAAGUACAAUGUAUUUUUUUAGUUCUUGCAAAUAUAAUACUUUUGUUAUACAUGUCAAUUUUUAUUUUAAAUCCAACCACAUUAGUUUCAUGUUAUUAUCCCCAGUCACUUCAAAAAAAUUAACAGAAGCUAAAAACAACUUUUUAAAAGUACAGAACUAAGAUAAGAAUAAAAGUGCAUGGAUCAAAAAUAAAAAUAUAGUUAAGAGGGAAAAUAUUUAACCGUGACAAAGGUUUUAAAAAGAGGUGACAAGAUGCAUUAGAGAAGUAGAAUAAAACUUUCACUUAUUUUUUACGCCAUGAUUAAAUUAGUAAAUAAAAAAUUGAUUAAAUUGUUGAAAGUUAUAUAACUUUUAACGUUUUUCAUGAGUUUAGACAUGCUAAACUAGAAAUGUAGAAUUCAAAAUCAAUAUAAAUAAAAGAAAAAGAAAAUAUUUGCUUAAUGAUUUUAACAAAAUGACAUUGAAAUAAUGUUAUAAACUGAUUAUAGAUAAACUGAAUGUUUUUCUAAACUGUGUUUAUACCUACAUUAACCUGUUUUAGAUAUACAUGUGUAAUGUGAAAGAUGAUAAUGUUAUAAGCUUUUAAAACUUUAAGCGAUAUUUGCAUUAUCUCUUCCACGACCACUAAAAAAGUACUUUUAUUAUUGUGUCUGUAGAGAUCAUCUCUUUGACUGUGUUGCAUUAUUGCUUUCUCUUCUAAACACUUCAUCAACUCCUUCCAUGGAAUUGGCGUCUUCAUCAACCAAACUCUCAAAGAUGUACGACGUGCUCAUCAACUUCAAUGGAGAAGACAUCCAAAGGAAAUUUGUGUCUCAUCUCGAUUCUGCCCUCUCUGCUGUUGGCUUCACCACUUUCCUUCACCACCCCAAUGCACACAACCCAAUUCACUUCCAACAACCUAUUCUCAAUCUCUCUCGUGUAGCAAUUGUUGUUUUCACCACAACCUAUUCUCAAUCUGCUUGGUGUCUUCAUCAGCUUCAACAAAUCAUCAAAUGGCACCAAACUUAUUGCCGACAUGUUCUGCCUGUUUAUUACGAAAUCCAGUCAUCUGAUGUACGUCUUCAGAUGGGUGAUUUUGGAAAAGCCUUCAAAGCCACUGCACAACAAACAUUCUCACCACAACAACUGGAGCAUGGCAUGUCCAGAUGGAGCCACGCACUCACCAAAACUGCAAAUUUCUUUGGAUGGGAUGAGAGCAAUUACAGGUAAAUCACUCACUUACUAAGCUUGUACUUCAAUUUUGGUAAUACAUGACUUGUUCAAUAAUUGUUAUUGACUUUGAAGGAGUGAUGCUGAACUAGUGGACAAAAUUGUUAAGACCGUUCUUCAUUUACCAAUCUUGUCUGCUACAAAAUUUCCAGUUGGAUUAGAAUCCCGUGUGGAGGAUGUGAUUCGAACCAUAAAAAGUAAAUCCACCCAAGUUUUUACUAUAGCGAUAUGUGGAAUGGAAGGAUCGGGUAGAACCACUCUUGCCAAAGCCAUCUACAAUCAAAUUCAUGGUACAUUCACGGAGAAAAGUUUCAUCGAAGAUAUUGCACAAGUUAGUCAAACAAGAGGGUAUGUUCCUUUACAAGAACAAUUUCUUUCAGAUGUACUAAAAACAAAGGUGGAGAUAAGUGACGUUCAGAUGGGAAAAAGUAUGAUUUGGGAAAGACUAUAUGGGAAAAGGGUGCUUCUUGUACUUGACGAUUUGAAUGACUAUGGCCAAUUAGGCCUCUGGGGAACUAGUUCAUGGUUCGGUGAAGGAACUGUAAUAAUCAUUACAGCGAGAGAUGAAGUAGACCUGCCGAGUAUGCUUGAAGUUGAUUCUGUUUUUCAGAUGAUUCCAAUGAACGCAAACGAGUCCCUUGAGCUUCUUAGUUGGCACGCAUUUAGAGAACCAAAACCAAAAAAAGAAUACCGUGUACUUGCAAAAAGAGUAGUUGCUUAUUGUGGAACACUACCUCUAGCUCUCGAAGUCAUUGGAACUUAUUUAUACAAAAGGACGAAAGAUGAAUGGAAUAGAGUAUUGAUAAGAUUAGACAAUAUUCCCCAGCAUGAAGUUCCACAGAUAUUGAAAAUAAGUUUUGACGGUUUAGCUAAUCAAAUAGAAAAAGAUUUAUUCCUUGAUGUAUGUUGUUUCUUUGUUGGUAAAAGCAGAGCCUAUGUUACCAAGAUCCUAAAUGGCUGUGGAGUAGACUCUGAUAGUGGAAUAAGAGUUCUCAUAAAGCGUAACCUCAUCAAAGUUAAAGAAAACAACAAAUUUGGAAUGCAUCAUUUGCUACGAGAAAUGGGAAGAGAAAUUAUUAGUGAAAUUUCAAGAAAGGAAUCUGGGAAGAACAGUCGACUGUGGCCUCAUGAGGAUCUAAAACAUGAAUUUUCAGUGAAUACUGUAAGAGCAUUCUUAAUCUAUGAUUUUGAAACUUCUUUUGGAAGUGGUUGAUUUCUCAUGUGCAAUACCAAUGUUUUUCUUAGCUCUUUUCAUCACCGGGUAAAAAAGUCAUUCAGAGAUUGUCUAGCGGAAGAGAUUUCUUCGAAACUUAUCCUGUAGAGGUAAGAGACCCAUCACCGGAUACAAAAGUCUUCGAACUCCCUGGACUGCUGAAACUCCCUUGGAAAUUCGAACCACAUUCUAAAAUUACCUACCUUAACGCUUGACUUUUAUNNNNNNNNNNNNNNNNNNNNNNNNNNNNNNNNNNNNNNNNNNNNNNNNNNNNNNNNNNNNNNNNNNNNNNNNNNNNNNNNNNNNNNNNNNNNNNNNNNNNNNNNNNNNNNNNNNNNNNNNNNNNNNNNNNNNNNNNNNNNNNNNNNNNNNNNNNNNNNNNNNNNNNNNNNNNNNNNNNNNNNNNNNNNNNNNNNNNNNNNNNNNNNNNNNNNNNNNNNNNNNNNNNNNNNNNNNNNNNNNNNNNNNNNNNNNNNNNNNNNNNNNNNNNNNNNNNNNNNNNNNNNNNNNNNNNNNNNNNNNNNNNNCACCAAUCUAUUGGAUGUCUCUGCAAUCUUAUACUGCUAAAUUUGAAGGACUGUACAAGUCUAAGCACUCUCCCCAGAGAGAUAUGUAAGUUGAAAUCUUUGAAAACUCUCAUUAUAUCUGGUUGUUGGAAAAUUGACCUAUUGGAAAAAGAUAUAGUGCAAUUGGAAUCCUUGAGAAUUCUAAUUUCUGAAAAUACAGAUGUGAAACAAGUGCCUUUUUCAAUUGUAAGCUCAAAAAGCUUUGCAUAUUUAUUCCUACCUGCAUUUGAGGGAUUAUCACAUAAUCUUUUUCCUUCUGUGAUUCGGUCUCUGAUGUCGCCAACAAUGAAUCCCUUAUCUUAUAUUCAUUCCUUCAUGGAUAUGGAGGAUAAUAGUUGGGAUGAUAUUUCACCAUUGCUCAGCAGCCUUGCAAAUCUUCGAAGUGUUUUGGUGCAAUGUGACGCCAAGUUUGAACUAUAUGAGCAAGUAAAAACUAUAUUGGUCGAAUAUGAUGCAAAUAUUACAGAAUCAGGAAUUUCAAAGAAUAAUUUCAGGUCUUCUCUGACUGGUGUUGGAAGAUACAAAGAAUUCUUCAAUACUGUCAGCGAUAGCAUACCUAAGGUUCUUCUCUAGCUUUCCCUUUGUUUAUUACCUUCACCAUCAUUUUAGCUAUUAUUUCUGAGAACAUAAAAUAGUCCUAAUGAAGUAUUAGUAGAAACUACACUACUGAACUUUAAGCACCUUUCGCUUCUAUAGCCCCACGACUUCAUCUAAAAGUAUCUGAGUUGAAUAAUCAAAUAACCAAGUCAUUAUGCUUAUCCUAAGUACAUGCAAAUUGAUUUCCACUUACUAGUUUACUUCAUGGGUUUUUUAUUCCCAAUGAUCGUAUAAAUAUAAACUAAGAGAGACAAAAAUAGAAAUGCAAAAUGAUGGUGAUAUAUACACAACAAAACUAUAAACCAAAUUUGUUUCGAUCAUGUAACUAAACAUGCCCUUGUUUGUCCCAUGAUACAGGUAUUUGCAAGCAGUGAGUCAUGUGAUGUUUCUCUCCCAGGUGACAACGAUCCUUAUUGGUUGGCCUAUAUGGGUGAUGGACAUUCUGUUUAUUUCACUGUGCCUCAAGAUCGUGUGGUGAAGGGAAUGGCUUUGUGUGUUGUUUAUUUAUCAACCUCCGAAAUCAUUGAACCUGAACUUACUACUGUCUUAAUUGUUAAUUACACGAAGUGCACAUGCCAAAUACACAACCAUGGGACAGUAAUUUCCUUUAAUGAUGAAGAUUGGCCUAAUAUAAUGUCAAAUUUAGGAUCAGGAGAUAAAGUGGAGAUUUUUGUGAGUUUUGGUGAUGGAUUGGUGGUCAAGAACACAGCUGUCUAUUUGAUAUGUGGUGAAUCAAAUGAGUUAGAAAAGGAGGCUGUGCCAAAGAAAAAAUCGCUCCUUAAAUUCAUAAAGAGAACUCUAAUGUGAGUUCUAGUAAGUCAUUUAUAUUUGAGAACUUUGAGUUAUGGAAUUAAUCCUUGUGUCCUUCAUUGCAAUUUAUUUUUUCUGAUCUGUCCUUGUUUUUCUUUGAGUAUAGCUCAUAGUUACGAGAUUCAUAUUUAUUUUACCCUGUUUCUCACUCCUCACAUUGUUUACUUGAACUGUUUAUUGUAUUUGCUUUGUUGUUGUUACUUUUUGUCAAUUCUAUUCCCUUCUUAGCAUAUAAUAUUGCAUUCAGAAAAUCUCGUAAAAAAUAUUGCAUUAUGAAAUAAAGAUAGCUGCGGUUCGAUAAUUUGUUAUGUGUUUUGCCUUGCUAUAUGCUAUGCAGUCUCUGUUUUUGUUUCAACAUAAGAAGCACCGUAGCCUCAUCCCUUUAUUUUAAGACUAAAACAAAGUUUGAUUUCAUUUCUCCUUAUUUACACUGAUUAUAUUUUUUUAUGUCUAAUUUAAAAAUAUUUAAAUUUUUUCAAUUUACAUUUAUAAGUUUCAUUACAGUUUUCAGUUAUGUAAAGUCACCAAAUUAUUUUAAAUUUUAAAUUUUCAACUAAUUUUUUUCAAAUAUAGUCAUGAUCUUUCAAAAUAUUUUAAUCUGUUAUAAAUUGUUUUAAAAUUAAUUCUUAUAAAUUAAUAUUCAUUUGAUAUGUGCAAAUAUAAUCUUUAAAAAAUUCAAAAAAUAACCAUGUAGACAAAUACCGCUAAUAGUUAAAAAAAAUUCAAAUGUGUACUUUUUAUUGACAAUUAGUUUAGGCUUUUAUGUUUCAAAUAUAAAGUUAAAUGUUCAACUGUAUUACAAAACAAAAAGAUAUUCAUACAAAAUCUCCAUUCUAUGAUCCUCACCAGAAAAAAGCAUUGAAAGAUAUGAUAGCACUUGAUCCACCAUGAUGAUAGCACUUGAUCCACCAACACCAAUCCUGCUACAAUGUUCAUACCUUCACUGCUACAAUGUAGUAGGCACGUACCUGCAUCAAACCACCCCUCUCAACCUUAAACUGUAUAACUUACCAUAAUUCUCCUUUCCUUCAUAAUCCAAUAAACCAUUUCCCAUUAUAUUUCACAACACAUAUUAAUAACAUAUCCGUACUAGUCAAACAACUCUUCACUUCAAAAAUAAAUAAAUGACAUAUUGUCUCAUCAUCCUCCCCACGCAUAGUUCCAAAACUCACCAUGUUGUGGUAUAUGAUGAAGAGAGUGCCUUAAUCCUCUAAAAAUUCUCGUACAUGGACAUGCCUUCCCCCUUCUACUUCGCCCUUUAAGAUUCUAUAUGCUGAUUUAAUCGUAUAAUUUGAUGUUUCUCCUUCCUUCCUUACCCACUUAUCGUCUUUUUCCAUGUUUAAACUUGUGUCUUCCAAAACAUGUGCGAAUUGAUGCGCUUGGUUAUUUUCCCACUCAAAUAAAUUCCUUCUCCAUUCUAACUUCUAUAACCAAUUGUUAUUAUUCCACUCCCUAACCUAAUACAACUUAAAAUCUCUGUUUGUGCUUAAACAAAAUAAUCUCAGAGAACUUAUUUUUUAGUUCUUCAUUAUCCGCUCAUUUAUCUUCCCAAGAACUAAUCUCCAUCCCAUUUCCUGCCUCCCAAGUUACAAUAUCAUCAAAUUUACUUUCCCAUGAAGCCCAUGCUAUUUUCCUACCCUCCGAACAUCAAUCCCAUAAAAAUUUUCUUUGCAAUUUCACUAUCUCCUUUGUCACCAUUAUUGGCAUUUUAUAUAAAGAUAAAUGAAAUAGAGGGAGAGAUGAAAGCACUGAUUUAAUUAAGCAUAUCCUACCUGCCGUAGAUACAAAUUUAUCAUUCCAUCUACCUAAUCUAUUCCUCAUUCUUUCCACCACAUCCUCUAGAAUUUAUCUCUUGUGGCACCCCCCCAACUAACAUUCUCAGAUAUUUAAAUGGUGUUUUCAUCACAUCACAAUUAAGAAUUUCCGCAAAAUAUUGAAUCAGAUUGUGAUUGACUCCCACCCCUCCAAUUUUACUCUUUAGAAAAUUUACCUUAAAGCCAGAUGCUAAUUCAAAGCAGUUUUAGAUUACCUUUAUAAUAAACACACUUUGAGUAUUGACUUUACAGAAAAAUAGUGUAUCAUCCGCGUAUUGUAACAUAUUCACCUUAACCAACUUAUCCCCAAUCUCCAUACUUUCUAUCAUAUUUUUCUUAACUGCUUUUCUUACACCCCGUACUAAUCCUUCUACCACUAUAAGAAACAAGAAAUGUGCUAAGGGACUCCUUGUCUCAGCCCCUUCUGUGGUUUAAAUUCCUAAGUUGGACUCCCACUCACUAAUACUGACACCGAAGAUGAUUCUAAACAUGCUUUUACCCAAACUAUCCAUCUUUCACAAAGAACCUAACCUUCCUAACAUAUAGUAGAUGAACUCCCAUCUUAAUGACUCAUAAGACUUCAUUGGCCACAAGCACACUAUCCAUUAACCCCUUACCUUCUAAAAGCGUUGACUGCCAAAGAUCAAUAACUUUAUGUGACUAUAUAUAUUCUUCUUGAUCUCUUCCUAACAAAUUUUAUAAAACCAAAAUUAAAGUCGUCACAACAUUUCAUCUUCUAUAAUACUUCCUACUAACAUUUCAUCUUCUCCAUAAAUAGUUUUAAAAUUUGUAUUAUCUAACCUGACUUUUCCUUAACAACCACUUGAUCCUCACACCAUUGGCCAUUCUCUAGCAAACCAUUAAUCCCAUUUCUUGACCUUCACCAUUUAGUUAUAGAGUGAAAAAAAUUGGUAUUAAGAUCACCUUGCUUCAACCACCUAUGACGAGCUUUCUGUUGCAUUAUAGCUUCUUGUUUAAAAUUAUUUUUACUAUGCUAACAAACACAAACUUACUUUCCUCUCUUCCUUCCUAAUCUAACUCAUUCUUGUCAUUUGUUGCAUCUAACUCUUGAUUUUUUCUUUGUUCCAUAUUUUUAAAUCAAAUUUUAGUUUUUUCAAUUUUUAUUUAAAAAUAAACACCUUGCUACCUUGCACCUCAUAUCUAUUCCAUUUAUUCCAUAUGAAGUCUUUGAAUCUGCCAUCUCUUUGCCAGAUGUUCAAACACCUAAACAGUUUCGGACCCUAAUUCUUACUCAUGUCUUUUAACACCAAUGUACGAUGACCGAACAUUGAUUUAUGUUAACAUAUUUAGUUUUUUCUAUUUUAACUUAUUGGACUUUGUUUGUUUGGCCCAACUUUCCUUUUCUGUUUCAGCCAGGUCUUAGUCUUUUUCUUAUAUAUACACAAUUUAUUUUAUUCUCUAAUACACAAGUAAAUAAGAAUUUCUUUUGUAUUUUCUUUUCUUUGUUUUUCUCUUUGAUCUUUAUUUCCCCCUUUGUUGUUCUUGGUUAUCUUUUAUGUUCUCUUUCAAAAUCUUGAUUGGGUUUCAAAAUCUCUUAGGCAAUGUCUAAUGAAAACCAUAGUCUUAAUAGUAGCCACACUAUUACAUGCAAUUUAUGUGGUAAAUACGGUCAUAUUGAGGCUGUUUGUUUUCGCAAAGUGGGUUUUCCUUCUAGUAAUGUUAAAACCUCAAAGUUUUUUUCUACUAGAAAAGUCUGCACUUUUUGUAAUCAUAUUGGCCACACUACCGACACCUGUUAUAAAAAGCAUGGGUUCCCUCCUGGCUACAAAUUCACCAAUUGGACAUCCCUAACCAAUAAUAUGAUUACUACUGACACUUUUUUUGAGCUUUUUCCUAAAGAACAAGAUGUAAAGGGGAUUCAACUUACAUCACAACAGUGUCAAUUCUUGACCAACAUUUUGCGUCAGCAAAACCUUGAGGAUCCUGCCCCUCACACUCAAAUUAAUCAAGUUGACACCUUCUCUGCGGAUGAAAUCCCCAAUACUGAGCAAUCUUCAAUAUGUAAGUUUCUCUCUUCACUAUCUGCUAUAAAAGAAUCUUGGAUUAUUGAUUCUGGUGCCACAUAUCAUGUUUGCCACAAUUUGAACAUUUUUACUACUUAUACUAAAAUUAAACCUGUCUUAAUUAGUCUUCCAAAUGACCAAACUGUUUAUGCCACAUAUUCUGGUUUAGUACGUUUUUAUGAUAAGUUUUAUUUGUCUGAUGUGUUAUAUGUGCCUCAUUUUCAAUUAAACUUAAUAUCUGUUUCUAAACUCACACACCAACUUAAAUGCACUUUAACUUUCACUUCAACCCACUGCAGUAUACAAGACAAUCUCACCCAAGAGAGGAUUGGUAUAGUUAAAGCCACUGCUAGCUUGUACCUUGUCACUACCUUGCCUGUUUCUAGCCAUUUUAAACCACAUUGUUUUGCUCCUUUUAUUAAUUGUAAUAUCAUGGACAAAACACUGUGGCAUUAUAGACUAGGACACCGUUCACUUGAAAGAUUACAUGUCUUAAGCGAACAAUACUCUUUUAUUACUGUUGAUACUCAUCAUGUAUGUGACACUUGUAGUCGUUUAAAGCAGAGAAAACUUCCUUUCACUUUAAGUAAUAUUGUUACCUCUGCUAUUUUUGAUCUUGUACACUUUGAUAUUUUGGGACCAUGUUCCAUAACUUCUAUGCAAGGUUUUCGUUAUUUCUUGACUAUUGUUGAUGAUUACUCGCGUUAUACUUGGGUUAUUUUGCUGCAUAACAAAUCUGAAGUGCGUCAGCAUAUCAUUAACUUCAAUAUUUUCAUUCAAAAUCAUUUCAAAACUAAUAUCAAAAUGAUUUGUACUGACAAUGGUGUUGAGUUUGCUAUGUCAAAUUUUUAUGCUUCAAAGGGAAAUAUACAUAAAAAAUCUUGUCUUGAAACACCAUAGCAAAAUGGCAUUGUAGAAUGUAAACAUCAACACAUACUAAAUGUAACCUGAGCUUUACUUUUUCAAGCAAAUCUUCCUCCUAUUUUUUGGGAAUUUGCUGUAAAUUAUGUUGUUUUUUUAAUAAAUGUUAUUCCUACUCCAUUACUUAAUAAUAUCACUCCUCAUGAAAAGUUGUUUGGAAAACUGUAUGACAUUUCCUUUUUAAAAGUGUUUGGUUGUCUUUGUUAUGCUAGUACCAUUACUGCACAUAGGACAAAAAUUAGAUGAUAGAUCUAUCAAAGGUAUUUUUCUUGGCUUCCCGCAAAAUACAAAAGGUUAUAUUAUCUUAAAUUUAAAGUUUCAUAGCAUAGAGAUAUCAAGACAUGUAAUCUUUCAUGAAAACCACUUUCCAUAUAAAUUGGACAGUGGCUUGCCUAGGGACCCGAAUACUUUAUCUCUCCUUAUUUCUAAUGCAUAUAAUUAUGCUUUUGAUUUUUUUUUUUUUGAUAUUGCACUUCCUGCCGAGCCAUGUACCUCUACUCCUACACCUAAUAUUGUCCCUCCACCAACCUCAUUAUCCUCUGAUCUUUCAGCAAAUAAUGUCUCUGCUCCUGCAUCCAACAUUGCACCUCCACCAGAAUUAUCAAUGCCUGCACCUCCAGGAAGCACUUCACCCCAAUUCCCAAGAAGAUCAGUCUGUCUUCACUGACAACCUGCCCAUCUUGCAAAUUUACACACUGCAACCAACAUUGUGGGUAGUAGAUAUCCUAUUCAUAAUUACUUGUCUUACAAUUCCUUAUCUUCCAAUUUUAGGAAUAUUAUUUCCUCUAUCAAUUCUCAUCAUGAACCUCUGACCUAUAACGAAGCCUCCAAACAUGCUUCUUGGCAAUCUGCCAUGCAAGAUGAGUGUCAAGCUCUUGCUGCUAACAAUACUUGGCAACUUACCUCUCUCCCUCCAGGAAAGAAAACUAUUGGUUGUAAAUGAGUAUAUAAAAUCAAAUACCAUUCUAAUGGCACUGUUGAGCGCCACAAAGCUAGAGUUGUUGCCAAAGGGUUCAUCCAACUUGAAGGACUUGAUUUCUUAGACACUUUUGCACCUGUUGCUAAACUCACUACCCUCUGUCUUCUCCUUGUUGUUGCCACUACCAAAAAUUGAAUUUUAAAACAACUUGAUGUUUAUAAUGCCUUUCUUCAUGGUAAUCUCCAUUAAGAGGUAUACAUGACCCCCCACCUGGCCUCUCUCUUCCUUCUCCCAAGCAUGUCUGCAAGCUUCAACGGUGUUUGUAUGGCCUUCGUCAAGCUGGUUGCCAAUGGUACGCCAAGCUUUCUACUUUUCUUUUAUCAAAUUAUUACUCUAUUUCUGCUACUGAUCACUCUCUUUUUCUUAAAUAUAAUAACGAUAAACUCACUGUUAUUCUUGUUUAUGUUGAUGAUUUGGUCUUAACUGGUGAUGACACGGUGGAAAUCAAUACAAUUACUGCAUCCUUUCACAUCACUUCAAGAUAAAAAUAUUUAGGUCAUCUCACUUACUUUUAGGGACUGGAAAUUGCUCGCAACAGUUAUGGUCUUCAUUUAAGUCAACGCAAGUAUACUCUUGAUCUUCUUCACGAAACUGGCAUGCUUGACUCUGCACCUGUGGCCACUCCUUUUGAUGUUGAUGCAACUUCCCAAAUACAGAAGACUCCUUGGACGUCUAAUCUACUUAACCAACACGCGGCCAAACAUCGCCUUCACUGUCCACAAUUUAAGUCAAUUCAUAUCUGCACCCACAACUCAUCAUCAACAAGUUGUCUCACGUCUUUUGCGUUACCUCAAGGGCACCCCUGGUGAAUGACUAUAUUUUUCUCAUAAUAGCUCACUUCACCUUUGUGGUUUUAGUGACUCUGAUUGGACAACAUGGCAUACCACACACAAAUUUGUCACUGGAUAUUCCAUGUGUUGAACCAAGUGGUGUUCAAGCUUUGAAGAAUCCAAACCCUUUGAAGGUUGUUGAAGGCUUGGUUGUGCUUGCUGUUGCUGAGCUGUCUUAGACAGGAUCUGGGGUAGUUUGUUUAUGUAAUCCACUCUUGAUUGAAUCUAAAGCAUAGGCACUCUCAAUCUUUGCCCUACCAAAUGCAACCGUGGGCUUGGUUAAAAAACAAGGCUCCAAUGACGCUAUUUUCUUUUUCCAACUGGGUCCAAUAUCCGAUUACUUGCAUUAANNNNNNNNNNNNNNNNNNNNNNNNNNNNNNNNNNNNNNNNNNNNNNNNNNNNNNNNNNNNNNNNNNNNNNNNNNNNNNNNNNNNNNNNNNNNNNNNNNNNUAAAAAAAAAAGUUUACAAAGGAUGUUAACCAUAUUAAUUAAUUCAAUUCAUCUGCCUAUAUAUUACGCAUAUCUAUAUGAGUGGUUAAGAGUGAACUAUUAAAUAAAUUUAUUUUCUCUCUACGCCUUCCACUCAUUCUCUUUCUUAUUAAUAGAUUCCUCUAUAAAUAGGUUCAUACUUCCACUAUUCUCUUUCUUAUUAAUAGAUUCCUCUAUAAAUAGGUUCAUAUUUCUUAUGUAUAGUGUUCUUUGCACACACAUUCCAACUAAGAGUACCUCCUGAUAGAAGGCAUGAAGAUCUCAUCUACGCUUUGAAAAGAAAGAUUAUAUAAGAUAAUCUCCACUCGUGUAAGAAAGGAAAGUACAAUGUAUUUUUUUAGUUCUUGCCAAUAUAAUACUUUUGUCAUACAUGUCAAAUUUUUAUUUUAAAUCCAACCACAUAUUAGUUUCAUGUUAUUAUCCCCAUUCACUUCAAAAAGUUUAACAGAAGCUAAAAACAACUUUUUAAAAGUACAGAACGAAGAGAUAAGAAUAAAAGUGCAUGGAUAAAAUAAAAAAUAUUAGGAGGGAAAAUAUUUAACCGUGACUAAGGUUUAAAAUAAUAGUUGGGAUGAUAUUUCACCAUUGCUUAGCAGCCUUGCAAAUCUUCGAAGUGUUUUGGUGCAAUGUGACGCCAAGUUUGAACUACAUGAGCAAGUAAAAAGUAUAUUGGUCGAAUAUGAUGCAAAUAUUACAGAAUCAGGAAUUUCAAAGAAUAAUUUCAGGUCUUCUCUGACUGGUGUCGGAAGAUACAAAGAAUUCUUCAAUACUGUGAGCGAUAGCAUACCUAAGGUUCUUCUCUAGUUUUCCCUUCGUUUAUUACCUUCACCAUCAUUUUAGCUAUUAUUUCUGAGAACAUAAAAUAAUCCUAAUGAAGUAUCUAGUAGAAACUACACUACUGAACUUUAAGCACCUUUCGCUUCUAUAGCUUCCACUUUAUUGCUUUACUAGCUUCAUGGUUUUUUUAUUCCUAAUGAUCGUAUAAAUAUAAACUGAGAGACAAAAACAGAAAUGCAAAAUGAUGGUGAUAUAUACACAGCAAAACUAUUAACCAGAUUUGUUUUAAUCAUGUAUAACAUUUUUGUUUCACUAAACAUGCCCCAGUUUGUCACAUGAUACAGGUAUUUGCAAACAGUGAGUCAUGUGAUGUUUCUCUCCCAGGUGACAACGAUCCUGAUUGGUUGGUCCAUAUGGGUGAUGGACAUUUAUAAGAAUGGCUUUGUGUGUUGUUUAUUUAUCAACCUCCGAAAUCAUUGAACCUAAACUUACUACUGUCUUAAUUGUUAAUUACACGAAGUGCACAUGCCAAAUACACAACCAUGGCACAAUAAUUUCCUUUAAUGAUGAAGAUUGGCAUAACAUAAUGUCAAAUUUAGAAUCAAGAGACUAGGUGGAGAUUUUUGUGACUUUUGGUCAUGAUUUGGUGAUUAAGAACACAGCUGUCUAUCUGAUAUAUGGUUUGCCAAGGAAAAUUCCCUCAUUAGAUUCAUAAAAAAAAUUGUAAUGUGACUUUUCGGGUAAGUCAUUAUCUCCUUUUUGAACAGGAAGGUCAUUUUUUCCCCAUCUUUUCCUUUCUUUAUAGUGUAGCUUAUAGUUAAAAAAUUCAUGUUUAUUUUACCCUGUUUCUCACUCCUCAGUGGUGCUUCCUUGGCUUUGCUUAAGCUGUUUAUUGUAUUUGUUUUCUGGAUUUUACUUUUGUCAAUUAUUUUCCCUUUUAGCAUAUAAUAUUUCAAUAGGAAUCCUCUUAAAAUAAGACAUUGCAUUAUGAUAUAAAGACAGCUGCAGUUUGAUAUUUUGCUAAGUGUUCUGUUUUGCUAUCUUGUAGGUAGUCUCUGUUUUCGUUUGAACAUAAUAAACAUUCAAAGGAUAUGUAUAGACACAACCAUUCAAAGGACACCAAAGAUGAGUACAUUUUUUUUAUAGUGGUGCAAGCGCGUUUAAAAAAUUCGACCAACGCACGCCAACUUUGAACCACUGGAAAAAUAAAUAUUAUACUAAUACAGUUGAAAUUUUCUCCAAUAUAUUCCUUUUUUCUAUAUUAUGCGUCCAUGUUUUUAAGUUUUAAAAUAUAACACAUGCUUCUUUGUUUACAUUACCCAUCUCGUUAAGAUAAAUCAUAAACAAAAAAAAUGUAUAAAUCUAGUUUGAAAAGAAUUACGACAAGUCAUUUUUUAUAAACAAGAAGAAACAGGGUAAUAUAAAUAUGAAUUUGUUAACUGUAAGCUAUACUCAAAGAAAAACAAGGAUAGGAUCAUAGGAUUAAUUCCAUAACUCAAGGGUUCCUACUGUUCUCAAAGAAGAUAAAUUACUUACCAGAAGUCACAUAGGGAUAUAUAUCCAAUGCUUGUUGGGUUUACAAUUGAAAAAGGCAUUUGUUUGACAGCUGUAUUUUCAGCAAUUAUAGUUAUCAAGGAUUUCAUUCACACUAUAUCUUUUUCUAUUAGGUGAAUCUUCCAACAACCAGAUAGAAUCAGAGUUUUUAAGGAUUUCAACUUAUACAUCUUUCUGGGGAGAUUGCUUAGAUUUGUACAGUCCUGCAAAUUUAGCAAUGUAAGAUACAAGAGGCAUCCAAUAGAUUGGUCUACUUCCCUCAAUCUUGGACAAUCUUUGAGAAUGAGUUGUUAAAGACUUGGUAUCGGAAAAGUCAGGGGUUUCUAUCAAGAUUAAGGACUUUUAGCCACGUCAAAACCUUGAAGAAGAUAGUUUUUGAUAAAAUAUCAGAGAAGUAAAUGAGAAAACGAAAUAGUUAUAAGUGGAAACAAAUAAUGAUUUUAAAAGAGAAUGACACGUAAUAAAACCUUGGGUUCUUUCCAAACGAAUCGAACAAGACUGUGUUUUAAGUCAAUCUCUAUUGCAUCAUGCAGAUAAAUAUUGUUUUAUAGGUAUUCUUAUAAAACAGGUACCCCUAAAGUAUCCCUCUUAAUUUAAUUCAUUCAUUGCUGAUAAAAAAAAAAAAUAGGUAUUCUUAUAAAGGUACUCGGAAUGUCCAGCGAAUUUCAGCAGUCUUACCUCUAAAGGAUAACGUUCCAAGAAAUCACUUGCGGUAGGCAAUCUCUGAAUCACUUUUGUCCUUUUAGAUGAAAAGAGCAAAGAAAAAGAAAUAUAUUGCUCAUGAGAAAGCAACCACUUCCAAAAAGAAGUUUCAAAACCAUAGAUAAAGGGUGUUCUUACCGUAUGCUCUGACAGUGCAUAUUCUGCAUCCUUAUUAAACCACAGUUGACUGUUCUUCCCUGAAAUUUGACGAAUAAUUUAUCUUCCCAUUUGUCUUCCUAAUUUGUUGUUCUUAUUAUGAGACUACGCUGUAUGAGAACUCUUAUUCCACUAUCAGCAUCUAUUCCACAGCCAUUUAGGAUCUUAGUAACGUAGACACUGUCCUUACUAACAAAGGAAAUAACAUACAUCAAGGAAUAAAUCUUUUUCCAUUUGAUUGUGUACACCGUCGAAGCUUGUUUUCAGUAUUUUGUAAAAUAAAUAUGAAUUUAACUAUGAGCUAUACUCAAAGAAAAACAAGGAAAGGAUCAGAAAGAUAAAUUGCACUAGAGGACACAAGGAUUAAUUCCAUAACUCACGGGAUCAUGCAAAAAAAAGUGGUUAGGUAGGUAAAACCCUCGCAAACUGAUUGAUCUUAAUUUCGCAGGAAGGUACUCAGAGUCUGCAGCUAGUUUCAAAAGUCUUGAUGAGUCUCUUAGACCUACAGGAAAGUUUCAAAAGUUUCGAUAUUAUGUUGUGUUUAGUUUAGCUAUCUGUUUGGUAGUGUCUGUUUUUGUUUCUACAUAAUAAGCACCGUAGCCUCUAUUCAUGAACCUAGGUUCUAUUGUGAUGAUCCAUCAUAGCCAGAUAGUAGAACAUAUUUUACCAUCCCCCAAAAAUCCAGUUUUAAAGCCCGGUCAUUGAAAUUGCCAGAUCUCACCAAAAUUGUAUUACUGAGCAUCAUAUGAUGUGGUCGGCAAAAGUUGUAUUGGUCCAAAGAAAGCUUCAUGAAACGUACCAUCUGACACAACCUAUGAAGCAUAUUGACACAGACACUGAUAUACAACACAGACACGAAAAUACGUAUAAUCUCUAAAAUGUAGGAUACGGGGACACGAUUUAUAUAUUAUAUAAUCAUGAAUUAUAUAAAUUAAUAAUAAAGAUUUAUGUGCAAAGUAUGUUUGAGUUAUUUUUGGAACAAAAAGAUUUUCUCAUAGCUGGUUCAAAAGGAUUUGUUCUUUAUUUUUAUAAUCAUAAUACGGGUAGAACGUAUACCUUUACGGAUAGCAAUAGGAAGAUCAAGUUCAACUGUUGGAGGUUCAACUGUCGUUGGAUGAGGAAAUAAAAUAGAAUGAGGAAUUUUGUUAUCUAAAACUGAAGAUGGCAUGCGAUUAAUGAGAUAACAUGCACUAAGAACAACAUCACCCCAAAAACACUGAGGAACAUCACCAUGGAUUAAAAUAGUACGAGUUGUUUUAACCAGAUGUCUAUUCUUGCGCCCAGCUACCCCAUUUUGUUAAGGUGUAUAAGCACAUGAAGUUUGAUGAAGAAUACCAUGAGAAGCCAUACAAUUUUGGGGAUAAUAAGUGAGACGACUGGAUAAUAAGUUAAAUGGAGACCCAAAAACAUAAAGAACAUUAUCAAUAGAUAAAGUAUGAAAAAGAUUAAUAGUACCAACACCAUGUGAUGGUAGCCUAUAUUCAUUGGCCAUGGUAACCGAAGGUAAAUAACCCGUAGUUGUACUUGUAAAGGGCUAAGACAGUAUUUGCAACCGGUUGGACAACUAAUUCUUCCCCUUGGUCACGCUUUACUUACUUUCCUUCUUCUUGCAUUCAGGUUUCGGCUCUCUACGGGAGUGCACCUACAAAAGGUUCUUUGAUGCUCAAGUGAGUAUUCAAUAUUUAAGUGCUAUUAAUGUUGUAAUAGUGAAGUACCUUUGCUUUGUCUAAUGUGCUUAUUUAUACCAGUGUAAUUGACUCUAUCAUUGAUGGGUCAUGUUUAUUGUGUAUAAUCAUAAAAAUGAAAUUACCUAAUAUAUCACGUAUUCCUUUUUACUUUGAUGUAUUUACACUAGUUAGUUGUGCGACAUCUGAUACCAAGUGUUAUAGGAUCAUUCGGCCUCGACCGAUACAUGUUUGAUCAAUCAAGAAGAGGUGCAAGUUUUGACCCUAAAUAUAAUAUUGUGGAUAUUCAAAUGAGUUCAAGAUACCAACCAUUUGAUCCAUUUAAUCUAGCACAGAUAAGUGAACAAUGUCCUAUAUCCAACAUUUCAAGUAGACAAACAUGGUUGAUGUGUUGAAUUAAAGCCAGCCUAAGGUCACAUUGACUCAAAUGAUGGAAGAGAACGUCCCUUACCAAGUAGAUCAAAUGUCACAUGCCAAUAAAAUCAUUGAAGUGGAAGGUAUAUUUGGAUUACAGAGGAAGAAGAGAGAACAAGAAGUUGAUGAUGAUGAUGUGGAGGAGUAAGAAACAGGGUAAAGUAAAUGCAUGCGGCUAUUAUUAGAUGACCUACAGUGGCAUCGUCUAUGGCUUAUAUAUAUAUAUAUAUAUAUAUAUAACAAUGCUUGCGGCUCAUACAUACCCAUACAUGCAGUUCAUGUAACAAAAUUUAUAAAUGUAAAUUGAAAAAAAAAUGAAAUACUUUUAAAUUAUACAUAAAACAAAUAGAAUCAGUGUAAAUAACGAGAAAUGAAAUCAAACUUUGUUUAAUUUAGUUUGAAAUAAAGCGAUGAGGCUACGGUGCUUCUUAUGUUGAAAUAAAAACAGACUACAUAGCAUAUAGUAUGGCAAAACACAUAACAAAUUAUUGAACCGCAACUAUCUUUAUUUCAUAAGAAAUACGAGGAUUUCUGAAUGAAAUAUUAUAUGCUAAAAGGGAAAAGAAUUGACAAAAGUAACAACGAGAAAGCAAAUCCAAUAAACAGCUAAGUAAAGCCAAGCAAGCACAAUGUGAGAAAUGAGAAACAGGGUAAAAUAAAUAUGAAUCUCGUAACUAUGAGCUCUACUCAAAGAAAAACAAGGAAAGAUCAGAAAAAAGAAUUGCAAUAAGGACACCAGGAUUCAUUCCAUAACUCAAGGGAUCCGGCUGUUCUCACAUUACAAUUUUCUUUAUUAAUCUAAUAAAAGAUUUUUUUCUUUGGCACAGGCUCCUUUUCUAAGUCAUUCGAUUCACUACAUAUUAGAUAGACAGCUGUGUUCUUGACUACCAAUUCAUUACCAAAACUCACAAAAAUCUCCACCUUGUCUUUUGAUCCUAAAUUUGACAUUAUGUCAGCCCAAUCUUCGUUGUUGAAGGAAAUUACUGUGCCAUGGUUGUGUAUCUGGCAUGUGCACUUUGUGUAAUUAACAAUUAAGACAGUACUAAGUGCAGGUUCAAUGAUUUCAGAGGUUGAUAAAUAAACCACACACAAAGCCAUUCCCUUCACGACACGAUCUUGAGGCACAGUGAAAGAAACAGAAUGUCCCUCACCCAUAUGGGCCAACCAAUAAGGAUCAUUGUCACCUGGGAGAUAAGCAUCACAUAACUCACUGCUUUCAAAUAUCUGUAUCAUGUGAUAAACAAGGAUAUGUUUAGUUAAACAAAAAUGUUAUACAUGAUUAAAACAGAUCUGGUUAAUAGUUUUGUUGUGUAUAUAGCACUUUCAUUUCUUUAAGGAUUUAGAAUGCAUUUCUGUUUUUGUCUCUCUUAGUUUAUAUUUCAAUGAUCAUUGGGAAUAAAGCAAUCAUGAAGCUAGUAAAGCAAGAAAGUGGAAAUCAAUUUGGUAGUACUUAGUAUAAGCAUAAUCACUUGAUUAGUUGUUUAUUAAAAUAAGAUACUUUUAUAUGAAGUCGUGGGGCCAUCGAAGGGAAGAGAUAUAAAAGUUCAGUAUUUUAGUUUGUACUAUAUACUUGAUUAGGAUUAUUUUCUGUUCUCUUAAAUAAUACCUAAAAUGAUGUUGAAGGUAAUAAAAAAGGGAAAGCUAGAGAAGAACCUUAGGUAUGCUACUGCUCCCAGUAUUGAAGAAUUGUUUGUAUCUUCCAACACCAGUCAGAAAAUACCUGAGGUGAUGCUUUGAAAUUACUGAUUCUGUAAUAUUUGCACCAUAUUCGGCCAGUAUGGUUUUUACUUGCUUAGAUAGUUGAAACUCGGCGUCACAUUGCACCAAAACACUUCGAAGAUUUGCGAGGCUGCUAAGCAAUGGUGCAAUAUCAUCCCAACUAUUAUCUUCCGUAUGCAUGAAGGAAUGAAUAUAAGAUAGGGGAUUCGUUGUUGGCGACAUCCGAGACCGAAUGAUAGAAGGAAAAAGAUUAUGUGACGAUUCCUCAAAUCCACGUAGGGAUAUAUAUCCAAUGCUUUUUCGGCUUACAAUUGUAAAAGGCAAUUGUUUCAUAACUGUAUUUUCAGCAAUUAUAGUUAUCAAGGAUUUCAUUCGCACUCUAUCGUUUUCCAUUAGGUCCAUCUUCGAACAACCAGAUAGAAUCAGAGUUUUUAAACAUUUCAGCUUAUAUAUCUCUUCGGGGAGAUUGCUCAGACUUGUACAAUCCUUCAAAUUUAGCAGUAUAAGAUUGCAGAGACAUCCAAUAGAUUGGUGUACUUCACGCAAUCUUGGACAAUCUUUGAGAAUAAGCUGUUCAAGACUUGGUAGUCCGGAAAAGUCAGGGGUUUCUUUUAAGUACUUUGAGUGACUAAGAUUAAGGACUUUUAGCCACGCCAAAACCUUCAAGAAGAUAGUUUUUGAUAAAACGGUAGAGAAGAAUAUGAGAAAACGGAAUAGUUAUAAGUGGAAACAAAUAAUAAUUUUAAAACAAAAUGACACGUAGUAAAAACCUGGGGUUCUUUCCAAACGAAUCGAAGAAGACUGUGUUUUAAAUCAAUCACUAUUGCAUCAUGCAGAUAAAAGUCGUUAGGUAGGUAUUCUGAAGAAAACCCUUGCAUACUGAUCCAUCUCAGUUUCUUAGAAUGGUACUCGGAAUGUCCAGCGAAUUCCAGCCGUCUUGAUGCGUCUCUUGCCUCUAAAGAAUAACGUUCCAAGAAAUCACUUCCGAUAGGCAAUCUCUGAAUCACUUUUGUCCCCUUAGAUGAGAAGAGCUAAGAAAGAAAUAUAUUACACAUGAGAAAGCAACCACUUCCAAAAGAAGUUUCAAAAGCAUAGAUAAAGGAUGUUCUUACCGUAUUCUCUGACAGUACAUAUUCUGCAUCCUUAUCAAAACACAGUUGACUGUUCUUCCCAGUUUCCUUUCUUGAAAUUUGACGAAUAAUUUCUCUUCCCAUUUGUCGUAGCAACGGAUGCAUUCCUAAUUUGUUGUUCUUAUUAACUCGUAUAAGACUACGCUCUGUCAGAACUCUUAUUUCACUAUCAGGGUCUAUUCCACAGCCAUUUAGGAUCUUGGUAACAUACGCUCUGCCUUUACCAACAAAGGAACAACAUAAAUCAAGGAAUAAUUUUUUUUCCAUUUGAUUGCAUAAACCGUCGAAGCUUAUUUUCAAUAUCUGGUCAAAUUUACGGUCGGGAAUUUUCUUUAAUUUUAAGAGUACUCUAUUCCAUUCUUCUUUCGUCCUUUCAUAUAAAUAACUUUCAAUGACUUCAAGAGCUAGAGGUAGUCCUCCACAAUAAGCAACUACUCUUUCUGCUAGGAAACGAUAAUCUUCUUUUGGUUUUGCUUCUUUAAAUGCGUGCCAACUAAGAAGCUCAAGGGAUUCAUCUGAGUUCAUUAGCUCUACCUGAAAAAUAGAAUCAGUUUGAUAUAUCAUCGGUAGUUUUUCAGGUGUUGUUGUAAUGAUUAUUACACUUCCUCUUCCAUACCAAUGACGGCAUUCCCAUAGUAAUGUGGCAUCAAACGGAGGCACAUCGUCAAGUACAAUGAGCACCCUUUUCCCAGAAAGUCUUUCCCGAAUCAUACGUCUUCCCAUCUCAAAGCUAUCUAUCUCUACCUUUGUUUUUAGGACAUCUGAAAGGAGUUGUUCUAGUAAACCAAGAUCCCCUCUUAUUCCGAUAACUUGUCCAAUAUCUUCAAUGAAACUUUUCUCCGUGAAUGUAUCAUGAAUUUGAUGGUAGAUGGCUUUAGCAAGGGUGGUUUUACCAGAUCCUCCCUGUCCACAUAUCGCUAUCCUACAAACUUCCGUGGAUUUACUUUUGAUAGUUCCAAUCAGAUCCUCCACUUGGUAUUGUAAUCCAACUGGAAAUUUAGUAGCAGACAACACUGGUAAAUUAAGAACGGUCUUAACAAUUUUGUCCACUAGUUCAGCAUCACUCCUUCAAGUUCAAUAGCAAUUAUGGAAGAAGUCAUGUCAUGUAUUACCAAAAUUAAAUCAGAAGCUUAAAAUAUGGUGAUUGAGUGAGUGAUUUACCUGUAAUUGCUCUCAUCCCAUCCAAAGAAAUUUGCAGCUUUGGUGAGUGCGUGGCUCCAUUUGGACAUGGCAUGUUCCAGUUGUUGUCCUGAAAAUGUUUGGUGUGCAGUUUCUUUCAAGGCUUUUCCAAAAUCACCCUUCUGAAGACGUACAUCAGAUGGCUCAAUUUCGUAAUAAACGGGCAGAACAUGUCGACAAUAAGUUUCUUUCCAUCUAAUGAUUUGUUGAAGCUGGUGAAGACACCAAGCAGAUUGAGAAUAGGUUUUGGUGAAAACAACAAUUGCUACACGAGAGAGAUUGAGAAUAGGUUGUUGGAUGUGAAUUGGGUUGUGUGCAUUGGGGUGGUGAAGGAAAGUGGUGAAGCCAACAGCAGAGAGGGCAGAAUUGAGAUGAGACACAAAUUUCCUUUGGAUGUCUUCUCCAGUAAAGUUGAUGAGUACAUCGUACAUCCGUGGGAGUUUGGAUGUUGAGGAGGCCAAUUCCAUGGAAGGAAUUGAUGAGGUCAUCAACUGUUAGCAGAAGAGAAACAAAUGAUGCAACGCAGUCAAAUAAUAUGCACAGACAUAACCGUUAAGGACACCAAAGAUGAAUAAUACAUUUUUUUAUAGUCAAAUGAUAUCACAGAACCUCUUUUACUUUAGCCAUUUUAAAAGUUAGACCAAUGCACGCCAACUUUGAAUCACUGAAAAAAUAAAUAUUAUACUAAUACCUAUGAAAUUUUCUCCAAUAUAUUCCUUUUUUAUAUUAUGCGUCCAGCUUUUUAAGUUUUAAAAUAUAACAUGCAUGUUUACAUUACCCAUUCACCUCGUUAACAUAAAUCAUUGUAACAAAGUAACAAAAUAAAAAAAAAGUAUAAAUAUAAUUUGAAAAAAUUUACGACAGGUCAUUUUUUAUAAACAAGUAGCGAUGAAGUUCGCGCACAUCAAUGGAGAAGGAAAGGUGUCAGUGAAAGGGUAGCUUUGUCAAAUGAAAUAAUUGGUUUCAAUUGGUUCGUUGACAAAAAUUUCUUGCUAGAUUUGCCUAUUAUUGGCAAGAAGUGCACAUGGUUCAAAUCAAAUGGAUCAACUAAGAGCAGGUUAGAUAGAGUGCUUGUGAACAAUGAUUGGUUACAGAAUUGGUCAGGGUGUAAACAGCAGGUAGUGUUUGAUCACUAUGUUUUAGUGGUGAAGUUUAUGGUAAAAGACUGAGAUCCUAAGCCAUUCAGAACUAUCGACGCAUGGCACAUGGAGAGGGGAUUCAAGGAGCUGGUGCAAGAGAAAUGGAUGUCAUACUCUACACAAGGGAAUGACAUGAUCAAACUCAAAGAUAAGUUGAAGAUGCUAAAGAACGACCUAAAAGUCUGGAACAUGGAUGUGUUUGGUAAUAUUGACUUAAAAAAGAGUAGAAUCUUGAAGAGAAUAGAAGAAGUUGACUGUCAAGAUGCAUAUGGCAAGCUGGAGGGAAGUUCUAGGCUUGAAAGAAUGGAACUCGUUAGCCAAUUGAGGGUGACAAAUAAAAAGAUAUAAUCUCUCACUAGUCAAAAGACGAGAGUAAAUUGGCUAAAGCAUGGGGAUUCAUGUUCAAGAUACUAUCACUCAAUUCUAAGGUGGAGAAGACUUAGGAAUGAAAUCAAAAGAGUUGAGGUCGGAGGUGAGUGGUGCGAGGAGCCUGAAGUUGUUAUAAAAGAAGCAAAAAAGUUGUUCCAAGACAAAUUUGUGGCUACUAAAGACGUCGGGGUUAGAAUUGGUGCGGCUAAGUUUAAAACCCUCUCUGUGGAAGGAAAUCUUAUCCUUAUUGUUGAGUUCACUAAGGAAGAAGUGCAGGAAGCGGUGUGGCGAUGUGAUGGCUCAAAGAGUCCUGGUCCAUAUGGAUAUAACUUUAACUUCAUCAAGAAAAGUUGGGAUGUUAUUAAAAGUGACAUUGUAGCAGUGGUGGCACAGUUCCAUGAUUCAAGUAGCAUACCAAAAGGAUGUAAUGCUUCGUUUAUAGCCUUGGUCCCUAAAGUUAGUGACCCUUUGAAGCUUGAUCAGUAUAGACCAAUCACCUUAGUGAGUGCUCUAUAUAAAAUCAUAUCGAAGGUGUUGUCUUGUAGAAUCAAGUCUGUUCUGCCAUCGGUGAUAGAUGGGAGUCAUUCGGCCUUUUUGAUGGAUAGAGGGAUGCUGGAUAGCGUACUAAUGGCGAAUGAAGUGGUAGAGGAGCUCAGGAGGGAUGGGAGGAGUCUCCUAUUUUUAAAGGUGGACUAUAAAAAGGUGUACCACUCGGUCAAGUGGGAUUUUCUUUAUCAUAUGAUGCAAAGGUUGGGGUUUCACUAUAAAUGGAUUUUAUGGGUCAGAGAAUGCUUGGUUUUUGCUUCGGUCUCGAUUUUGGUUAAUAGAAGUCUACUGAAGAAUUUAAACCGACGAGAGGGUUGAGGCAGGGUGAUCAUCUAGCACCAUUCCUAUUUAUCAUAGUAGCUGAAGGCCUUGCUGAGUUAGCCAAACAAGCUAUAAAGGCCAAUGCGUUAUCAGGCUUGAAGAUUGGUAGGAAUGCGGUAGAGGUGUGCGUGCUUCAAUUGGCUGAUGAUACACUUUUUCUAUGUGAAGACUCCUUUAGAAAUGUAAUCACUAUGAAGGCUAUAUUGAGGGGCUAUGAACUUGCAUCAGGCUUGAAGAUUAAUUUCCAUAAGUCGAAGGUUGCAGGCAUAAAUGUUGAAAGGAAUGCCCUGGAUCUCUACGCUAAGACCUUAAAUUGUACGCAGAUGUCGAUUCCUUUCAAGUAUUUGGGGCUUGAAGUGGGUGGUAACCCUAGGAAGAUAAUGUUUUGGGAGCCAAUCCUAAGGAAACUUAAAGCAAAACUCAGUGCGUGGAAAGGGAGAUUCUUGUCAUUGGCAGGAAGAAUAUGUUUAAUUAAAUUUGUCCUCUCAGCUUUGCCUCUCUUCUAUCUAGCAUUCUAUAAAGCGCCAGAAUUCGUAUUAGCAUCACCAGCAUCCAAAGGAGGUUCUUGUGGGCGUGGGGGAAGGAAGAAAGAACAAUAUCAUGGGUAAGAUGGGAGGAUGUGUGUAAACCUAAAGAGGAAGGUGGGUUGGGUGUUAAAGACAUUAGAAAGUUUAACCAAGCUCUUCUGGCUAAAUGGAGGUGGUGUUUACUGAUUGGAGAGAAAGGCAAAUGGAGAGACUUGCUGGUGUCAAAGUAUGGCUCGGCUGCUAGUACGCCAGUGAAGCUCCAAUCAUGGUGGUCGGGGGACCUGUCCAAAGUUUGUCAUGGGGGAGGAGGUGGUGGAUGGUUUCAGGAAGCAACAAGUUUGAAAAUAGGAGCUAGUGAUAAGGUUAGAUUUUGGAAGGAUGUGUGGGUUGGAAAUCUGAACCUCAAAACAGUAUUCCCUAGGUUGCAUUCUUUAUCCUUGAACCAGGGAGAAAAGGUAGGUGAGGCUGGCGUGUGGGUAGGAUCAGAAUGGCGGUGGAGUCUAAGGUGGAGAUGUGCUAGGUUUGUGUGGGAAUCUAUUAUGGAGGAAGAUCUUUUAAGGCUCAUAUCUCAAACCAAUCUGUAUAAAAAGGUGAAGGGCUACCAGGUGUGGAGGAAUGAAGAAUCAGGGAUGUUCUUAGUGAAAUCGGCGUAUGAUCACUUAACUAAUCCUGUAAGAGGUCCUCACAAUGACCUCUUCAAGUGAUUUUGGAAGAUAAAAGCGCUACCCAACGUGUUGUUUACGGCCCGGAUGGUCUUAUUGGAUAGAAUUCCAACAAGAGUAGCAUUAAGUAGGAGAGGAGUGUCAGUGCCUACUCCCUUAUGUGCUGUGUCAGGCUAAGGAGGAGUCAAGUCAACAUUUAUUCAUAGAAUGCAUGAUUGCCUAGAAGGUUUGGCCUACAUGUUUUAGAUGGAUUGGUAUUCUAUCGGUGCAACACAAUGAAUUGAAGUGCCAUUUUGAGAAUUUUCAUCUGGAACAGGUGAAUAGCAAUCAAAACUUGGUAUGGAAAGGUAUUUGGGCAAUCAUAGUGAGGUGUAUUUGGGAUCAUAGAAACAACGUUAUUUUCAAACAAGGAGCAGUUAAUGCGGAAGAGAUUUUCCAUAUGGUACAACUUAUGUCUUGGUUGUGGAUGAAGUAUAGGACUCCUUCUUUCAAUCACUCCUACACGGGUCCUGAAUCCCCUUCCAUGUAUUAGAAGUUAUAGGUAAGGGGAAGGAAUAUAGGAAGCAAUUAUGGAGGGAAAGGUUGAAUGUAGGGUAGCUAUAGUACUCGAAGGAAACUAUCACGUGAAGGGUGUUUAGUAGGCUGGGAGAGUUCAGGUAGGGGCAGCACAAAGUAGAGCAACCUUAUCAAUGCUGAUGCAGUUCUAAGGAGUUGCAGGAAUUAAUAGUAGCAGCAGAGGUGUUGAGCCUCUCCCCAAGGAUUCCCCAGUUUCCAUUUCAUUAUGAGACUGGUGUAGAAGUAGGAUGUGGACUUUAUGUAGCUCUGCUACUGGUGCUGGUCCAGAAGCAUAGUUCUCAAGGUAAAGGUGUCGGUAAAUACUAAAGGCAAGUUUUUAAUGCUUACUUGAGGGGCGCCAGGGUAAGCUAUGCAGGUUGUUUUGGUUGCAUAACUGACGACUAGACUGUGCUUUUGAACUAUUGGUGUAUCAGCUGUUGGGAGAAAGCCUGUGCUGGCCAGUCUAUGAGAAGCAGAACAUACUCACUUCAGUUUUGAGUGCACCAAUAAAUCUGCAUAAUUUAGGUGGUAUAAAUGCUACACUUCAGAUGCUAAUUACGGUACUCUGAUGAGACUUUUAAUCAUAAAGCGCAAGUUGCACAAUGAUGGAAAAAGAAUUUUAAUUUCAACUAGAAGGCUGUUAUUAAGGUGCGAAACAGAACAACUCUGUAGCAUUUGAAGCAAAAAUGUCAAAGGUCUAUAGGUUCUGCUUUGUGGACCCUUAGGAGGAGAAAAUGAAAUGCCUGGAUGAGGUAGCAGGAGGCAUUAGCUUGCUGAUUUUGAGGAGCUGAAGGGGUCAGUAAAGUCUGAGGUGAGUAGAGGUAUCGGGCAGAUUUAAGAGAUUGGGUGAGAAGCCUCUUAGAGGGUGCAAAGCUGGGUUAGUAUGUAGAAAGUUGUGAAGGGAAGGUGAUGCGAGAAGUACUCAAUCCCAAUGCAGGAAUUUGUUUGAACCUGGAAGUGGAGGGAUUGGUUUAAAUGUUGAACUAGCUUUAGAGAACAAUUGAGGAGGCUUAAGGAGAAAGUGUUCGUUUUUUGAGAAAUAAGCACCAGUACUCUCCAAGUCAAUUUUCUAGCCUUUAUUAGAAUCUCUUAAGGAAAGUUAGAAAAUGCUGCAGCCAAUUUGUUCGAGAGUUCAGUUUCUGCUUGAAGAUUAUGCUUGAAGUACUGUGCCGGUAAUUGCUAUGUCCAUGAGUAGAAUGGCUUGAGAAGAUUCUGCUGCAGCCAUUAGAUAACCAUGCAGUUUGACUCUCUGAGGAAGAAUGGUGGAAAUAAGGUAGAAUGAAAGGUGCAUGAAAAUAGGCGUGAUGAUGCAGUUAAGGCAGCAAAAGAGCCUCUUUGCUGUUGUAAAGGUUGGCCAGAGUUUUUUUCAAUACUUGCAUUUAUGUUGGUGUGUGGUAGAGAAUUUUAUGGAAAGUGCUUCUCUGCUGUAUAAGGUGCUGUUAUCAACAUUGAGAUAUCUGCAGUCUCAUGCUUACUGCAUAAGUUUGAAGGUCUAGGACCUAAUUGUUUGUGGAGGAUGCUUAGUCUUUAAUAUGUAGCCUUUUUUUGGUGAUGGCAACUUUUCAAUGGUUCCGUUUGUAGGAAAGUUGCUUAGAGUGUUUGUUGUUGUAUAAUGGUUGGACACUUCUAAAAUAUCUUUUUUAAUUUAUUAAUUUUUUAAUAAUUAAAAAAUAAACAAGUAAAGAAAUUGUGUCUCUUUAUUAAAAUAUAAUAAUUAUUAAAAAUAUUAGUUAAAUGAAUGUCUUUUCUAAAAUUACUGAGCUUAUAGUGUCAUUUUAUUAAUAAAAAAAUUAAUAUUAGAGGAAAUGUUCGCCUAGGGAAAAAAAUACAUGUAAUUUUCUCUUUUAUUUACAAUACAGAUUGUAAAAAAAAAAUGAAUGAAAGUGAUAAAUUUAAUAUAAUUUUAUUUAUUACACUUUUUACAUUAUAAAAUUGUAUAUAUCCUUAGUGAAAAAUCCAUUCUUGAUACCACUCUCUUCGCAUGAGGAGAGUUUCAAAAGUAUUUCAUUUUAAAACAACUUAAAGUGGGUCUCCAAACAUGGAAAAGGGUAAGUACUUUCUUGGAAAUUCCUCAUACACAAUCAUGUAAAAUGAGUCAAUUACGUCACCUAUUUUUAUGUUGAACUCCUACGCAAAAAAAUAUGGUAAUAUUUUCGUAAAUAUUUCAAACAUGUUCAGAUGUUCUAGGGUCUCAUGUAAAUAUUCAUAUAUUUACGUCAGAAGUUGCUUAAAUAAGAACACAAUGCAUCUUCUUCCUUGCAUUUUGAACGCACAUGAAUCCCUCUUCUUCUUCUCUGACGAAGGCGACUACAACGCGAGUCUGCACUUGUUGGUCAUCUAAAUUCUACUUCCGUCUUUAUGUCUCAUUUGUGGCGGCAGACCUUUCUCUCUAAUUGCAUUAUUGGAGCAUUUGUGGGUGAAUGUUUGUCAUUCAUGUUAGUUUUUUCACUAGUAUAAAAUGAUGAAAAUAAUACUCUUAUUAAGUGCGGCUUUGCGUUCAAACGCAUUCGUAAAAAAUACGGUGACAUUUUUUAAAUUAAUUUGAUUUACAAAUGCGGCUAUUCAAAUAGCCGCAUUUGUAAAUCUUUUUUUACCCUAAAAUUUAAAUUGCACACACUACUUUCAUAUUUUCUUCUCCACUUUGCCUUUCGUUUUCACUGUUCCUCCGCUCGCGUACGCUUGCAGUUCUUCUCUUCUUCUGCAUCUUCAUUAAUUUGUGUCAUUGUGAGUUUCUUGAAUUGCUUUCUUUCUCUGCAUCUUCACUACGUAUAAAUCUUUUUCGUUUUUCCUUAUAUUUGUUUUUUCUCCUUGCAUUGUGGUCAAACUGUUCCAUUGGCAUUCUCAUCUCCAUCGCUACUCUGCAACCGCUUCCGCUGUCGUUGCUGGCGCUCCCCUGCCACUCUUCACCACCAACGUCGGUUCACACACAAGAUUAGUGUUCUGUUUUAAAUUUUUUGAAUUUUUCUUUAAUAUUUUGAAUUUAUUUUUUUAUGUAUUAUAAUUUGUAUAUUAUUUAUAAAUAAUUUGUACAUUGUGGGUUACAUUUGAACAUAUUUAUUAUUAUUUUUAUUUACUGAAGCAUAUACAAGUGCGGCUAAAAGUCGCACUUGUAAAUUGUAUUUAUAAAUGCGGCUAUAUAACCGCAUUUGUAUCUCUUCGAUUUACAAGUGAGUGUUGAUCAAAUGCGACUAUAUAGCCACAUUUAUAUAUUCAAAAUAGCCGCACUAGUUGUGUGUUUUUGCACCAGUGUUUAUAUCUUCUUUUUACUAUUGAAAUUGAAACUCUGGUAGUUUUUUAGAUCUCAAUCAUCAUGAUAAUGCAUGAAUGUUUCCAUUGAAUUGUUGUUAGUUAUUAUUGAUAUUGAAAUUUUUGUUAAAUUAAAUGUGUUAUUUAGUUGUUUAUAUUUCAAAUAUUAAAAUUAAUGUUUGUGUAAUUGUGAAUAUUAUAAGAUGUUUAAAAUUGUAUUCUACACAUUAGAAAUAGUCAAAAUUAUAGGGAUUAAUUAUAGAAAAAGGCAUUUGUUUGACAGUUGUAUUUUCAGCAAUUAUAGUUAUCAAGGAUUUCAUUCGCACUAUAUCUUUUUCCAUUAGGUCAAUCUUCCAACAACCAGAUACAAUCAGAGUUUUUAAGAAUUUCAACUUAUACAUCUUUCUGGGGAGAUUGCUUAGAUUUGUACAGUCUUGCAAAUUUAGCAAUGUAAGAUACAAGAGGCAUCCAAUAGAUUGGUGUACUUCCCUCAAUCUUGUUCAAUCUUUGAGAAUGAGUUGUUCAAGACUUGGUAUAUGAAAAGUCAGGUUUCUAUCAAGUACUUGGAGUGACUAAGAUUAAGGACUUUUAGCCACGUCAAAACCUUCAAGAAGAUAGCUUUUGAUAAAAUAUUAGAGAAGCAAAUGAGAAAACGAAAUGGUUAUAAGUGAAAACAAAUAAUGAUUUUAAAAGAGAAUGGCACGUAAUAAAAACCUGGGGUUCUUUCCAAACGAUACGAAGAAGACUGUGUUUUACGUCAAUCACUAUUGCAUCAUGCAGAUAAAUAUCUUUAGAUAGGUAUUCUUAGAAAGGUACUCGAAAUGUCCAGCGAAUUUCAGCAGUCUUGAUGGUCUCUUACCUCUAAAGGAUAACGUUCCAGGAAAUCACUUGCGGUAGGCAAUCUCUGAAUCACUUUUGUCCUUUUAGAUGAAAAGAGCAAAGAAAAAGAAAUAUAUUGCUCAUGAGAAAGCAACCACUUCCAAAAAGAAGUUUCAAAACCAUAGAUAAAGGGUGUUCUUACCGUAUGCUCUGACAGUGCAUAUUCUGCAUCCUUAUUAAACCACAGUUGACUGUUCUUCCCUGAAAUUUGACGAAUAAUUUAUCUUCCCAUUUGUCGUAGCAACGGAUGCAUUCCUAAUUUCCUGUUCUUAUCAUGAGACUACGCUAUAUGAGAACUCUUAUUCCACUAUCCGCGUCUAUUCCACAGCCAUUUAGGAACUUAGUAACAUAGACUCUGUCCUUACCAACAAAGGAAAGAACAUACAUCAAGGAAUAAAUCUUUUUCCAUUUGAUUGUGUAACCCGUCGAAACUUGUUUUCAAUAUUGUGUAAAAUAAAUAUGAAUUUAACUAUGAGCUAUACUCAAAGAAAAACAAGGAAAGGAUCAGAAAGAUAAAUUGCACUAUAGGACACAAGGAUUAAUUCCAUAACUCAAGGGAUCCUGCUUUUCUCAAAGAAGAUGAAUGAAUUGUAAUAAGGACACACGGAUUGAUUCCAUAACUCAAGGGAUCCUGUUAUGUUCUCAAUGAAGAACAUUAACUCAGCAGAAGUCACACAUUACCAUUUUCUUAAAGAAUUUAAUUAAGGUAUUUUCCAUUGGCUCAAGGCAAGAAUCCAUUUCCAAGUCAUUUGAUUCACCAUAUAUCAGAUAGGCAACUGUGUUAUUGACCACCAAUCCAUAACCAAAAGUCACAAAAAUCUCCACGUUGUCUCCUGAUCCUAAACUUGACAUUACGCCAUGCCAAUCUUCAUCAUUAAAGGAAAUUACUGCGUCAUGCUUGUGCAUAUGUAACGUGCAGUUUGUGUAAUUAACAAUUAAGACAGUAGUAAGUUUGGGUUCAAUGAUUUUGGAGGUUGAUAAAUAAACAACACACAAAGGCAUUCCCUUUAUCUCACGAUCUCCAGGUACAGUGAAAGAAACAGAAUGUCCCUCACCCUUAUGGGCCAACCAAUAAGGAUCAUUGUCACCCGGGAGAGAAACAUCACAAAACUCACUGCUUACCAAUACCUGCACAAUGAGAUGAAAAGCUUAGUCAAUUAUGUAAUUUUUCAAUUCAAACUGUCUUCUGCAAUUAUUAUUUUAUAAUUCAAAUUACAAAAUGAGAAUUAUAAUCAAAUAAUGUAACUCAUAAUUAAGAAAUACCACUGAUAAUUAAUUUAAACAAAUCUGGCUAAUAGUCUUGUGUAUAUAUAUAACACCAUCAUGUCCUUAGGACUUAGAAUGCAUUUCUGUUUUCGUCUCUUACAGUUUAUAAUUCUACGAUCAUUGGGAAUAAAACAAUUAUGAAGCAAGUAAAGCAAGAAAGUGGAAAUCAAUUUCCUAUUAAAUAGUAUAAAAAAGUAUAAUCACUUGGUUAGUUGAUUAUUAAAAUUAGAUACUUUUAGAUGAAGCUGUGUGAUAAUAGAAGUGAAGAGGUCUAAAAGUUUCAUAUUGUAGUUUCUGUCAGAUACUUCAUCAGGAUUAUUUAAUGUUCUCUUAAUAAUAGCUAGAAUGAUAGUGAAGGUUAUAAACAAAGGGAAAGCUAGAGAAGAACCUUAGAUAUGCUAUCGUUCACAGUAUUGAAGAGUUCAUUGUAUCUUCCAAAACCAAGGAAAGAAGACCUCAACUGAUGCUUUGAAAUUCCUGAUUCUGAAAUAUUUGCACCAUAUUCGACCAGAAUAGUUUUUACUUGCUUAGAUUGCUGAAACUCGGUAUCACAUUGCACCAAAACACUUCGAAGAUUUCAAAGAAUUUUAAACAACGGUGCAAUAUCAUCCCGACUACUAUCCUCCUCAUCCAUGCAAACCAAAUGAAUAUAAGAUAGGGGAUCCAUUGUUGGUGACAUCCAAGACCUAAUGAUAGAAGGAAAAAGAUUAUGUGACAAUCCCUCAAAUCCACUUAGGGAUAUAUAUCCAAUGCUUUUUGAGUAUACAAUUGAAAAAGGCACUUGUUUGACAACUGUAUUUUCAGCAAUUAGUGUUAUCAAGGAUUCCAUCUGCACUAUAUCUUUUUCCAAUAGGUCAAUCUUCGAACAACCAGAAAGAAUGAGAGUUUUCAAACAUUUCAACUUAUAUAUCUUUCUGGGCAGAUUGCUUAGACUUGUACAAUCCUUCAAAUUUAGCAGUAUAAGAUUGCAGAGACAUCCAAUAGAAGGGUGUACUUCGCGCAAUCUUGGGCAAUCUUUGAGAAUGAGCUGUUCAAGACUUGGUAGUCCCGAAAUGUCAGGGGUUUUUGUCAAGUACUUGGAGUGACUAAGAUUAAGGACUUUUAGCCACGCCAAAACCUUCAAGAAGAUAGUUUUUUGAUAAAAUAUUAGAAAAGAAAAUAAAAUAGUUAUAAAUGAAAACAAAUAAUGCUUAUUUUAAGCUGAAAUUGAAAAGAAAAUGGUACGUCAUAAAAACCUGGGGUUCAUUCCAGACGAAUCGAAGAAGACUGUAUUUUAAAUCAAUUGCUAUUGCAUAAUGCAGAAAAAAGUCAUUAGGAAGGUAUUCUGAAGAAAACCCUUGCAAACUGAACCAUCUCAGUUUCAUAUAGUGGUACUCAUAAUUUUCUGCGAAUCUCAGCAGGCUUGAUGUGUCUCUUACCACUAAAGGAUAACGGUGGAAGAAAUCUUUUGUUGUUAAAAGCAUUUUCAAAGGCAAUCUCUGAAUGGGCUCAUUGGAUUUAUCCGAAAAACAGAAUCAACUUCAUGAAUCCUCAGUAUGUGUUCAUCUCUCGUUGUAAUGAUUAUUAUAGUUCCUCCACUGAAGCAACGGCGGCAUUCCCAUAGGUCGAGUAAUGCACAAAACUCAGGCACAUCAUCAAGUACAAUGAACACCCUUUUCCCAGAAAGUCUUUCACGAAUCAUUCUUUUUCCCAUCUCAACGCUGCUUAUCUUCACCUUUGUUUUUAGGACAUCUGAGAGAAGUUGUUCUUGUAAACGAAGAUCCCCUCUUAUUCCACUAAAUUGUCCAAUAUCUUCAAUGAAACUUUUCUCCGUGAAUGUACCAUGAAUUUGAUUAUAGAUGGCUUUUGCAAGGGUAGUUUUACCACAUCCUCCCUGUCCACAUAUCGCUAUCCUACAAUCCUCCGUGGAUUUACUUUUGAUAGUUCUAAUCAGAUCCUCCACUUGGUAUUGUAACCCAACUGGAAAUUUAGUAGCAGACAAGACUGGUAAAUUAAGAAGGCUUUUAACAAUUUUGUCGACUAGUUCAGCAUCACUCCUUCAAGUUCAAUAGCAAGUAUCGAAGAAGUCAUGUAUUACCAAAAUUAAAUCUCAAGCAUAAAAUUUGGUCAUUGAUUGAGUGAUUUACCUGUGGUUGCUUUCAUCCCAUCCAAAUAAAUUUGCAGCUUUGGUGAGUGCCUGGCUCCAUCUGGACGUGCCAUGCUCCAGUUGUUGUCCUGAAAAUGUUUGGUGUGCCGUUUCUUUGAAAGCUUUACCAAAAUCACCCAUCUGAAGACGUACAUCAGAUGGCUCAAUUUCGUAAUAAACGGGCAGUUUGGAUGUCGAAGACAGCAAUUCCAUGGAAGGAAUUGAUGAGGUCAUGAACUAUUACAAGAAGAGAAAGCAAUAAUGCAACAAAGUACGCCGAAGAUUAAGACUUUUUCUUUUUAUACUUGUGGAAUCGAGUUAAGACCAUAAGAGACCCUUCUUUACUUUAGCAUUUAAGAUAUGGCUAAUUCUUUAUGCAAGUGAAGUAAAUUGAAAAAGUAAAUCUUGAAAAGAUUCUUGUAUUCUUAAAUUGUAAAAUCAAAAUCUCAUUUUGAAAAAAAUAUUAUAGAAUCAAAAAUACAUUUUAGAAAAUAAAUUUUGGAAAACAAAAUCCAUAAAGUUAUAUAAUGGAAUUAAAAAAGUGUUCUAAAAAUCUAAAUCUGAAAAUGUAUUAUAAGAGGUUCCAAAAUGUAUUUUGAUCCACUCCCCCUCUUUAUUUAAGGGUAUUUUUGUCUUUUCAGAUAAAAAUCGGAUGUAAGUUCAAAUUUCAUUGGGUGGAAGAAGUAAUUGCCUUAAGAUAAUAGGCUAACACUCACUUUGAAUCAUAAAAAAGAAAAUAUCAAUAAUUACAAAAAAAAUUGUAAUUAUAUUUUUAUACUUUUUAAUUUAAGAACAUUACAUUAUCUCUUCUUUUAUUUUAGUCAUAUAUCCCUUUUAAGUUUAAAAAAUAAAAAAAUACAUUAUAUUUUUUUUCAUAUUUGUGUAUAUCUAAAGAGGUCAUUGUAAUAUAGAUCACAACCUUCAAGAAAACACUCAAACUGCUGAGCACUUCUAUCAUACACUGAACGAAUUGAGGCCAAAAAAGUUAAGAGAUCCAAAUGUCAAAGGACUGAGCGAAUCCAAAAAGGUUGAGCGCAAAGAUUCAUUCACCAUGAAGAAAGCCAAAAUUUGCUCACGAAAGACUUGAAGUCAUCAUGCACCAAAAUUAGAAGGAAAAGGAUUUCGCUUGAAGCAAAGCCCAAGCAAAAAUCACUUCAUGGCUAAGAAAGAGAAAGUGUUGGGCUCAGGUUGGAAUGAAUCCUUGAUAGAUAGAUCCUUAAAUCUAAGAAUCCCAAGAAGCCCAAGAACUUGUCUUGAAGCCCAAAGAUUACUCUAGCCUAAACAUAUGUGCUAUAUUGUUAUUGUUAGAAUUAGUGGCCUAAACAAGAGGGGAAGUGAAUUAUUUUCAUAAGAUUUUUGCAAAGAUUGGAAAUAGAGUGAAAAGUUCUAAAUCAACCAAUUGAUUUUCUGUUCAACUGGAUAAAAAUUUAGUUUUAAUGUUCUUUACAGAAAUUCAACCGGUUGUUUUCUCGAAACAAGAGGUUGGUUAAACCAGUAGAAAAAGAACAAUUAUUAAAACAAUAUAAAAGAAAAGGGAUAGAGAGAUUCACGCACAAAGGUUUAUACUAGUUUACUCUUAACCAAGAGCUACAUCCAGUCCUCAACUAACCAAUGAGAAUUCACUAUGUAAUCAAACCUAGAUUACAAACCACACACCAAGAAACCACACACCAAGAGUGAUAUCUUGAACCCCUCAAGAAUCACCACCUUGGCAACACCACAAUUUUCAUAAACACCUUUUUGAAACUACCUUUCACCAAAUACACCGAAUUAUAGUGUUCAAAGUGAAGGAAAAGAAUACACAUGGGCUUUACAAAGUAGAAGAACAUAAGUAUACAAAGACCCAGUCCUAUUCCACACACAAGUGAUGAUCCAAAACUCUUGAACUCUUGAAAAACGUUUUUCAUCAUCUUUCUUUCUUUGGUUCUUGAAAAGAAUAUCAAAUAACCUUUAUAUAGACUUAAGCAAGUGGUCAAAGUUGUUAGAUCAUAAAUCAAAAGAAGUUGGAAUCAUUUAAAAACAGUUCAAAACACUUCAUAAAAUUUUGUUAUAAAAACAACAAAUUGACAGCAAAGCCAAAACAAAGCAAAGUUUUCCCAAAUCAUUUUAAAAACCACUAAGUGUCAAACAACCAAUUGUUUCGACAAUUCAACAUGUUGAAAUUUCACGACUUUUUAGAAAACACUUCUUUUCAAAAAAGAUAAAGAAUCAAGUGAGCUUGGAUCAAUACAAGGAGUGAAUUAACAAGUAAAAAACUACUAGACAACACACACACAUAGCAGCAGGGUCUUCAAGCUUUUCACAUAGAUUUGGAGACAUCAAAUCAUCUUGUUCAACAGUUAUUCUUUUACUUUCAAUAUCUUGUUAAUAGAGUAAGUGGAAAGUAUUUUUAAAAAGGGUAAAAUAAUAUUUUCCAAAUAUGAUGAGGUGCAGGAAGAAACAUUCUUAAAAUUAACAUCAAUAAAAAAAUAGUAACUCUAUGACCAUCAUUGUACCAACAACACAGGCUUUCCCCAAAUUUUUUAUUGUAUAUCUAAAGCUGAGCUUACUUAGAUUAUCCAAGGCAAGUUUCUCAUUAGAUAUCUAGUCAGCCAAAACGUGCAACAAUUUAUUUUGAAUGCCAAUAAGAGCAACUUGUUUAUUUUAAUUACCUUUUUCGUCUCUACAUUUAGAUUCAAUAGUGAAUUUAAUACCGUGGUUUUUAAAAAAAUCAAUUUGAUUCCUAAGUUUUUUAAAAUGUAUUCAAAAUAAUCAUUUCUGUUAAAUUUUUACCAACGACAUUAACAGUUGAUGACGUGGCACACAGUAUAUAAGUCUAGGCACGUGACAUAUACGUGUCACAUAAGACGUUGAGACUAUAGUCUUUUACCGUUCAACCUUGCGCCGGUCACAUUCACCGCCAUUCAGAUGAUUUUUGGAGUAACCGUGGCUAUCAUACUUGGAGGCAAGGAAUCUCACCAAGGAGGAGUACGUCGCGAAUCAUCCCGUCGGCAAGAUCGGGAAGAGUCUCAUCUUUAAGGUCCUUUUUUUAUUCAUUUGUAUCUGUGUUUGAAGGAUUUGUAUAAAACAAGAAGGAUUAAAAAACAAAGCAAAUGUGAAGGCCAAGAGUAUGAAGAAAAGUUUAGGUAGUUUGGUGAGUUGUUCCACUGUGUAGUGUAAGAGAAAGAGAGAGAUAGUGACUCUGAUUCACUCGCCAAACCAUCUGCACAACAUAAUUCAUUAUACAGAUCGCUCUUUCCUCAUUUCUCCCUUAACGGACAAAUAUACCCCUCCCCUCUCCAUAUCAUUUAUAUAAUUCAUUCAUAUUAAAAUAAUAAUCUACAUCUAUAUUAUUUUUCUAAAGUGAAAUGGGUGCUGCAAUUCACGAGCUUCCACGACUAUGAAAAAUAAAUGUAUCUUUGGCUACUUUGAAUGGUUUUGUGUCUUUUUGACUGUGUUGCAUUAUUGCUUUCUCUUCUUCUAACAGUUGACCUCAUCAAUUUCUUCCAUGGAAUCGUCAUCUUCAUUAUCAAAUCUGCCACGGAUGUACGAUGUGCUUAUCAACUUUAAUGGAGAAGACAUCCAAAGGACAUUUGUUUCUCAUCUCGAUUCUGACCUCUCUGCUGUUGGCCUCACCACCUUCCUUCACCACCCCAAUGCAGUCAAUCCAACGCACAUCCAACAACCUAUUCUCAAUCUCUGUCGGGUAGCAAUUGUAGUUUUUACCAAAUCCUAUUCUCAAUCUGCUUGGUGUCUUAAUCAGCUUCAACAAAUCAUCAAAUGGCACCAAACUUAUUGCCGACAUGUUCUGCCCGUUUAUUACGAAAUUCACCCAUCUCAUGUACGUCUUCAAAAGGGUAAUUUUGGAAAAGCCUUCAAAGCAACUGCACACCAAACAUUCUCAGGACAACAACUGAGGCAGGGCAUGUCUAGAUGGAGCCACGCACUCACCAAAGCUGCAAAUUUCUUUGGAUGGGAUGAGAGAAAUCACAGGUAAAACACUGACUCAAUCAACCAUAUUUUAAGCUUCUGAUUUUAUGUUGGUACUACAUGACUUCUUCUAUGAUUGCUAUUGAACUUGAAGGAGUGAUGCUGAACUAGUGGACAAAAUUGUUAAGAUCGUUCUUCAUUUACCAAUCUUGUCUGCUACAAAAUUUCCAGUUGUAUUAGAAUCCCGUGUGAAAGAUGUGAUUCAGAGCAUAAAAAAUAAAUCCACCCAAGUUUUAACUAUACUGAUAUGUGGAAGAGAAGGAUCGGGUAGAACCACUCUUGCCAAAGCCAUCUACAAUCAAAUUCAUCAUACAUUCACGGAGAAAAGUUUCAUUGAAGAUAUUGCAGAAGGUAGUCAAACAAGAGGGUAUGUUCAUUUACAAGAACAACUUCUUUCAGAUGUACUAAAAACAAAGGUGGAGAUAAGUGACGUUGAGAUGGGAAGAAGUAUGAUUUGGGAAAGACUAUAUGGGAAAAGGGUGCUUCUUGUACUUGACGAUUUGAAUGACUAUGGCGAAUUAGAUCUCUGGGGAAGUAGUUCAUGGUUCGGUGAAGGAACUGUAAUAAUCAUUACAGCGAGAGAUGAAGUAGACCUGCCGAGUAUGCUUGAAGUUGAUUCUGUUUUUCAGAUGAUUCCAAUGAACGCAAACGAGUCCCUUGAGCUUCUUAGUUGGCACGCAUUUAGAGAACCAAAACCAAAAAAAGAAUACCGUGUACUUGCAAAAAGAGUAGUUGCUUAUUGUGGAACACUACCUCUAGCUCUCGAAGUCAUUGGAACUUAUUUAUACAAAAGGACGAAAGAUGAAUGGAAUAGAGUAUUGAUAAGAUUAGACAAUAUUCCCCAGCAUGAAGUUCCACAGAUAUUGAAAAUAAGUUUUGACGGUUUAGCUAAUCAAAUAGAAAAAGAUUUAUUCCUUGAUGUAUGUUGUUUCUUUGUUGGUAAAAGCAGAGCCUAUGUUACCAAGAUCCUAAAUGGCUGUGGAGUAGACUCUGAUAGUGGAAUAAGAGUUCUCAUAAAGCGUAACCUCAUCAAAGUUAAAGAAAACAACAAAUUUGGAAUGCAUCAUUUGCUACGAGAAAUGGGAAGAGAAAUUAUUAGUGAAAUUUCAAGAAAGGAAUCUGGGAAGAACAGUCGACUGUGGCCUCAUGAGGAUCUAAAACAUGAAUUUUCAGUGAAUACUGUAAGAGCAUUCUUAAUCUAUGAUUUUGAAACUUCUUUUGGAAGUGGUUGAUUUCUCAUGUGCAAUACAAAUGUUUUUCUUAGCUCUUUUCAUCACCGGGUAAAAAGGUCAUUCAGAGAUUGUCUAGCGGAAGAGAUUUCUUCGAACGUUAUCCUGUAGAGGUAAGAGACCCAUCACCGGAUACAAAAGUCUUCGAACUCGCUGGACUGCUGAAACUCGCUGGAGAUUCCGACGACCAUUCUAAGAAUACCUACCUAACGGCUUUAAUCUGCAUGAUGCAAUAGCGAUUGAUUUAAAACACACUCUUCUUCGAUUCGUCUGGAAAGAACCCCAGGUUUUUAUUACGUGCCAUUUUCUUUUAAAACUCAGCUUAAAAUACAAAUAUUAUUUGUUUCCACUUAUAACUAUAUUAUUUUUUCAUUUUCUUUUCUAAUAUUCUUGAAGGUUUUGGCGUGUCUAAAAGUCCUGAAUCUUAGUCACUCGAAGUACUUGAUAAAAACCCCUGACUUUUCGAGACUACCAAGUCUUGAAGAGCUCAUUCUCAAAGAUUGUCUUAAAUUGCGCGAAGUACACCAAUCUAUUGGAUGUCUCUGCAAUCUUAUACUGCUAAAUUUGAAGGACUGUACAAGUCUAAGCACUCUCCCCAGAGAGAUAUGUAAGUUGAAAUCUUUGAAAACUCUCAUUAUAUCUGGUUGUUGGAAAAUUGACCUAUUGGAAAAAGAUAUAGUGCAAUUGGAAUCCUUGAGAAUUCUAAUUUCUGAAAAUACAGAUGUGAAACAAGUGCCUUUUUCAAUUGUAAGCUCAAAAAGCUUUGCAUAUUUAUUCCUACCUGCAUUUGAGGGAUUAUCACAUAAUCUUUUUCCUUCUGUGAUUCGGUCUCUGAUGUCGCCAACAAUGAAUCCCUUAUCUUAUAUUCAUUCCUUCAUGGAUAUGGAGGAUAAUAGUUGGGAUGAUAUUUCACCAUUGCUCAGCAGCCUUGCAAAUCUUCGAAGUGUUUUGGUGCAAUGUGACGCCAAGUUUGAACUAUAUGAGCAAGUAAAAACUAUAUUGGUCGAGUAUGAUGCAAAUAUUACAGAAUCAGGAAUUUCAAAGCAUAAUUUCAGGUCUUCUCUGACUGGUGUUGGAAGAUACAAAGAAUUCUUCAAUACUGUCAGCGAUAGCAUACCUAAGGUUCUUCUCUAGCCUUCCUUUGAUUAUAACCUUCACCAUAAUUUUAGCUAUUAUUUUUUAGAACAGAAAAUAAUCCUAAUGAAGAUUUAGUAGAAACUACACUACUGAACUUUUAGCACCCUUCGCUUCUAUAGCCCCACGACUUCAUCUAAAAGUAUCUGAGUUGAAUAAUCAAAUAACCAAGUGAUUAUGCUUAUACUAAGUACUUUGAAAUUGAUUUCCACUUUAUUGCUUUACUAGCUUCAUGGUUUUUUUAUUCCUAAUGAUCGUAUAAAUAUAAACUAAUAGAGACAAAAUCAGAAAUGCAAAAUGAUGGUGAUAUAUACACAACAAAACUAUUAACCAGAUUUGUUUUAAUCAUGUAUAACAUUUUUGUUUCACUAAACAUGCCCUUGUUUGUCACAUGAUACAGGUAUUUGCAAGCAGUGAGUCAUGUGAUGUUUCUCUGCCAGGUGACAACGAUCCUUAUUGGUUGGCCCAUAUGGGUGAUGGACAUUCUGUUUCUUUCACUGUGCCUCAAGAUCGUGAGGUNNNNNNNNNNNNNNNNNNNNNNNNNNNNNNNNNNNNNNNNNNNNNNNNNNNNNNNNNNNNNNNNNNNNNNNNNNNNNNNNNNNNNNNNNNNNNNNNNNNNGUUUAUUCAUCAACCUCCGAAAUCAUUGAACCUAAACAUACUAUUGUCUUAAUUGUUAAUUACACGAAGUGCACAUGCCAGAUACACAACCAUGGCACAGUAAUUUCCUUUAAUGAUGAAGAUUGGCAUGGCAUAAUGUCAAAUUUAGGAUCAGGAGACAAGGUGGAGAUUUUUGUGACUUUUGGUCAGGAUUUGGUGAUUAAGAGCACAGCUGUCUACCUGAUAUAUGGUGAGCCAAGGAAAAAUUCCCUCAUUAGAUUCAUAAAGAAAAUUGUAAUGUGACUUUUCUGGUAAGUCAUUUAUCUUCUUUUUGAACAGCAGGAUCAUUUUUUUCCCAUCUUUUCUUUUCUUUAUAGUGUAGCUUAUAGUUAAGAAAUUCAUGUUUAUUUCACCCUGUUCUCACUCCUUAGUGGUGCUUCCUUGGCUUUUCUUGAGCGGUUUAUUGUAUUUGUUUUCUGGAUUUUACUUUUGUCAAUUCUUUUCCCUUUUAGCAUAUAAUAUUUCAAUAGGAAUCCUCUUAAAAUAAGACAUUGCAUUAUGAUAUAAAGACAGCUGCAGUUUGAUAGUUUGCUAUGUGUUUUGUUUUGGUAUCUGGUAGGUAGUCUCUGUUUUCGUUUGAACAUAAUAAACAUUCAAAGGAUAUGUAUAGACACAACCAUCCAAAGGAGACCAAAGAUGAGUACAUUUUUUUUAUAGUGGUGCAAGCACGUUUAAAAAAUUCGACCAACGCACGCCAACUUUGAACCACUGGAAAAAUAAAUAUUAUACUAAUACAAUUCAAAUUUUCUCCAAUAUAUUCCUUUUUUUUAUAUUAUGCGUCCAUUUUUUUAAGUUUUAAAAUAUAACACGUCCAUCUUUGUUUACAUUACCCAUUCACGUCGUUAAGAUAAAUCAUAAACAAAAUAAAAAAAAAAGUAUAAAUCUAAUUUUAAAAAAAUUACGACAAGUCAUUUUUUAUAAACAAGAAACAGGAUAAAAUAGAUGAAUUUGUUAACGACAAUCUUUGAGAAUGAGUUGUUCAAGACUUGGUAUCGAAAAAGUCGGGUUUAUAUAAGUACAUGGAGUGACUAAGAUUAAGAACUUUUAGCCAGGCCAAAACCUUGAAGAAGAUAGUUUUUGAUAAAAUAUUAGAGAAGUAAAUGAGAACACGAAAUAGUUAUAAGUGGAAACAAAUAAUGAUUUUAAAAGAGAAUGACACGUAAUAAAAACCUUGGGUUCUUUCCAAACGAAUCAAAGAAGACUGUGUUUUAAUUCAAUCUCUAUUGCAUCAUGCAGAUAAAUAUCGUUAGAUAGGUAUUCUUAUAAAGGUACUCGGAAUGUCCAGCGAAUUUCAGCACUCUUGAUGGUCUCUUACCUCUAAAGGAUAACUUCCGGUAGGCAAUCUCUGAAUCAAUUUUGUUCUUUUAGAUGAAAAGAGCAAAGAAAAAGAAAUAUAUUGCACAUGAGAAAGCAACCACUUUCAAAAGAAGUUUCAAAAGCAUAGAUAAAGGAUGUUCUUACCGUAUUCUCUGACACUGCAUAUUCUGCAUCCUUAUUAAACAGCAGUUGACUGUUCUUCCCUGAAAUUUGACGAAUAAUUUAUCUUCUCAUUUGUCGUAGCAACGGAUGCAUUCCUAAUUUCUUGUUCUUAUUAUGAGACUACGUUAUAUGAGAACUCUUAUUCCACUAUCAGCGUCUAUUCCACAGCCAUCUGUCCUUACCAACAAAGGAAAGAACAUACAUCAAGGAAUAAAUCAAGCUAUUAUUUCGCAGAAAGGUACUCGGAGUCUGCAUCCAGUUUCAGAAGUCUUGAUGAGUCUCUUACACCUACAGGAAAGUUUGCAAAUGUAAUACUUUUGUUUUAAAUUAUGUAAAUAUGUCAAUUUUGAUUUUAAAUCCAAUCAGAUAGUUUGAUGUAUCAUUUGUCACUUCAACAGGUUUGUGCUGAAAGAAGUGGUGAGGAAAUCAGUAGGAAUGCUGAAAGCCAACAAUGCUGGUGCGAGGGGACCUAUGUUAUAUAUGCAGAUUUUUUACAAGCAGAUGAAGUGAUUGGUUCUUUGGAAAGUGCAUAUUUGUUCCUGUCCAAGUAAGAAGGUAAACCCGACAUGCUGGCUUAGAUCUUGUGAUGUGCAAGAGCAGAGAAAAAAGUUUGUUUGAGUGUAAAACUGUUUGAUUUUCUUCGUGGGUGAAUACUCAUCCGUUUGAGUGUGAAACUGUUUGAAAUUUGUCGCGUUUUGUCUAAAAUUCAGUGGAGAUUCUUACGUGGAAUUCUGGGAAAAAACUAUUUUGGGAGAAUUUUUCAGAAAUUUUGUGCAAACCAAGGCUAUCCUCUACAGAAAACUUGUGAAAUUUCGCCCUAGUAUCUGAAAUUUUAUUUUGGGUCCGUAUUGCGUUGAAAAAAUUCACACAAAAACUUUCAUAUGUUGUUUGCACCCAGGUAAGGAGGCACGUCCAAAAAAAAAUCACAAAAAGAAGAUACUGGAAGAAAAGCCAGGACGUUUUGUUUGCAGAAAACCAAUUUUGUUCACUCUCGGUCUGAGACUUACUACGCCUUACUUCUUGGGUAUUUUGGUCUGAAAUUUUUACCAGAAGUUCGUCACUGUGUCUACUGAGUUUUGGCUGAGUUUUCAGGCCUAGAUUCGUCCCACGAGACUGUGAAUAAAUUUUUUAUUCAUCACUGUCAGCGUUGAGAGGAAGGUUCGUUUGAGUGUGAAACGUUUUGAUUUUCUUCGUUCGUGAAUACUCAUCCGUUUGACCUGAAAUUUCUCGGUUUUGUCCCAAAUUAUGUGGAGAUUCUUACGUGUAAUUUCAGGAAAAAACUAUUUCGGGAGAAUUUUUCAUAAAUUUUGUGCAAACCAACUCUACCAAAACUUGUGAAAUUUGCCCUAGUAUUUGAAAUUUUAUUCAGGGUCCGUAUUGCGCUGAAAAAAAUUCACACAAGUACUUUCAUAUGUUUUUGGCCUCUAGGUAAGGAGGCACGUCUAAAAACAAAUCACAAAAACAAGAUACGAGGGAGAAAAACGAGGACAUUUUGUUUUCAGAAAACCAGUUCUGUUCACUUUUGGUCUGGGACUUACUACGCCUUACUCCUUGGGUAUUUUGGUCUGAAAUUUUGACCAGACGUUCGUCAUUAUUUCUACUGAGUUUUGCCAGAGAUUUGAGCCCGAGAUUCGUCUCACGAGACUGUCAAUAAAUUUUUUAUUCGCGUCAGGGCUGAGAUGAAGGUUUGUUUGUGAAUGAAACAGUUUGAUUUUUUUCGUGGGUGAAUACUCAUCCGUUUAACCUGAAAUUUGUCGAGUUUUGUCCCAAAUACAGUGGAGAUUCUUACGUGGAAUUCUAGGAAAAAACUAUUUCGGGAUAAGUUUUCAGAAAUUUUGUGCAAACCAAGGCUAUCCUCUACCUAAACUUCUGAAAUUUCGCCCUAGUAUCUGAAAUUUUAUUCUGGGUCCGUAUUGCGCUGAAAAAAUUCACAAAAGUACUUUCAUAUGUUGUUUGCAACCAGGUAAGGAGGCACGUCCAUAAACAAAUCACAAAAAGAAGAUACGGGGGAGAAAAGCCAGGAUGAUUUGUUUUGGAAAACCAGUUUUGUUCACUCUCGGUCUAGGACUUACGACGCCUUACUUCUUCGGUGUUUUGGUAUGAAAUUUUUACCAGACGUUUGUCACUGUGUCUAAUGAGUUUUGGCUGAGAUUUGAGCCCCAGAUUCGUCCCACUGUGUCAAUAAAUUUUUUAUUCAUCACUGUCAGGGCAGAGAGGAAGGUUCGUUUGUGUGUGAAACUGUUUGAUUUUUUUCGUGGGUGAAUAGUCAUCCAUUUGACCUGAAAUUUGUCGCGUUUUGUCUCAAAUUCAGUGUAGAUUCUUACGUGAUAUUUGAGGAAAAAAACUAUUUUGGGAGAAUCUUUCAGAAAUUUUGAAAUUUCGCCCUAGUAUCUGAAAUUAUAUUAUGGGUCCGUAUUGCGUUGAAAAAAAUCACACAAGUACUUUCAUAUGUUGUUUUCACCCAGGUAAGGAGGCACAUCCAUAAACAAAUCACAAAAAGAAGAUACGGGGGAGAAACACCAAGACGUUUUGUUUGCGGAAAACUAGUUUUGUUCAAUCUCCGUCUGGCAAUUACUACGCCUUACUCCUUGGGUAGUUUGGUCUGAAAUUUGUAGCAGACGUUCAUCACUGUUUCUACUGAGUUUUGGCUGAGAUUUGAGCCCCAGAUUCGUCCCACUAGACGGUGAAUAAAUUUUUUAUUCAUCACUGCCAGGGUUGAGAGGAAGGUUUGUUUCUGUGUCAAACUGUUUGAUUGUUUUCGUGGGUGAAUACUCAUCCGUUUGACCUAAAAUUUGUCGAAUUUUGUCCCAAAUUCAGUGCAGAUUCGUACAUGAAAUUUCAGGAAAAAACUAUUUCGGGAGAAUUUUUAAAAAAUUUUGUGCAAACCAACUCUACCAAAAACUUGUGAAAUUUGCCCUAGUAUUUGAAAUUUAUUCAAGGUCCGUAUUGCGCUGAAAAAAUUCACACAAGUACUUUCAUAUGUCGUUUGCACCCAGGUAAGGAGGCACGUCCAAAAACAAAUCAGGAAAAGAAGAUACGGGGGAGAAAAACCCGGACGUUUUGUUUUCGGAAAACCAGUUUUGUUCAAUAUUUGUCUGGGACUUACUACAUCUUACUCCUUGGGUAUUUUGGUCUAAAAUUUUGACCAGACGUUCGUCACUGUGUCUACUGAGUUUUGGCUGAGAUUUGAGCCCUAGAUACGUCCCACGAGACAGUGAAUAAAGUUUUUAUUCACCACUGCCAGAGUUGAGAGGAAGGUUUGUUUGUGAGUGAAAGUGUUUGAUUUUUUUCGUGGGUGAAUAAUCACCCAUUUGACCUUAAAUUUGUCGCGUUUUUUCCCAAAUUCAGUGGAGAUUCUUACGUGGAAUUUCAGAAAAAAACUAUUUUGGGAGAAUUUUUCAGAAAUUUUGUGCAAACAAAAGCUAUCCUCUACCAAAACUUGUGAAAUUUCGCCCUAGUAUCUGAAAUUUUAUUCUUGGUCCGUAUUGCGCUGAAAAAAAUUCACAAAAGUACUUUCAUAUGUUGUUUGCAACCAGGUAAGGAUGCACGUCCAUAAAGAAAUCACAAAAAGAAGAUACGGGGGAGAAAAGCGAGGACGAUUUGUUUUCGGAAAACCAGUUUUGUUCACUCUCGGUCUAGGACUUACUACGCCUUAAUUCUUGGUUAUUUUGGUAUGAAAUUUUUACCAGACGUUAGUCACUGUGUCUAAUGAGUUUUGGCUGAGAUUUGAGCCACAGAUUCGUCCCACUGUGUCAAUAAAUUUUUUAUUCAUCACUGUCAGGGCUUAGAGGAUGGUUCGUUUGUGUGUGAAACUGUUUGAUUUUUUUCGUGGGUGAAUAUUCAUCCGUUUGACCUGAAAUUUAUCGCAUUUUGUCCCAAAUUAAGUGCAGAUUCUUACGUGAUAUUUCAGGAAAAAAACUAUUUUGGGAGAAUUUUUCAGAAAUUUUGUGCAAACCAAGGCUAUCCUCUACCAAAACUUGUGAAAUUUUGCCCUAGUAUCUGAAAUUAUAUUAUGGGUCCGUAUUGCGUUGAAAAAAAUCACUCAAGUACUUUCAUAUGUUGUUUUCACCCAGGUAAGGAGGCACGUCCAUAAACAAAUCACAAAAAGAAGAUACGGGGGAGAAACACCAAGACGUUUUGUUUGCGGAAAACUAGUUUUGUUCACUCUCCGUCUGGCAAUUACUACCCCUUACUCCUUGGGUAGUUUGGUCUGAAAUUUUUAGCAAACUUUCGUCACUGAUUCUACUGAGUUUUGGCUGAGAUUUGAGCCCCAGAUUCGUUCCACUAGACUGUGAAUAAAUUUUUUAUUCAUCACUGCCAGGGCCUAGACGAAGGUUUGUUUGUGUGUCAAACUGUUUUAUUGUUUUCGUGGGUGAAUACUAAUCCGUUUGAUCUGAAAUUUGUCGCGUUUUGUCCCAAAUUCAGUGCAGAUUUUUACGUGGAAUUUCAGGAAAGAACUAUUUCGGGAGAAUUUUUCAUAAUUUUUGUGCAAACCAACUCUACCAAAACUUGUGAAAUUUGCCCUAGUAUUUGAAAUUUAUUCAGGGUCCGUAUUGCGCUGAGAAAAUUCACACAAGUACUUUCAUAUGUUGUUUUCACCCAGGUAAGGAGGCACGUCCAAAAACAAAUCAGGAAAAGAAGAUACGGGGGAGAAAAUCCAGGACGUUUUGUUUUCGGAAAACCAGUUUUGUUCAAUAUCUGUUUGGGACUUACUACGCCUUACUCCUUGGGUAUUUUGGUCUGCAAUUUUGACCAGACGUUCGUCACUGUGUCUACUGAGUUUUGGCUGAGAUUUGAGCCUAAGAUUCGUCCCACGAGACUGUCACUUAUGUUUUUAUUCAUCACUGCCAGGGCUGAGAGGAAGGUUUGUUUGUGAGUGAAACUGUUUGAUUUUUUUCGUGUGUGAAUAAUUACCCAUUUGACCUGAAAUUUUUCGCGUUUUUUCCCAAAUUCAGUGGAGAUUCUUACGUGGAAUUUCAGGAAUAAACUAUUUUGGGAGAAUUUUUCAGAAAUUUUGUGCAAACCAAGGCUAUCUUCUAUGAAAACUUGUGAAAUUUCGCCCUAGUAUCUGAAAUUUUAUUUUGGGUCGGUAUUGUGCUGAAAAAAGUCACACAAUUACUUUCAUAUGUUGUUUGCACCCAGGUAAGGAGGCACGUUCAUAAACAAAUCACAAAAAGAAGAUAAGGGGGAGAAAAGCCAGGACGUUUUGUUUCGGAAAACCAGUUUUGUUCACUCUAGGUAUGGGACUUACUACGCCUUACUGCUUGGGUAUUUUAGUCUGAAAUUUUUACCAGACGUUCGUCACUGUCUCUACUGAGUUUUCGAUGAUAUUUGAGCCCCAGAGUUGUGUGUGAAACUGUUUGAUUUUUUUCGUGGAUGAAUACUCAUCCGUUUGACCUGAAAUUUUUUGCAUUUUGUCCCAAAUUCAGUGGAGAUUUUUAAGUGGAAUUUCAGGAAAAAUAUAUUUCGGGAGAAUUUUUCAGAAAUUUUGUGCAAACCAAGGCUAUCCUCUACCAAAACUCUUGAAAUUUCACCCUAGUAUGUGAAAUUUUAUUCUGGGUUCGUAUUGCGCUGAAAAAAUUCACACAAGUACUUCAUAUGUUGUUUGCACUCAGGUAAGGAUGCACGUCCAUAUAGAAAUCACAAAAAGAAGAUACGGGGGAGAAAAGCCAGGACGUUUUCUUUUCGGAAAACCAGUUUUGUUCACUCUCGGUCUGGGACUUACUAUGCCAUACUCCUUGGGUAUUUUGGUAUGAAAUUUUUACCAGACGUUCGUUACUGUGUCUACUGUGUUUUGGCUGAGAUUUGAGCCCAACAUUCGUCCCACAAGACUAUCAAUAAAUUUUUUAUUCAUCACUGCCAGGGCUAAGAGGAAGGUUCGUUUAAGUGUGAAAUUGUUUGAAUUUUUUCGUGGGUGAAUAGUCAUCCAUUUGACCUGAAAUUUAUCGCGUUUUGUCCGAAAUUCUGUGGAGAAUCUUACGUGGAAUUUCAGGAAAAAACUAUUGUUAGAAUAUAUGACCUUAAACGAGAGGGGGGUGAAUUGUUUAAGAGGGAUUUUCGCAAAAUUUGAAGGUAUAAUGAAAAUCAAUGCUGAAUUACAAAGAAAAGAAUCAAGGAAACAAAUACCCAAAACUGUUUUAAGAUGAUAUCAGAAAAACAAUUGGUUGUGUUGUCGAAACAAUUGGUUGUUUUUAUCAGCAGUUUAUAAAAACAACUUAAAAACAGAAUUUAAAGAGUUAAGGGAAAGAGAUAAGCACACAGGCAAUUUAUACUGGUUCACUCUUACACCAAGAGCUACAUCCAGUCCCCAGAAACCACUGGGUAUUCCACUAUGCAAUCAAAAUCAGAUUACAAACACCACACACCAAAUUUAUACUUUCUUAUGUUAUUUGCAUCCAGGUAAGGAGGUACGUCCAUAAACAAAUUACAAAAAGAAGAUACGAGGGAGGAAAGUCAGGACGUUUUUUUUUUUCGGAAAACCAGUUUUGUUCACUCUAGGUGUGGGACUUACUACGCUUUACUCCUUGGGUAUUUUGGUCUGAAAUUUUUACCAGACAUUCGUCACUGUGUCUACUGAGUUUUGGCUGAGAUUUGAGCCCCAGAUUCGUCCCACGAGAUGACAAUAAAUUUUUUAUUCAUCACUGCCAGAGCUGAGAGGAAGGGUCGUUUGUGUGUGAAACUAUUCGUUUGUAUAAUGUCUGAUGAUUAGAUUUGGACUUGGACAUUUUUAUAAUGGUUGAGACACUCUUGAAGUGUCGCAUUUUAAUUUUAUUUAUUCAUUGAUGAUAAAAAAACAUCUCAUAAAAUUAUAACCCACCUAAAAAGUAAGAGAAUAUUAUAUACUAAGAUUAUUUUUGGACUUUUUAUAAGUGUUUUCAUUUUAACCCACGUAGUGAAUGAGCUUUCUAGGUUAAGUACAAAAUGCAAACUUUUUAAGGUGGGUUAUUCGCCUUAAUGGUUGUUUUUUGAGUUAUUUUUUAAAGGAUUAUAUGUUUAAUUUAUAAGAACUAACUUUAAAACAUUUUUAACAUAAUUAAAAUAUUUUGUAAGAUCAUGACUAUAUUUGAAAAAAAAAACUUGUUGAAAACUUGAAAAAUUACAUAUAAUGAAAACACUAAACUGAAAGCUAUAAAUGUAAAUUGAAAAAAAAAAUUGAUAUAUUUAAGAUUUGUUUCAUUUAGUCUUAAAUAAAGGGAUGAGACUGAGGUGUUUAUUAUGUAGAAACUAAAACAGACACUACCAAACAAAUAGCAAAACUAAACACAACAUAAUAUCGAAGAGCUGUGUUUAUUUCAUAAUGCAAUGUCUCAUUUUAAAAGGUUUUCUUAAUGAAAUAUUACAUGCUAAACAACGAAAAAAAUACAAUAAACAAAUAAUGUAAAGCCAGGAAGCACAGUGGGGAGUGAGAAACAGGGUAAUUCUAUAAACAUUAAUUUUUCAAAGUCAUUUGAUUCACCAUAUAUCAAAUAGACAUUUGUGUUCUUCACUCCUGAUACAUAACCAAAAGUCACAAAAAUCUAUACCAUGUCUCCAAAUCCUAAAUUUGACAUUAUGCCAUGCCAAUCUUCAUCAUUAAAGGAAAUUACCGUCCUUCGGUUGUGUAUCAGGCACGUGCACUUUGUGUAAUUAACCAUUAAGACACUAGUAAGACAUUCAGGUUCAAUGAUUUCAGAAUUUGAUAAAUAAGCAACCCACAAAGCCAUUCCCUUCAUGUCACGAUCUCGAGCUACAAUGAAACAAACAGAAUGUCCCUCACUCUUAUGGCUCAACCAAUAAGGAUCGUUGUCACCCGGGAGAGAAACAUCACUCGACUCACUGCUGACAGUUAAGAAUUCAUUGCAUGUUCCAACACCAAUAAAAGAAGACCUAGAGUGAUGCUUCAAAAUUCUUGAUUUUAUAGUAUUUAGACCAUAUUCCACCAGAAUACUUUCUACUUCUGUUUGACCUAAAAUUUGUCGAAUUUUGUCUCAAAUUCAGUGGAGAUUCUUACGUGGAAUUUCAAGAAAAAACUAUUUCGGGAGGAUUUUUCAGAAAUUUUGUGCAAACCAAGGCCAUCAUCCUCAAAAUAAACUUGUGAAAUUUUGCCCUUGUAUCUGAAAUUUUAUUUUGGGUCCGUAUUGCGCUGAAAAAAUUUACACAAGUACUUUCAUAUGUUGUUUGCACCCACGUAAGGAGACAUGUUCAUAAACAAAACACAAAAAGAAGAUACGGGGGAGAAAAGCUAGAACGAUUUGUUUUCGGAAAACCAGUUUUGUUCACUUUCGAUCUGGGAUUUACUACGCCUUACUCCUUGGUAAUUUUGGUCUGAAAUUUUUACCAGACGUUUGUCACUGUGUCUACUGAGUUUCGUCUGAGAUUUGAGCCCCACAUUCGUCCCACGAGACUGUCAAUAAAUAUUUUAUUCAUCACUGUCAGAGCUGAGAGGAAGGUUCGUUUGAGCGUGAAACUAUUUGAUUUUUUUCGUGCGUGAAUAGUCAUGCGUUUGACCUGAAAUUUAUCGCGUUUUGUCCCAAAUUCAGUGGACAUUCUUACGUGGAAUUUUCAGGAAAAAAUAAUUUCGGGAGAAUUUUUCGGAAUUUUCGUGCAAACCAAGGCUUUCCUCUACCAAAAUUUGUAAAAUUUCGCCCUAGUAUCUGAAAUUUUAUUCUAGGUCCGUAUUUCCCUGAAAAAAAUCAUACAAAUACUUUCAUAUGUUGUUUGCACCCAGGUAAGGAGGCACGUCCAUAAACAAAUCACAAAAAGCUGAUACGACGGAAAAAAGCCAGGACGUUGUGUUUUCGGAAAACCAGUUUUGCUCACUGUCGGUCUGGGACUUACUACGCCUUACUCCAUGGGUAUUUUGGUCUGAAAUUUUUACAACACAUUUGUCACUGUGUCUAAUGAGUUUUGGCUGAGAUUUGAGCCCCAGAUUCGUCCCACGAGACUGUCAAUAAAUUUUUUAUUCAUCACUGCCAGGACCGAUAGGAAGGUUCGUUUCUGUGUGAAACUGUUUGAUUUUUUUCGUGGGUGAAUACUCAUCCCUUUAAGCUGAAAUUUGUCACAUUUUGUCCCAAAUUCAGUGGAUAUUCUUACGUGGAAUUUCAGAAAAAACUAUUGCAGGAGAAUUUUUCAGAAAUUUUGCGCAAACCAAGGUUAUCCCUCAACCAAAACUUGUUAAAUUUGGCCCUAGUAUCUGAAAUUUUUUUUUGGGUCCGUAAUGCACUGAAAAAAUUCACACAAGUAUUUUCAUAUGUUGUUUGCACUCAGGUAAGGAGGCAUGUCCAUAAACAAAUCACAAAAAGAAGAUACGGGGGAGAAAAGCCAGGACGUUUUGUGUUCGGAAAACCAGUUUUGUUCAAUAUCUGUCUAGGACUUACUACGCCUUACUCCUUGGGUAUAUACGUUCAUCACUGUGUCUACUGAGUUUUGGUUGAGAUUUGAGCCCCAGAUUUGUCCCACGAGACUGUCAAUAAAUUUUUUAUUCAUCACUGUCAGGGCUGAGAGGAAGGUUCGUGUGUGUGAAACUAUUUGAUUUUUUUCGUGGGUUCAUACUCAUUCGUUUGACCUAAAAUUUGUCCCAUUUUGUCCCAAAUUCAGUGGAGAUUCUUACAUAGAAUUUCAGGAAAAAAAAGUAUUUCGGGAGAAUUUUUCAGAAAUUUUGUACAAACCAAGGCUAUCCUCUACCAAAACUUGUGAAAUUUCGCCCUAGUAUCUGAAAUUUUAUUCUGGGUCUGUAUUGCACUGCAAAAAUUCACACAAGUACUUACAUAUGUUAUUUGCACCUAGGGAUGAAGGCACGUGAUGAAGAUCAAGAUCAAGAAGAGAAAGAAGCCGAAGAUGAAGAUGCUCAAAGGAUUAUUAGCUCAUCAUCCUUUUUACCUCAAAGGAUUACAAGGAGCAAAUUUAAAGAAUUAGGAAGUAGUGGUAAAAUGUUUUAUCUUUUUGUAGUAUCUUUUGUAUAAAAUUUAAAAAUGCUUAAUAUAGUGUUUAAGAAGGUUCUAAGAGGGAAACUUAAAGAUACCUCUUGUGUAAAGCAUCUUUAGAUAUUAGCUUUAGAAAAUUCUAGAAAGGUAUCCCUUCCUCGUUCACUUUAGGGGCUAGAAGUGGAAGAGUUACAAGGGAACCUUAGUUAGCUUCUUUUGUAAGCCUCUUGUACUUUCAUGACCGGUCCUUCUCCUAUAUAAGGAGGGCUUGAUUCUUUCUAAAUUCAGAUUUGAUAUUUUGAGUACAGAAAUUCUCCAAAAUUGGUGAGUGAUUGAGAGACUUGUGUCUUCUCUUGUUCUAAUCUUAUCUUGAGAGCAAUCUUGGAACCUCAAGUGGCGGCAUCUACACUCAUCUUGAAGAUUUGCAUCCUUCAAGUGGCGUCUUCCUUUCCAAGGACUCCAACCACAUAAGUUCUCUUCUCCUUUCCAUCUUAUUCAUCCAUUUCCAUUCCCAAAUAAACUCUAAAAACAUGUCUUAGGAUUUUCUAAUCUUUGUAAUCGGUUCAUUUGCUUUUUCUUACACUUUUGUUCGGUUCAUUUGAUUCCUAUCAUGUUUUGUUCAGUUCAUUUCAUUCCUUAAUUGUUUUAAUUGGUUCAUUAGCUUUCUUUCAUGCUUUUGUUCGGUUAAUUUGCUUUCUAGAUAGUUUUAAUUGGUUCUUUCGCUUCCUUGUUCAUUUUAAUUGAUUCAUUUGACAAGAAAUGGGUUUCUACAUGGGUUUUGGCUUGGUUGCUUAAGAUUUGGUGAGUUCUUGAAUGAAAGAACAUUGAUCCAAUUCAAGAUGACUCCAGAACAUGUCUAUGAAACAUCUCUAUCUUCUUAUUGGAAUCAUAUCAGCACAUCCAUAAACAAAUCACAAAAAGAAGAUACGGGGGAGAAAAGCCAGGACGUUUUUUUUUUGGAAAACCAGUUUUGUUCACUCUUGGUCUGGGACUUACUAAGUCUUAUUCCUUGGGUAUUUUGGUCUGAAAUUUUUACCACACGUUCUUCACUGUGUCUAUUGAGUUUUGGCUGAGAUUUGAGCCCCACAAUCGUCCCACGAGACUAUCAAUAAAUUUUUUAUUCAUCACUGUCAGGGGCUGAGAGGAAGGUUCAUUUGUGUGUGAAACUGUUUGAUUUUUUUUUUAUUGAAUAGUGAUCCGUUUGACCUGAAAUUUAUCGUGUUUUGUCCCAAAUUUAGUGGAUAUUCUUACUUGGAAUUUUAGGAAAAAACUAUUUCGGGAGAAUUUUUUAAAAAUUUUGUGCAAACUAAGGCUAUCCUCUACCAAAACUUGUGAAAUUUCGCCCUAGUAUCUGAAAUUUUAUUCUGGGUAUGUAUUGCGCUAAAAAAAUUUACACAAGUACAUACAUAUGUUAUUUGCACCCAGGUAAGGAGGCACAUCCAUAAAGAAAUCACAAAAAGAAGAUACGGGGGAGAAAAGCCAGCACGUUAUUUUUUCGGAAAACCAGUUUUGUUCACUCUCGGUCUGGGACUUCCUACGCAAUACUCCUUGGGUAUUUUAGUAUGAAAUUUUUACCAGUCGUUUGUCACUGUGUCUACUUAAGUUUGGAUGAGAUUUGAGCCCCAGAUUCGUCCCACGAGACUGUCAAUAAAUUUUUUAUUCAUCACUGCCAGAGCUGAGAGGAAGGUUCGUUUGUGUGUGAAACUGUUUGAUUUUUUUCGUAGGUGAAUACUCAUUCGUUUGACCUGAAAUUUGUCGCGUUUUGUCCCAAAUUCAGUGGAGAUUCUUACGUGGAAUUUCUGGAAAAAAUAAUUUCAGGAUAUUUUUUCAGAAUUUUUGUGCAAAUCAAGGCUAUCCACUACCAAAACUUGUAAACUUUCGCUCUAGUAUCUGAAAUUUUAUUCUGGGUUCGUAUUGUGCUGAAAAAAUUCACACAAGUACUUUCAUAUGUUGUUUGGACCCAGGUAAGAAGGCACAUCUAUAAACAAAUCACAAAAAAAAGAUAUGAGGGAGAAAAGCCAGGACGUUUUUUUUCGGAAAAUUAGUUUUGUUCACUCUCGGUUUGGGACUUACUACGCCUUACUCCAAGGGUAUUUUGUUCUGAAAUUUUUACCAGACGUUCUUUACUCUGUCUACUAAGUUUUGGCUGAGAUUUGAGCCUCAGAUUCGUCCCAUGAGACUGUCAAUAAAUUUUUUAAUCCUCACUGCCAGGGCUGAGAGAAAGGUUCGUUUGUGUGUCAAACUAUUUGAUUUUUUUCGUGGGUAAAUACUCAUUCGUUUGACCUAAAAUAUUUCGCGUUUUGUCCAAAAUUCAAUGGUGAUAAUUACAAGGAAUUUCAGGAAAAAAACUCUUCCGGGAGAAUUUUUCAGAAACUUUGUGCAAACGAAGGCUAUCCCCCUACCAAAACUUGUGUAAUUUCGCCCUAGUAUCUGAAAUUUUAUUCUAGGUCCGUAAUGCACCGAAAAAAUUCACACAAGUACUUUCAUAUGAUGUUUGCACCCAAGUAAGGAGGCACGUCCAUAAACAAAUGAAAAAAAGAAGAUACGGGGGAGAAAAGCCAUGAUGUUUGUUUUUUCUGGAAAACCAGUUUUGUUCAAUCUCAGUCUAGGACUUACUACGCUUUACUCCUUGGGUAUUUUGGUCUAACAUAUUUACCAGACAUUCGUCACUGUAUCUACUGAGUUUUGGCUGAGAAUUGAGCCCCAGAUUCGUCCCACGAGACUGUAAAUAAAUUUUUUAUUCAUCACUGCCAGUGCUUAGAGGAAACAUCGUUUGUGUGUGAAACUGUUUUAUGUUUUUUGUGGGUGAAUACUCAUCCGUUUGAUCUGAAAUUUCUCGCCUUUUGUCCCAAAUUCAGUGGAGAUUCUUAUGUGGAAUUUAUUGAAAAAGAAAUUUCGUGAUAUUUUUUUCAGAAAUUUUGUGCAAACAAAGGCUAUAUCCACUACCAAAACUUGUGAAAUUUCGCUCUAGUAUCUGAAAUUUUAUUAUGGGUGCGUAUUGCGCUGAAAAAAUUCACACAAUACUUUCAUAUGUUGUUUGCACCUAGGUAAGGAAGCACGUCCAUAAACAAAUCACAAAAAGAAGAUACGGGGGAGAAAAGAAAGGAGGUUUUUUUUUUGGAAAAUUAGUUUUUUUCACUUUCGGUCUAGGACUUACUACGCCUUACUCCAAGGGUAUUUUGGUAUGAAAUUUUUACCAGACAUUCUUUACUGUGUCUACUGAGUUUUGACUGAGAUUUGAGCCUAAAAUUCGUACCACAAGACUGUCAAUAAAUUUUUUAAUCCUCACUGUCAGAGCUGAGAGGAAGGUUCGUUUGUGUGUGAAACUGUUUGAUUUUUUUCGUGGGUUCAUACUCAUUCGUUUUACCUAAAAUUUGUCGCGUUUUGUCCCAAAUUCAGUGGAGAUUCUUACAUGGAAUUUAAGGAAAAAAACUCUUCCGGGAGAUUUUUCAGAAAUUUUGUGCAAACCAAGGCUAUCCCCUACCAAAACAUGUGAAAUGUCGCCUUAAUAUAUGAAAUUUUAUUCUGGGUCCGUAAUGCGCUGAAAAAAUUCACACAAGUACUUUCAUAUGUUGUGCAUCCAGGUUAGGAGGCACGUCCAUAAACAAAUCACAAAAAGAAGAUACGGGGGAGAAAAGCCACGAUGUUUUUUUUCCAGAAAACCAGUUUUGUUCACUCUGGGUCUGGGAUUUACUACGCUUUACUCCUUGGGUAUUUUGGUCUGAAAUUUUUUCCAAACGUUCGUCACUGUGUCUACUGAGUUUUGCCUGAGAAUUGAGCCCCAGAUUCGUCCUACGAGACUGUCAAUAAAUUUUUUAUUCAUCACUGCCAGGGCUGAGAGGAAGGUUUGUUUGUGUGUAAAACUGUUUGAUUUUUCGUGUGUGAAUACUCAUCCGUUUGACCUAACAUUUGUCGCAUUUUUUCCCAAACUCAGGAAAAAACUAUUUCGAGAGAAUUUUCAGAAUUUUUGUGCAAACCAAGGCUACAAAAAUUUGUGAAAUUUCGCCGUAGUGUCUGAAAUUUUAUUCUAGGUACGUAUUGCGCUGAAAUUUUAUUCACACAAGUACUUUCAUAUGUUGUUUGCAACCAGGUAAGGAGGCACGUCCAUAAACAAAUCACAAAAUGAAGAUAUAGGAGAGAAAAGACAGGACGUUUUGUUUUUGCAAAACCGGUUUUGUUCAGUCUCUGUCAGGGACUUACUACGCUUUACUCCUUGGGUAUUUUGGUCUGAAAAUUUUACCAGACAUUCGCCACUGUGUCUACUGAGUUUUGGAUCAUAUUUGAGCCCCAGAUUCGUCCCACGAGACGGUGAAUAAGUUUUUUAUUCAUCACUGCCAGGGCUGAGAGGAAGCUUCGUUUGUGUGUGAAACUGUUUGAUUUUUUUCGUGGGUGAAUACUCAUUUGUUUGACUUAAAAUUUGUCGCGUUUUGUCCCAAAUUCAGUGGAGAUUCUUACAUGGAAUUUCUGGAAAAAACUCUUCCUGGAGAAUUUUUCAGAAAUUUUGUGCAAAAUUGUUCAGAAAUUUUGUGUGAAUACUCAUUUGUUUGACCAAAAUACCCAAUAAUUUUUCAUAUUCUUACCAAAACUUGUGAAAUUUUACCCUAGUAUCUGAAAUUUUAUUAUGGGUCUGUAUUGUGCUGAAAAAAAUUCACACAAGUACUUUCAUAUGUUGUUUGCACCCAGGUAAGGAGGCACGUCCAUAAAUAAAUCACAAAAAGAAGAUACGAGGGAGAAAAGCCAGGACAUUUUGUUUUCGGAAAACCAGUUUUUUUCACUAUCGGUCUGGGACUUACUACGCCUUCUUCUUGGGUAUUUUGGUCUGAAAUUUUUCACAGACAAUCGUCACUGUGUCUACUGAGUUUUGGCUGAGAUUUGAGCCCCAGAUUCGUCGUACGAGACUGUCGUACGAGAGGAAUUUUCGUUUGUGUGUGAAACUGUUUGAUUUUUUUCUUGGGCGAAUACUCAUUCGUUUGACCUAAAAUUUGUCGCGUUUUGUCGCAAAAUUAGUGGAAAUUCUUACAUGGAAUUUCAGGAAAAAACUCUUUCGGGAUAAUUUUUUAGAAAUUUUGUGCAAACCAAGGCUAUCCCCUACCAAAACUUGUGAAAUUUCACCCUAGUAUCUGAAAUUUUAUUUUGGGUCUGUAAUGCGCUGAAAAAAUUCACACAAGUACUUUCAUAUGUUGUUUGCACCCAGGUAAGGAGGCACGUCCAUAAACAAAUCACAAAAAGAAGAUACGGGGGAGAAAAGCUAGGAUGUUUUUUUUUCGAAAAACCAGUUUUGUUCACUCUCGGUCUAGGACUUACGACGCUUUAUUCCUUGGGUAUUUUGGUCUAAAAUUUUUACCAAACGUUCGUCACUGUGUCUACUGAGUUGUGGCUGAGAUUUGUGCCCCAGAUUCGUCCCACGAGACUAUCAAUAAAUUUUUUAUUCAUCACUGGCAGCGCUGAGAGGAAGAUUCGUUUUGUGUGAAACUGUUUGAUUUUUUUCGUGGGUGAAUACUCAUCCGUUUGACCUGAAAUUUUUCGCCUUUUGUCCCAAAUUCAGUGGAGAUUCUUACGUGGAAUUUUUGGAAAAAACAAUUUCAGGAGAUGUUUUCAUAAAUUUUGUGCAAACCAAGGCUAUCCUCUACCAAAACUUGUGAAAUUUCGCCCUAGUAUCUGAAAUUUUAUUAUGGGUCCGUAUUGCGCUGAAAAAAUUCACACAAGUAUUUUCUUAUGUUGUUUGCACCCAGGUAAGGAGGUAGGUGCAUAAACAAAUCACAACAAGAAGAUACGAGGGAGAAAAGUCAUGACGUUUUUUUUUCGUAAAACCAGUUUUGUUCUCUCUAGGUGUGGAACUUACUACGCUUUACUCCUUGGGUAUUUUGGUCUGAAAUUUUUACCAGACGUUCGUCACUGUGUCUACUGAGUUUUGGAUGAGAUUUGAGCCCUAGAUUCGUCCUACGAGACUAUCAAUAAACUUUUUAUUCAUCACUACCAGAGUUGAGAGGAAAUUUCGUUUGUGUGUGAAACUGUUUGAUUUUUUUUGUGGGUGAAUAUUUCCUCAAACUCUAUGUUUUUUUAAGUGAUCUUUAUUCUGGUUCUUUACUGCUGAUGUUUUGGGGUUUUAGCUGCUGCUUUGUUUAAGCAAAACAUAAGUUUUGUUUUACUACUCUAACCUCUGCCAUAGAUGUUGUACUUUGCUUAAACUUUUCUUUGCAGGAACUGCUUCAGAUUCAAUCAAGUCCAACAAAAGCAACCAAGGAUUUGUUUUCAUCAAAUAGAGGGAGAUUGUUGAAUCCAAAUCCUAGUGUUUGAUGGAAAGCUGGAGGUGCUUGUUGUUGUUGUUGUGCUUGAGAAUAGGAUUUGGGGUAGACUAUAUUUGUAAUCCACUCUUUGUUGAAUCUAAAGCUUAAGUGUUUUCAAAUCUUUUAAGUUUAAAGUGUUUGUCAAACUAAGUGAAAAACAACUUGUUGUUUAGUCGAAACAACCAAUUGUUUUAUACUUGGGUGUUUUUGAAAUUGUUUGAAAACUGUUUUGGAUUGUUGACUUGCUGUCAAACCAAAACAACCGAUUGAUUCGUUAUUUCAACCGAUUGCUUCUUUGAAAUCCUAACAGAAACAAUUUUGUUAGUUAAAUGAGUUUUAAUUGAUUUCAUAACUGAAUAUGCUCCUGCUUUAAAUGUUUUGACCAAGAUUUGAAUACUAUAAAUAGUUUGUUAAUGUUUUAUAACAAACAAGAAGAAAGAAAAACAUAUUUGAGUUUUUCAAAGAUUUCAGUUUUCACUUUGAGCUUUGGCUAUUCAAGAGAGAAGUGGAAUAUGAUUACUUUGUAUUGAUUUCAGUUGAUUUUGUAAUAGUGUAAUUCGUUCUAAAGAGUUGUGUACAUUUUGGUGUUGUAAAACCAAGAAGGGUUGUGUGCUCUUGAGGUUGUCAAGAUCAACAUUCUUGGUGUGUGUGCUGAGCCAAAGGAAGUGUGUUUCUUGAUGGGAUCAAGGUCACUUCUUUGGUGGUGUGUGUAUGUAAUCUGGAUUUGAUUACCUAGUGGAUUCCCAGUGGUUUCUGGGAAACUGAAUGUAGCUCUUGGGUUAAGAGUGAACCAGUAUAAACUGUGAUGGAGAUCAAGUAAGAGAGGAUUUCACUAAUGGAGGAAGAGGCCAUCCACCCAAGCAUUUAAAGUUCUUCCUUCUAGUCUUCUCAAAAAUUAAAGAAGAAUUAAAUAAAGAGAGGACCAAGCCUAAAUCCAACAAGAAGACUACAAGCAUUCAAGAAUGGGCUCCAAUUAAUAUCUCUCUUUAUAGUUUCUUUUGUAUAAAAUUUGUAAAUAAUAUAGAAUAGCUUUAGGAUGUGCUAAAGAGGGAAACCUUAAAGACACCUCCUUUGUAUAGCACUUUAGGCGCUAGUUUUAGGAAAAAUCUAGAAAGGUGCCUUUUCACUCUUCUUUAGGCGCUAGAAUAGGAAGAGUUAGAAGAUCACCUUUCAAAGCUUCUCUUGUAAGCUUCCUUUGUACUUUGUGACCAGCCCUGUCUAUUAUAAAAGGGGUACUUAGGUCUUUGAAAUAAUAAGAUUGAUUUUUGAGAGUAAAGAACCUCUACCAAUUUGGUGAGUGAGAGAGAGAGACUUGUGUCUUCUUCUCUUCUAGUCUUAUCUUGAGUGAAUUCUUGGGCUCUCAAGUGGCGGCAACAACACUCAUCUUGAAGCCAACCAUCCUUCAAGUGGCGUGCACAUUCCAAGAGCUUCAUCCACAUAAGUCCAUUUUCCCUUCAUUCCAAAUUACCCAUUUUUGUUCUACUUGUUUGUUUUCACUUUCAAUCGGUGCAAUCUCUUCCUUAUGAUGUCCUCUUUCAUUAGCUGCACUUAUAUUCAAUUUUAAUCGGUGCAAAUUGGUUGUUCUUGUUGUUUUGGUCACGUCCUCCAUGGGUAUAAAUGCUAUAUGUUGUGUUCUUGAGUUUCUAUCCAUGGGUUUGUUGUUCAAAAUGGGUUUCUAUGUGAGUUUGGCUUGAUUUUUGUGUUUUGGUGAGUUCUUGAAUGUUAAGAAUAUUGAUCCAAUUCUUAAAAAGUGUCUAAUCAUAUUCCAACUCUUGUUGAAUCCAUAACAUGUUCAUAUCAUAUCCAUAUCAUGUUAUUGGAAUCAUAUCAAACUGUUUGUGCAUUUCUCUCUUCCUUAAACUCUUUAAUUUCAUUUGUUGUUGUUUUUACUGGUAUAAACAACCGAUUGUUUAUGCGAAACAAUCGAUUGUUUUUCUGGUGCUUUACUGGUUUGAGCUUUGUUCUUGGCAAACUAAAUUCCUAAAUCUGGUUUCUUGCAAAGAAUUUCAUUCUAUCUUAAAAAGUUUGCGAAAACCUCCUUUAAACCAUUCACCCCCCCCUCUAGUUUAAAGCCGUACAUUCUAACACAAGGGAAGUGGAGUGAGUGAGGCCAACAAAAGAUGUACCUGAAUAUGCAACAGAAGUCGUGGAACUAGGGUUCUGAUCCUCAUACCAUUUAAGAAAUUCAUUGAAAAUAGCAGGCUGGCUUGAGGUAUCAAUUAAUGUAUGGUCCAUAGUAGAAGGUUUCACAGGGGCAGUUUGUGCAACCACAACAGAUUUAGGAGGACGACCAUGUAAGGCAUAACAUCUGUCAAUUUUGUGGCCAAGUUUGCCACAAUGGUCACACUUGUGACGCCCUUUGCCUGGCUUGUGAGGGCGAGGACGAUCAUUAUGUUGAGAGACUAAAGUAGAAGAAUCAUCAACAUGAGACAUUAUAUCAGUGGUGUGUUUACCUGGCACACACAAAAGGGUAGAACAAGUGGAAGUAAAAUUGGGCACGAUAGGAGAUCCCAAAAUUUGAUCAUGAACAUGAUAAUAAUCAUUAGGAAGGCCAUGUGAACCCAAUAACAUGAAGAACUUGGAUCUUUGUUCUAGUUCUUGAGAAGGAGUGGGAGCAUGAGGUAAUAACUCAUUAAAAUCAUGAAGAAAAGCAUGAAGUUUACCAGAUAUUAUGCCAUUGUACCAUCAAGACAUUUGGGAGCAACAAUUGUGAGAAGAUUUUGACACACACCAUAAAGACGUUGAGUAUCAUUGGUGUAUAAUAAUUUUUCUUGUUCCCAAACUUUUGAACAUGUCUCAUAGGUACGAAAUAUUUGUUUUAAAGAUGAGUGAAUGGUAGAUUUUAUAACAAUGCAUAUUUGAGCAUAAAUUUUCAACCAACGGGAAACCUCAUUUUCAGCAACAGUAGGAUGGGUAAGAUGAUCAACAUAUAUAACCUUUUCUCUUAAGCCAUAAUUAAAUAUCUGAUGCCCAAGUGUCAUAAUUGGUUCCAUCCAAUUUGUCAAUGGAGAGAUGAACAUUGAUGUAAUUAGUAUAAAUAGAUGGAUCCGGCAUAAUGACUGCGGAAGAAGCCACAGUGGUAGCGGCAGCGGAAGAAGCCAUAGUGGCAGCGGAAGUGAAAGAAGCCAUAGAGGAUAAGGACAAAUCAAGUCAUUGGUUAAUUGGCGACAACAGCAAAGAUGAAGGCUCUGGCAGCGUCUCUGGCGAAGGCUCCGGUGAGAUUCUGGCGGCGACUCCAGUGAGGGUCUGGCGACGGCUCCGGCGAGGUUCUGGUGGCGGCUCCGGCGAGGUUCCGACGGCGACUCCGACAAGGCAAUGGGGCAGUGGCUGGAAAAUUCCUGUGAAUAGUGGGUUCACCAAAAAUUGAACCCUAACGCUAUGCUUUGAUACCAUUUUAAAGGAAAAGAAAGAAUAGGGUAAAUCUCUUGUGUAUAUUGAACACAUAAGGUUAUAUAAGAAAAGAAACAUAUGGGUUAAGCCCAUUACAUAAAUAUGAAAUAUCUAACAAUAUCUAUAAUAUCUAAUAAUAUCUAAUAAUAUCUAAUUAUAUAUAAUAAUAUGUAAUAAUACUUAACAAUAAUAAAAAUUUAUGCAAUAAAUUUGAGUUAUUAGAAAAUUAAUGUAUUUUUCCCUUUUAAAAUUGUCUUACAAUCAUGCUAGAAUUGUCAGAAAUCCAACAAAUAUUUUUUGAAUUGGACAUUUCACCAAUACGUGUCCCACAAGUGUCGUAUGAGUCUUAGUGUCCAAUACAGGUGUCUAACAUGGACUGAUGUGAUUCCAAUAGCAUAGAAGAGAAUGAUUCUUGACAUUCUUGGGAAUCAACUUGAGUUGGACAAAUGUUAGGCACUUUUUCUUAGAAUUGGAUCAAUGUUCUAAGUCAAGAACUCACCAAAACUAGCACCAAAUCCAAACUCACAUGGAAGUUCCUCAUAUUGUCAAAUUGAACCAACAAAAAGAGGUAAAACUUAAAAUCACCGAACAGAAUUGGACAAGGAACAAACUGAACCGAACAAAAUGAAAUUAAAAGGCAAAGAACUGAAAAUGAUUGCUGGAAAAUAAGAACAAUCGAACCAAAAACUCAAGAACACAAGACAACAUGAACAAUGAGAAGGAAGGAAGGAGAAGAGAAUGCUCAUGAAGAUGGAUGCAAGGUUGGAUGAUCACGCCACUAGAAGGAUGGUUGCUCCUAGAUGAGUGUGCUCCCGCCACUUGAGGACACCAUGGAUCCUUCAAGAUAAGACUAGAGAAGAAGGCUCAAAAGCUCUCCAAUGCACACUCAAAAUUUGAGUAUAGUUUCUUUACUAUUAAUUCCAAUCUGAAUUUUACAAAGGGAGCACCUCUAUUUAUAGCCUAAGGUGCUGAAAUGCAAGCUGCACAAAUUCAAAAACUCCCUCCUAAAAGCUUCUAGAAAUUGGCGCCUAAAAUAAUGCAUGAGGAAGGUGUGACCUCUUCCUUCAUUUUGGCACCUCCUAUUCUACUCCUACACCUAUCUACUAACGCACCCCCCGUAAGACUCCUAACUAAAGACUAAAAGAUGCUUUAACAAUAGAGGUUUCUAAUGUUUCCCUCUAAGCACCUUCAACAAUAUUCUUUAUUAUUUAAUACUUGGCCUUGCCCUUCAUAGGAUGGACUUGGGUUUGGGCUUGGGCUUUGGGCUUGGGCCUCUCUUUAUUUUAUGUCUUCUUUUAAUUUUGAGAAGACUAGAAGGAAGAACUUCAAGUGUGAUGGUGAAUUGCCUCUUCCUUCAUUAAUAGAAACCCCCUUUACUUGACUCUCAUCAUGGGCACACCAUUUAAGAGGAGAGUUUGAGCCUUACAGGACACAACAGCAAGUUUGGUCUCCCAAACCUUGCAUACUACUUACUUCCUUUCCUCAACGACAAAUUUCCUCACCUUUAUUGUUGAGACAGAUUUAAGUCGACCUUUUCAUUAGUUUUGUAUUUGUACAGAUCAUCUCUUUGACUGUGUUGCAUUAUUGUUUUCUCUUCUUCUAACACUUCAUCAACUCAUCAAUUUCUUCUGUGGAAUCGUCAUCUUCAUCAUCAAAUCUGCCAUGGAUGUACGAUGUGCUCAUCAACUUUAAUGGAGAAGACAUCCAAAAGAAAUUUGUUUCUCAUCUUGAUUCUGCCCUCUUUGAUGUUGGCUUCACCACUUUCCUUCACUGCCCCAAUGCACUCAACACAACGCACAUCCAACAACCUAUUCUCAAUCUCUCUCGUGUAACAUUUAUUGUUUUCACCAAAUCCUAUACUCAAUCUGCUUGGUGUCUUCAUCAAUUUCAACAAAUCAUUAAAUGACACAAAACUUAUAGUCUACAUUAUUAAGGAAAUAAUGAUUAUCAAAUUAUACGCAAUUAACUUGAUAAUGAUAGAAUUAUACCCCACCUAUUAUAUAUGUUAUCAUAAUUAUUAUUAAUGUUAGAAAAGAACUACAGUGGACGAAACUCGAAGCCAAUUUCCUUGAGUGACCAAAGAAGCUUUAACCACCACACCAGACAAGUUCUUUUUGUCAUAUUAUGAUUUUUAUUAUACUUAUUAUUAUUAUUAAUAUUAUUAAUAUUAUUAAUAUUAAUAUUAAUAUCAUUUAUAUUAUUAAUAUUAAUCAUAAUAUAACUAUUAUUAAUAUUAUGAAUAUCAUUUAUAUUAUUAAUAUUAUAAACAUUAUAAAUAUAAUUAGUAUUAAUAAUAUUAUUAAAUUUAUUAUUAUUAUUAUUAAUAUUAAUAUUAUCAUUAAUAUUAAUAUUGUUAUUAUUAAUAUUAAUAAAAAUAUGAAUAUCAAUAUUAUCAUUAAUAUCAAUAUUAUUAUUAUUACAAUUAUUAAAAAUAUUUUUUAUGUAAUACUUUAUAUAUGGAUACAAUCUGUAUGUAAUAUUCCCGCUUCAUACGCUUCAUGCAACACCUAAUUUUAUUUUUAGUUUUUUAAUGGGCUGCAACACAUACGAUGGAAUUAGAAAAAAUGUGUUAUAAUUCUAAUUGAAUUUAGAGGGAGACAAUCAAUAUGAAAUAUUAUUAUUGAUACUAAUAUUUAUGUUAUUUUUUUCAUUUUUUAUUUUUUUUAUAAUUUUAAUAUUAUAAAUUUUUCUUUAAUUAAACUAAAAUUACUUUUCUAAUUUAUUUCUAACAACGUAAUACAUCUUAAAAUUAUUUCAAUUCCAUGUAACCUUCUUUUAUAUUUUAAUUUUUAAUUUUUAAUUUAUUUUAGUUUGUCCAUUGCUUUUAUUUCCCAUCAAGAACUAUACGAAUCUAAAUCUAAACCCUAAACCCUAAACGAAUCUAAAUCUUAGUUUUUAAUAUAUUUAAUCUUAUGUAAUGCUCACUUUACAUAUGGAUCUGGACCCGUAUGUAAAAAUCAAUAUGUAACACUUACUUUACAUACGAAUCUGGAUCCGUAUGUAAAAAUUCGUAUGUAAUGCUAACUUUAGAUACAGAUUUGGAUCUGUAUGUAAAAAUCGGUAUGUAACACUUACUUUACAUACAAAUCUGGAUCUGUAUGUAAAAAUCCGUACGUAACGCUCACUUUACAUACGAAUUAUCCGUAUGUAAAAAACUGUAUGUAAUGUUCACUUUACAUACGGAUCUGAAUCCGUAUGUAAUAAUCGGUAUGUAAAUAACAAAUUUCUUGUAGUGUUAUACCCUAUAUAAUGGCGCUGAAAUCAUUUUCAAUGAAUUAAAUUGCGACAUUUAUGACUGACACUAUUUACAUAUAAAAAUCGUCAUUUUAAACAAAGUGUUAAAGUGGCAGGUGUUGCGGAAGGUAGCUUAAGACUGUCACAUUAAACUUUGUGGUGGCCAAUCCUAUGACGGUUUGGGAAACUAUCACACGCGUAUAUUGUGACGUUUAUAAACGCUAGGUUAUACGAAAAUAAUUGUCGCAUUAUACAUCUUUUUUUUAGUGAUUGUUUUAAGAAAAAGAAGUAUAAUAAAAAUAAAUUUGUAAUUAAAUUAUGUGAAAAAUUAUUAAAAUAACAUUAGUAAGAGUUGUUUUAUGGGUGUAAAAUAAAAUUUCGGCAAUGUUAGAAUAAGCUCGAGAAAACAAUUUUUGUUAUGAAGUUUAGGAAAGAUGAAUAUUCAUUUCAAAUAAGACAGAAAAAGGGAGAAUCAAAACAAAAUAUGUUUUUUUUAUAUAACCAUGCCUAAAGCAGUGCAACAUAAAAGUAUGCAGCAGAGCAAAAUGCAAAAAUAGAAUGAGUCAUCAAUAUAAUAUAUAUGUGUACCUACAAAAUAUGUUUUUUUUCUUUAUUUUAAUUUAAAAUAAUAAUUUAAUUGUUAAAGAGUAACUGUAAAAUUUUAUUGUUUUUAAUAUGUAAAGGAUAAAAUUGAAAAAUUAAAUGUAUGUGCAAAAGAGGAAAAUUCUAUUGUUAUAGACUAAUAUUAAUAAUAUUAUUAUUAAGUUAAUAUGAUGGCUAGCAUGGGUUUUUUUGAAAAAUGGGUUUAUUGUAUCAAAGAAUACCUCGAAUCUUCUUCUAUCUUUGUUUUAGUUAAUGAAAGUCCAUCUAAGUAAUUCAAACCGUCUUAGAGGUCUAAGAUAAGGGGAUCCAAUUGCACCGUUCUUAUUCAUAAUUGUGGCUCAAGGCCUAUCAAGUUUAGUAAAUCAAGGGCUACAAAGGAAGUGUUUUCUGAAUUAAAAUUCGGUGCAAAAAAUAUAGAGGUGAAAUUGCUUCCGUUUGCAAAUGACACUUUGAUCAUGUGUAAAUCUAAUAUCCAAAAUAUUAGUGGUAUUAAAGGGAUCCUUAAAUGUUUUGAAAUUUGCUCAGGGCUUAGAAUAAACUUCUUUAAGAGAAAAAUUGGAGCUAUAGGAGUGGACAAAAAUGUGUUAGGAUCUUUCUUUGAGGUUCUCCAUUGCAACAUUAUGAAUAUUCUUUUUUUAUAUCUUAGUUUACCAAUUGGGGGAAAUUCUACUAAGGUUUCUUUUUGUGACCUAGUGCUUACAAAGGUUAAGAAGAGGCUAUCUAUGUGGAAACGUAAACAUCUAUCAUUUGCAGGUCGUGUGUGCUUCAUUCAUUUUGUGUUGAAUGCAACCCCUUGUAUUAUCUCUCUUUGUUCAAAGCUCCAUCAUCUAUAUUGAAAAAAGAUUACAAAGUUACAACGUAAGUUCUUGUGGGGCUGGGAUACUGAAGGAAGGAAAAUUGCUUGGAUUAAAUGGGAUAAUUUAUGUAAACCUAAAGCGAAAGGUGGGUUGGGCAUCAAGCAAAUAGACAUUUUCAACAAAGCUUUAUUUGGAAAAUGGAAAUGGAGACUUGGCUCUCUUGAUAACUGUCUAUGGAAAGAUAUUCUUGCUUCUAAAUAUGGUUCUUGGAGAAAUUUAUCUGAAUCUAGAGUUUCAAAGCAUGCUUCAGGAUGGUGGUGCCAUUUAAACAAAGUGUGUGAGGAUGAGCAGGACAUCAAUUGGUUUGAUUGUAAUAUGGAAUAGGCGGUUGGGUCUGGUGAAAAAGUAAAGUUGUGGGAAGACGUUUGUGUUUAUAUUGUUUCGGUUUAUAAUUGUCAAUUGAAAGCUAGAUUCCCAAGGUUGUUUAAUAACUCUCAUAGAUAAUUCCCAAGCUAGAUUCCCAAGGUUGUGGUAAAUGGAACAGAGACAACUGGGUUGGGAAUUAAAGUGGAGAAGAGAGUGGUUUAAAUGGGAGAAGGCCCAAGUAGAUGAAUUUAUGACUGUGCUGGAAGGUCAAACCUUGAAAAAAGGUAAGGAGGAUAAAUGGUUAUGGAGAGACCCGCAAACCUGUAAGUACUCUGUCAAAUCUGCAUAUGCAUUCGUUUCUAAUUCUAUUCCAAGUGCAUCUAAGGAUAUGUAUAGGGUUAUGUGGGGCUUGUUGGUCCCACCAUCAGCACAAUAUUUUGUUUGGAGAGCAUUGCAAAAUAGGAUCACCAAAAAGCAAAAUUUGAUUAGAAGGUCAGUCCACCUUGCAGAUUCAUUAUGCAUUUUAUGUGGGACGGAGGAGGAAACGUCCUCACACCUUUUCUUAACUUGUCAGAUUGCGAGCGUUGUUUGAAAUUAUUGUAGUAAAUGGAUUGAGGUUAGAUCUGUAAAUCAUUUUUCUUUGAAGGAACACUUUGAACAAUUUCAUUGCCCUUGGCUUAGCAAAGAUGGCAAUAAGUUCUGGAAAUGAGUGUGGGUAUCCAUCAUCUGGUGUAUUUGGAAACAUAGGAAUGAGAUUGUGUUUAACCAAGCAAAAGUGGAUGCGAGUGAAAUCUUUGCCCUGACCCAAAUGCGAUCAUGGACUUGGUUAAAAAACAAGGCUCCAAUAGUGCUUUUUUCUUUUUCCGACUAGGUCCAAUGUCCAAAUACUUGCAUUAAUAUGACAGUAAAACGUUGAUUUCGUGAGGAUAGAGAGGUUGGUAUGUCUUGGCUGGUUUUUCUUCCUUUUUUAGGAUGCUUUGAGAGUAUGUAAUGUACCCUUAAAGCGCAGCGUAUAAGGGUUGAAGCCCCUUUGUGCUCCUUUUCUACUAAUUUAUUUUUUUGCCAAAUAAAAAAAAAAGUUUACAAAGGAUGUUAAGCAUAUUAAUUAAUUCAAUUCAUCUACCUAUAUAUUACGCAUAUCUAUAUGAGUGGUUAAGAGUAAAAUAUUAAAUAAAUUUAUUUUCUCUUUUCUCUCAAUGCCUUCCACUCAUUCUCUUUCUUAUUAAUAGAUUACUCUAUAAAUAGGUUGAUAUUUAUUAUGUAUAGUAUUCUUUGCACACACAUUCCAACUAAGAGUACCUCCUGAUAGAAGGCAUGAAGAUCUCAUCUACGCUUUGAAAAGAAAGAUUAUAUAAGAUAAUCUCUACUCGUGUAAAAGAAAAGUACAAUAAUAUUUUUUACGGCAUGAUUAAAUUAUUAAAUAAAAAAUUGAUUAAAUUAGUAAAUAAAAAAUUGAUUAAAUUUUUGAAAGUUAUAUAACUUUUCACGUUUUUCAUGAGUUUAGACAUGCUAAACUAGCAAGGUAGAAUUCAAAAUCAAUAUAAAUAAAAGAAAAAGAAAAUAUUUGUUUAAUGAUUUUAACAAAAUGAUAUUGAAAUAAUUUUAUAAACUGAUUAUAGAUAAACUGAAUGUUUUUCUAAACUGUAUUUAUACCUACAUUAACCUGUUUUAGAUAUACAUGUGUAAUGUGAAAGAUGAUGAUGUUAUAAGCUUUUAAAACUUUAAGCGUUAUUUGCAUAAAAUAAAAAGGUUCGGCGAUGGUGUGAACGCGCUUCCACGACCACUACAGAAGUAAGUUUUGUGUCUGUACACAUCAUCUCUUUGACUGUUGCAUUAUUGCUUUCUCUUCUUCUAACAGUUGAUCAUGAAGGAAAUUUGUGUCUCAUCUCGAUUCUGCCCUCUCUGCUGUUGGCUUCACCACUUUCCUUCACCACCCCAAUGCACUCAACCCAAUUCACAUCCAACAAUCUAUUCUCAAUCUCUCUCGUGUAGCAAUUGUUGUUUUCACCACAACCUAUUCUCAAUCUGCUUGGUGUCUUCAUCAACUUCAACAAAUCAUUGAAUGGCACCAAACUUAUUGCCGACAUGUUCUGCCCGUUUAUUACGAAAUCCAGCCAUCUGAUGUACGUCUUCAGAUGGGUGAUUUUGGAAAAGCCCUCAAAGCAACUGCACAACAAACAUUCUCACCACAACAACUGGAGCAUGGCAUGUCCAGGUGGAGCCACGCACUCACCAAAACUGCAAAUUUCUUUGGAUGGGAUGAGAACAAUCACAGGUAAAUGACUCACUUAAUCAAUCAUAUUUUAAGCUUGUAAUACAAUUUUGUUAGUACAUGACUUCUUCUAUAAUUGCUAUUGAACUUGAAGGAGUGAUGCAGAACUAGUGGACAAAAUUGUUAAGAUCGUUCUUAAUUUAUCAAUCUUGUCUGCUACUAAAUUUCCAGUUGGAUUACAAUCCCGUGUGGAGGAUGUGAUUCAAACCAUAAAAAGUAAAUCCACCCAAGUUUUUACGAUAGCGAUAUGUGGAAUAGGAGGAUCGGGUAAAAGCACCCUUGCCAAAGCCAUCUAUAAUCAAAUUCAUGGUACAUUCACGGAGAAAAGUUUCAUUGAAGAUAUUGGACAAUUUAGUGGAAUAAGAGGGGAUCUUCGUUUACAAGAACAACUUCUUUCAGAUGUCCUAAAAACGAAGGUGAAGAUAAGCAGUGUUGAGAUGGGAAAAAAAAUGAUUCGGGAAAGACUUUCUGGGAAAAGAGUGUUCAUUGUACUUGACGAUGUGAAUGAGUAUGGUCCAUUAGACCUAUGGGGAAGUAGUUCAUGGUUAGGUGAAGGAACUGUAAUAAUCAUUACAGCGAGAGAUGAAGACCUACCGAAUAUGCUUCGAGUUGAUUAUGUUUAUCCGAUGAUUAUGAUGAACGCAAACGAGUCCGUUGAGCUUCUUAGUUGGCACGCAUUUAGAGAACCAAAACCAAAAAAAGAAUACUAUUUACUUGCAAAAAGAGUAGUUGCUUAUUGUGGAUCACUACCUCUAGCUCUUGAAGUCAUUGGAACUUAUUUAUAUAAAAGGACGAAAGAAGAAUGGAAUACAGUAUUGAUAAGAUUAAACAAUAUUCCCCAUAAUGAAGUUCCACAGAUAUUGAAAAUAAGCUUCGACGGUUUACGUAAUCAAAUAGAGAAAGAUUUAUUCCUUGAUGUAUGUUGUUUCUUUGUUGGUAAAAGCAGAGCCUAUGUUACCAAGAUCCUAAAUGGCUGUGGAGUAGACCAUGAUAGUGGAAUAAGAGUUCUCAUAAAGCGUAACCUCAUCAAAGUUAAAGAAAACAACAAAUUUGGAAUGCAUCAUUUGCUAAGAGAAAUGGGAAGAGAAAUGAUUCGUGAAAUUUCAGGAAAGGAAUCUGGAAAGAACAGUCGACUGUGGCUUGAGGAGGAUCUAAAACAUGCAUUGUCAGAGAACACUGUAAGAACAUUCUUAAUCUAUGGUUUUGAAACUUCUUUUGAAAGUGGUUGAUUUCUCAUGUGCAAUACAAAUAUUUUUCUUAGCUCUUUUCAUCACCGGGCACAAAAGUCAUUCAGAGAUUGUCUAGCGGAAGAGAUUUCUUCGAACGUUAUCCUGUAGAGGUAAGAGACCCAUCAAAACUGCUUAAACUCGCUGGAGAUUCUGAGUACCCUUCUAAGAAACUGAGAGGGAUCAGUCUGCAAAGGUUUUCUUCAGAAUACUUACCUAACGACUUUAAUCUGCAUGAUGCAAUAGCGAUUGAUUUAAAACACAGUCUUCUUCGAUUCGUCUGGAAAGAAACCCAGGUUUUUAUUAUGUGCCAUUUUCUUUUAAAGCUCAGCUUAAAAUAGAAAUAUUAUUUCUUUCCACUUAUAACUAUUUUAUUUUUUUCAUUUUCUAUUUUAAUAUUCUUGAAGGUUUUGGCUUGUCUAAAAGUCUUGAAUCUUAGUCACUCGAAGUACUUGACAAAAACCCCUGACUUUUCGAGACUACCAAGUCUUGAACACCUCAUUCUCAAAGAUUGUCCUAGAUUGCGCGAAGUACACCAAUCUAUUGGUUGUCUCUGCAAUCUUAUACUACUAAAUUUGAAGGACUGUACAAGUCUAAGCACUCUCCCCAGUGAGAUAUGUAAGUUGAAAUCCUUGAAAA
rnacentral:lncRNA from 1 species